AACAACCUGUAAGUAUUCAACUUCUGUCAACUCAAUAGCACUUACUAAAGUUUUUAUACAGAAGAAAAAGGCAUUUUAAGUCCAAAAAAUUAGAAUUAUUGGUUGAACUCCAACUCCAUCAAUCCAUGCAACCAUCCAAUCUUUAACGAAAAAAUGAAGCAUAAUUAACCAGACAUCUGAAUCAGAAAGAUUGUGCUUUCAUUUGGCACGAGGUGUUGGAAACAACUUAACAAAUCUAGACACAAUCUAUAACCAUCAAGUCCAAACAAAAGUCAGGAUCUAAAAUACUUUGAAAAAUCAGAAAAGCAGUUUCAAUUUCUUUUUCAUCCAUUGUAAGCUCAAACUAAAGGUAGCCGCGCUACCUUUAAACAUCAUUUGGGCUUAUACAUGCGACAUUUGCUCAUGAACAACUAAAGUUGAAUAAGAUUUUUAUAUGAAACAGAAUAUAAAAAGUCAAAGUAGAAUAUGACAGGAGCUACAAUAUAUUAUUCAGCAUCAGCAUUAUGUAUAAAAUAAAUUUAGAGGCAUUAUAUUCAUUCACAAUCUUGCAGAGGUAACACCAGAUUAUGGCACGCAUCUCUUGAAUAGCAGAUAAAGGAGGAGAUGCAGUGGGAAGGUAGUAACUUGCUUGCAUGAGAACUAGAAAGUAAUAUCCCAAGAUCAAUUAUAGAUCUCAUAAAACAAAAACAGUGAGGCAAACACAAUUAUACAAUCCAUCUGUCAAAAGGCUAAGCAUAUGAAUAUACAAUCAACACCAUUCUUCCAAACGAAUAUAAAGUCAACACCAUUCUUCUAAACACAAACAAAGUUUGAACGUAUGACAGAUUUUUAGCUAUUUAAUAUUCCAUCAAAGAUAAUUAGAUAACACCUACCAAGGAUUUUUGAAAAGAAUGCAUUCUCAUCUUAAGCAGCAACCUCACCAGUAACACAUUUUCAUACCCUGUUUCCACCUCUGGUCGCACCACCAAAAAAAUUCAGUACUAAUUAGCUUCAACAGAAUCUGUUUUUUUUUUUAUUUUUUAUUUUUUCCAAAAUAAACCUCCAUUCUUAUACAUAAAAUUAAAAUAUCAAUUAAAUACACAAAGUCUAUGCUUACUAGUAAAACACGUCCAUUUUUAGGUAGAGGCAGAUAAUAAAAGAAAAUUGAAACUGAGAUAAAAUAAGAAGAGCUUACUAGGUGCAUUUGAUCAACAAUCCAAUCCUCAACGAUGGAAUCGAUGCCAUCAAAUAAACAUGACUUAAUCUUGAAACCAUAAACUGCACUAAGCAUAGCACCAAAGCCAGAGCGUGACUAUAAAGAAGAAAAAUAAAAAGAAGGAAAAGAAGAAUUAAAUCAACAUGAAAUUCAACUGGAACAAUACAAAAUAUGAAAUUUUUAGCAAUCUUACUAGCGUUAGGGUUAAGGCUUACCAUAGAGAACUGGAUGGCGCUAACUAAAUGACAAGUUGAAACGGCAUCUGCAAUCGUAUUGAAUGACAUUGAACCGCGAGGUAGGGUUUAAAUGAAUACCGAGCAGAGAUAAAUUGGUGUGGUGAAUUAGGGUUUUGUGGCUACGUUUUAUUUCGAUUGAAAAAAGGAAUUUGAGCUAGGCUUUAAUUCAACGGUGUCGUUAAUUUAAACAUUCAUUUUAGGUUGCAGUGGCCAGUGGAGAGAGAGGGAUUCAUUCAACGCUUAGCCAAAACUUGGCUGUAAGUGUUGAUGUGUUUUAAGUUAUACAGAACGGUGUCGUUAAUUUAAACAACACUGUUUUACAAUUUUAUAAGUUCACAAAACCUAAGCAUGACUUACAUGUAUCAUUUAUUUAGGACGGUUAAGUUAUAAGCCAUGAAUAUGUCAUAUAUUCUGGACAUAUGAAUAUAUAUUAUGAAUCUAUCAUAUUUUUAUGACACAUUUGUCACACAAUGAUAUAUGUCAUUAAAUUUCUGUUAUUAUUUAAUACUUUUCUAGUAGUGUCAAAUUUUUGAAACAUUUCUGUUAAUAGUAAAAACUCUAAUCCUUUAGCAAAAGACUAAAAAUUAACAAAAAAAUUUCUGUUAAAAUAUCAGUUGGCUCAUGAUCAACACUUCAAUACUGUUUGUUGUAUUUUCUUUCUUUCUUUCUUUGUCAUUUUAUUAGAUUUUCUUUGUAUCAUAGUUUGUUUUACUUAAGUAAUUGUUCAUUAUUUAUGUCUGUGUUCUUACUAGCUUUUGCUAAUUUAUAGUUGGUUUUUUAUUCAAACCCUCGAAGUACCUUUUUGUUAAUAAUAAAACCUCUGAUCCUUAAGAAAGAAAAAGAAAUUCUCUAUUUAGUUAUUAGUUGGUUCAAGAUCAAUAUAGCCAUAUUGUUUGUGGUCUUUUCAUUCUCUAUCUUUCCCUUUAGUUCAUUUUAAUUUAUUUGUAUUCCUUUCUUUGACACUUGUAUUUAUAUAUAUAUAUAUAUUGUUAAGCAACAGGCAAUGGCUGUUGACGGGUGUCUCCCUGCUUUUCCCAGCAUUGUAUCACAAGGUUCAAAAGCAUUAUUCGAACCGAUUAUGCGGCACAUAUCUUAUGUGUUCGAGUACCAAAGCUACAUAGAUGGGCUAAAAGAUUGAGUGAAGGAGCUGGAAUAUAUAAGAGAAAGGGUGCAAACGCUGGUUAGAGAGGCUACUCUACAAGGAGAUGAGAUUUAUAAGGGUGUCUGAGACUGGCUAAAUAGAGUUGCUGAAUUCAGUGAAGGGGUUUUAAAAUCCAUGAUUGAUGAUAAAGAUAGAGCUAAGAUGUUCUGCUUCAAAGGGUUGUGCCCAAAUUUGAUUUCUCGUUACAAGCUUGGUAAACAAGCAGCAGAGGCCGCAAACGAAGCGGAUAAACUUGUGAAAAAAGGCGAAUUUAACAACUGUAAUCAUGUUUCCUACCGUCCUGCUCCAGAGAGUACAGAGUAUGUGCAAGUGAAAGAUUACGUAGCCUUUGAUUCCAGAAUGAAAGUAUUCCAAGAUGUUGCAAAGCAAGUUAGGGAAGAAAAGUUGUUCGAUGCGGUUACUUCCGGGGAUGUUGAUGAGAAAGAUAGAAAGGAUAAAAGUAUUCCAUUCAUUAACUUCCGGGGAUGUUGACGAUCAGAGACAAUGCAAAAUAAUAUUGACGUCUAGAAGUCGAGAUUUAUUAUUGUGCAAUGAUAUGAAAUCUCAGAAAAAUUCCUCGAUCGAUGCGUUAUCAAAAAAAAAAAAAAGAAGCAUUGGAUGGCGAUCGAGGAGUAUUCAACAAAAAUACUCCUCGAUCGUUGAAAGAUGCGGAGGUUUGCCUGGUGCACUGAGUACGAUUGCAAAUGCUCUAACAACUAAGGAUCUUGACCGUUGGAAAAAUGCAUUGGAUCGAUUAAGAAGUUCCAAUCUAGGAGAAAUUCAAGGAAUGCGUGCAGAUGUAUAAACCUCCAUAAAAGUGAGUUACGACUUGAAGGAUUGUAUAUAAACAUUAAAUUGAUCUAAUUUAAUUUGUAUGUAAACAUUAAAUUGUAUAUAAAUACACAGAACAGAACCAUAUCAGUGUUGGAAAAAAAAAAAAAAAGAAUCCAGAGUUAUAUAAAUUCAAUAAAAAAUUAUUGAAUUUUUUAUUACUAACUUUGAACACUCUAAUUUCAAUUAAAAAAAAUUAUAUUACUAAAAUAGUCUUAAUUGAAUUUACUAUUAAAGACAUUAGAAUAACUCAACACUAAUAUUCUCAAAUAUAUUUCUCUCCAUAGUCUAAUCUAAUCCAUUCUAGGAAUCCUAUAGAAAAUCUAUUAUUUACUUUUUCCUUAUUAAACACAAAAACAUGUCAUUUUGUUGCUAACUAAAAUUUUGGAACUAACAACAGCAGAUUAACUAAAAUUUUGGAACUAACAACAGCAGAUUAACAAAAUUAUCAGAAAAAGAAAUCAAACAAGAUUUUAAUCUUCGUCAUCUUCACUCUUGCCUUUUUCUUUUUCUUCACACAUGUGGCUUGCAGACGCAUUCCCCUCUCUCAUCCUUCGGGCCGCCCUUCAACAAUAUCCAAUCAUCGAUUAUAAUUAUUUAGAUUGACCAAAUCAAGCAUUGAUCAUAUAUUGGUUGAGGUUAGAAGUAGGCAGGCAGCAACGAUAAUACUACUAAUUAAUAUCUCAUGAGAAUUUUAAAGAAAAAUCUAACGUUGCCCAAUUUGUUUGAUUUCAAUGAAGUAUUUCUCCUACUUAUACUUUCGCAUAUUCUCUUUUAUUUCCAAAGUUAAGGUUAUGGAUGUUGUAGAGUAAAAAGAUGAACAUUGCUAGGAAAGCAAUAAAAGGAAAUAAAUAAAAAUUAAAAAUAUAAAAAGAGUUAAGUCAUUUUUUUUCUAUUAGUGUUUUUUUAUUUAAUAACGAAAGAUAAAAAUAAAGUACAUAUUAUCUAUUGGAUUAUUAAAAUAACACAGGUAUAACACAUGUCAAAAUCUCUUUAUUAUAAUAUUAGAAAAGAUUAAAUUAGGAGAAUAUUCAAAUCGGCGAAAUAAUUAAUAAAUCGUAUUUAUUAAUCAUCCACCCAAUUCAUGCAUACCCAAAUGGCCGUCAACGAGCUAACCAAAUCCCAGCUUGUUGUAAUCUGGGUUGGGCUUUUUGGGCGAUAAUUAACUGCCCGAGCUGCUCAUCUAGCCCAAUAGAGCCUAACAAAAAUUUUCGCCUAAGCUUCACAAAAAUGUUCAUAAAUCUUUUUUUUUUUUUGGUAUCAUAAAAACAUAAAUUUAUUUCAAACACUUUUGGAGCUUAAUAAAAAUUUCCCAACAUUUCAUCUGACAAAGGUAGUUUAAAAGUGUAUUCGUUAAAUUCUAAAAUACAUACUUAAAAUCUUUUAGUGACAAUCUAAUUAUAAAUUAAAGGUCUAUUUGAGAUUGAGAUUGAAAAGUUAAAAUGUUAUAGUUGUUGUAGUUUAGGAGUUAAGAUGAUUUGAUUUUACACUUAUAUGAUAAAAAUUUAUUAUAUCUUUUCUAAUUUUAUCAAAAUUAUUAUUAAAAAAUUAUAUUUAUUAUAUACUCUUAACUUUUAUUUUAUACUUAAAACUUUUUUUUCUUACGGCAAAAGUUUUAGCACCUCAACACCCAACCAAGUCUAAAAUUGCACAAUAAUAAUUAUGAAUGCGAAUGUUAAAAUCUACACACAUUCGUACUUGAUAAUUUCAAUCAACAGUGUUACAAAAUUAGUUAAAAUAUUAUAUAUGAAAUUAUUGAGGGAAAAAAAAAAGAAAAAGAAUGUUGUUUUCAUGAUAGUGAUGUGUCGUGCACAUUUUGCUGUUGGCUCUUUGGUCUCUAACCUAGCGAAUAGGUUGUUGUGUCCUCGUUGUUAGAUGCCCGAACAGUAGCGCAAGAACUUUGUACUAUACCAUAUAUUUUAUGAAGGUGAUGAUGUUACCAAUAAAGAUGAGUAAUAAACCAAACGACGUCGCUUCCCUAACCUGUUAGAAAUAUCAACGCGCUCUGUCACCCUCUCGUUCCAUUUAUUCAUUUAGUCCAGUCAGGGGAUUGACGAAUUAAAUAAACAACAACAGUCGUCUGAUCCCUGCAGAUCGCCACUCAUAUUUAAUCCAACGGUUGGGAUAUGAACCCCUCUAUAACUUUUAUUUGUCGAAUCAGCCACUCUCUCUAUUUAAAUUAAUUUUUUUUUUCAACGGCCGACGAGUGCUGAUGUAUCAGAGACGCUUCAUCAAUCAAUAAAAAAAUCAAUUGAAAAGUACGGUAUAGUGAGUGGAAGAGAAAUGCCAAUGAUAGAUCAAGGGAUGAAGAUACGAGCUCACUUAGAUGGGCGGAAAUUGACUGCUUGUAAAGUGACAGCCAAAUUUCUUGCAAGUCCUCUCCUCAUGAAGUUUUCUCUUGGAGACCUCAAAAGGAUGAGAGAGUACAGUCGAGCCGUCAUGACUCAUUAAGUCACUCCGGGGUGGGUGGUUAUUUUCACUGCUUUAUUGAGGGUCUGUAGCUGGUAGAUACAGAUUUAGUUUGGUCAGGGGCUUGGUGGGGGUGCUCUCUAAGAGGCUGAGACACCAAUUAAUUUACCCAUUAUUGUUCAAAACAACCUCCAACGGAUGGAUCCAGAAGAGCUUAUAAGGAGAUGCAGAGCAAUAAGAUUAAGUGAAGAGGAGGGAGGGAUAGUCUCUUUCAAGAUAAAAAUGAAGGCUAAGGGAGAAAAGAUAGCUGCGGGCUGUUUGGUCGGGAAAGUGCUCCACACAAGAAGGGUCAACACUGAAGGCUUAAAAAUGACAAUGCAGAGGGUGUGGAAAACUUCAAGGGAGGUCAAGAUAGAAAGUUUAGGGGAUAACACGUUUAUGUUUAGGUUUGGCUCAGAGGCAGAUAAAAGAAGUAUCAUGGUGGGGGGACUGUGGCAUUUUGAUAGAGCCCUUAUUGUGCUUACCGAACCAGCAGGAAUAGGGGAUAUAAAAAAGCAAGACUUUAGUCAUGUAUCAUUCUGGGUACAAAUCCAUGAUGUUCCCGUUAUGUGCAUGACUAAAGAAAUGGCCACCGAAUUAGGGGAGGUAAUUGGGAAAGUCGAAGAGGUAGAAACAGAUGCAACAGGGGAAUGCAUUGGACAGUUCCUAAGAUUAAGAAUUUCAGUGGAUGUUACAAAGCCGCUAAAAAAGAUAAUUGAGCUGGAACAAGAAGGGGAAGAGGAAGAGGAAGAGGAUAUCCCCAUGCGUGUGAUGUACGAAAGAUUACCUGACUUUUGCUUCUGUUAUGGGAGGAUAGGGCAUCAGUACAGAGAAUGUGCUCACUACAAAUCUCAAUCCAAAGAUGAAUUAGCUUAUGGUCCAUGGAUUAAAGCAACUACCACAACAGAGAGAUUAAGACAGAAUAUGGGAAGAGAUAGAUGGGAUUUUGAGCGUAACAAUUUCAAUCGAAAGAUCUCAACCCAGACAACAAUGGAAACAAGCAGAUACACGGUAGAGGAGGAGCAACACAGGAGGGGGGAAUCGGGUAACAGGUGGUGCCCAGACCAUCAGGAUCCGGGUAAGGAUUACUCGACUGAUGAAAUGGGUAUGGUUCAGAGGAUAGUUGGGACGCAAUUAAUGAAAGGGACUGAAACAGGCCGAAAGACCCCUGAAAAAUGCAACCUAGAUGCUGGGGAUAUAGUAUCUUGGGAUACGAAUGGGCAAGCAGAAAUGAGGGGAAAAAGGAAAGAGUAGAGAGAGGCAAGCCUUAAGUCAGAAAAAGCAAAGUUUCUUGGAAUGGCAAACGCGGGAACUUUUAAGAGGGAAGAAGUUGAUGACUUGGGGGAUGGGAAAAAGGGGGGAGGCAAACAAGAGGUAAUGGUGGGCUCGGCCCAUGUGGAAACUGAAGCUAAGAAUGCAGACAAUGGGAAUUGCUUGGAUAAAAUGAAGCACAGGAAAAAGAAAUGGAAGACACAAGCCCGAAAAAUAGAAAAUAAAGCAAGGAUAAAUGAAGCAAUCAUAAACUUAAAAAGGCCCAGCAGUGCUAUGGAGUGGGAGCACCCGGAAGCAAAAAAAUGCAAAAUAAAUAGCUGGCAGGGCGCUGAACAUUCAUCACAGCAUCAGGAAGUUACUACAACAGCUACUCAGCUAGUUUUCGAAAAUGAAGUCGGGGAUGCUUCAAAGGGGGCUCUGAAUGCUGCUCCUAAAAUAUCGGCGGAGGCUGGAAGACAGCCCUGCCGACAGCCAUGAAGCUAAUAAGCUGGAACGUUCGGGGGCUGGGGCAAGACCGAACGUUCCGAGAAGCCCAACAAAUCUUGCAGGAGCAUAGACCUCAACUUUUAUUUCUUUGCGAAACAAAGAUGACGUCGAAGCAAAUGCAAGAGAAAGUGAGUAAGAUGAAAAUUCAGAAUUGUUUUUCAGUUAGCCAUGAAGGAUUGGGAGGUGGGUUGGCAAUGUUGUGGAAUCCAGGGACAAUAGUAGAGAUAAAGUCUUUUAGUAAACAUCAUGUGGAUGCAGUGGUUUGUAACGAAAAUGGCAAUUAUUGGAGGUGUACGGGAGUGUAUGGCCAUCCAGAAUCAGAUUAGAAGAGACAUACUUUGGAGCUAUUAAGAAGGUUAGCUACUUUAUCUUCGCUGCCGUGGCUUUGUUUCGGAGAUUUCAAUGAGGUGUUGAACUUAAAUGAGAAAUUAGGAGGAAGAGAUAAGAGGAUUAAUAUAGUGAAUGAGUUUAGAGAAACUAUUAGGGAUUGUGAUUUAAAGGAUUUAGGAAGUAUUGGGUACCCGUUUACUUGGUCCAAUAGACGGUUUGGCCCUCACAUUAUAGAAGAAAAACUCGACAGAUUUUUGUGCAACAGCAAUUGGGGAAACAACUUCCAAGAAAAGGUUGGGCGGAAUUUAAUUUCUUGGAGCUCAGGUCAUAGUCCAAUCUUGAUGGAGGUGGUAGAAAAGAGGAAGGGAAAACGUUUUAUGAAAAGAACUUUCCCAAGAGUCCAUUAUGAAGAUAUGUGGAGCUCGUACGAGAAGUGCAGAGAGAUAGUGAGGCAGGAAUUGAGGGAGGUGAAUUAUGAGAAUGGUAGCAAUCCAAUUGAAAUCUUCAAGAAAAAAUCAAAGAUGUUGUUGGCUGAAUUAAAGAAUUGGAGCAAUGAAGAAUUUAGUGGGAGAGAAAAGAAGCUGGAGCAGUUGCAAAACAAGCUGAAGGAUAUUAAAAUCGGGCACAAUCAUGCUGUUAAUGGAGAGGAGAUUACAAAAGUAGAAAAUCAGAUAUCAUUCUUGACAAGGAAGUUUAUUGGAGGCAAAGAUCGAGGGCGGAUUGGUUGAGGCAGGGGGAUAAGAACACAAAAUUUUUUCAUUCGAAAGCCUCUGCGAGAAAGAGAAAGAACUGGAUAAGUGGGCUGGAAGAUGAGAAUGGCAAAUGGCUUGAAGAAGUUGACGAUGUAGAGCGGAUGCUAUGUGAGUAUUUCACUAAUAUCUUCACUACAACAAACCCAUCAUUAGGCCAGAUAAGCACAGCCUUAUCAAACCUGCCAGCCAAGGUUACAAGGGAGAUGGGGAGCUUCAUGGACCAGCCGUUUACAAAAGAAGAUGUAGCAGAUGCCUUAGCUCAAAUGUGCCCCACAAAAGCGCCGAGACCAGACGGGCUUCUAGUAGCUUUCUUCCAGAAACAUUGGGGUUCUGUGCAUCAAGAUGUUAUCACCACAUGCCUACAUGUUUUAAAUAAGGGAGGUAACAUUGCACCCCUGAAUCAUACAUAUUUAGCUUUGAUCCCCAAAGUGCAAAAGCCUAGAAAAGUGACUGAUUUCAGACCUAUUAGCUUGUGUAAUGUUAUAUAUAGGAUUAUUGCUAAAACGCUAGCUAAUAGGCUUAAGAAGAUUCUGCAUGUUAUCAUCUCCCCGACCCAAAGCGGUUUUGUACCCAAUAGACUCAUUACUAAUAAUCUUAUUAUAGGAUACAAGUGUCUUAAUAAGAUUAGACAAAGCAAGAGUAAAAGAAAUGGGCUGGUAGCUCUUAAACUUGAUAUUAGUAAAGCCUACGAUAAGGUUGAGUGGGAAUUUGUAAAAUGCACAAUGCAAAAACUGGGAUUUUCAGAAAAAUGGGUGAAGUUGAUCAUGAAUUGUAUCACUAUAGCAAGUUUCUCAGUGUUAAUCAAUGGAGUGGCAAAAGGCCUAAUCCAUCCUCAAAGAGGAUUGAGACAAGGCUGCCCCCUCUCCCCUUAUCUCUUUAUUAUGUGUGCAGAGGUGUUUUCGAACUUAAUGGUGAAUGCAGAAAAUCAAAAGCUCAUAAAUGGUCUGAAAUUCAGCAGAGAUCUAUCAGUCACACAUCUUCUCUUUGUCGACGAUAGUAUGAUCUUUACAAAGGCAUCAAUUAAUGAUUGUAGAAACUUAAGAAAGAUCUUUGACAAUUAUGCAGCAGCCUCAGGACAGGUUUUUAAUUUCGAGAAGUCCUCUAUGUUCUUUAGCAGCAGCACAAGCUCAGGUCAAAGGGAGGAAAUCAGAAGUAUUUUUGGUUUGAAUGUCAUUUCAAAACAUGAAAAGUAUCUAGGACUUCCAUCGAUGAUAGGGAGGAAAAAGACUAGCUUCUUUAACGACAUAAAACUGAGAGUGCUAAGCAAGCUAUCAAGUUGGCAAAACAAGUGUUUCUCAAGUCGGGGAAAAGAAAUACUCAUCAAAGCUGUGGCACAAGCAGUGCCUGCCUAUGCGAUGAGCGUAUUUAAAAUUCCCCAAGGGCUUUGUGAUGAUAUACAAAAGGCUGUAGCAAGGUUCUGGUGGGGAUCAUCUGAAAUUCAUAAAAGGAUUCAUUGGGCAAGGUGGGAGAAAUUAUGUUAGGCUAAGAUUAGGGGUGGUCUGGGUUUUAGGGACUUUUCAAGCUUUAAUCAUGCCCUUGUCGCCAAACAGGAGUGGAGGAUCCUACAUAAUCCUGAUGCUUUAAUGUCAAAAAUUUUAAAAGCCAAGUACUUCAAGCAUACUGAUUUUAUGGAGGCAAAAUUGGGGUCAAAUCCCCGGGGAGACAAGCGUUGCACAAGGGCUUAAGAUGGAGAAUAGGUAAUGGAAACCGGGUCUCAGUGUCCAGCAGGAAUCGAAUGCAAAAACUCGAAUGUUCCAGCAAUGUUCCUCACCAAAAUUUAGCAAAAAAUGUUGUAGUUGCUGAUUUUAUUGAUGACAAAAAUCAGUGGAUGGAGGAGAAGGUUGUGCAAUGUUUUCCUGAAGAGGUGGCACAAAGGAUUCUAAUAACCCUUCUGCCAAGAACUCCCCAGGAAGACCUGAUGAUUUGGCACUUUGAUAAGUAUGGCUAUUACUCAGUAAGAAGUGAAUACCAGGUGGCAGUUAGAAUGAAAUUCCCAGACAAUCCGGAGUGCUCUGAUAGCUCUAAAACUCAAUGGAAGGUAAUUUGGUCAAAUGAGAUUUCGGAAAAAAUAAAAAUUUUCAUGUGGAGAGCUGCUCAGAAUCUAUUACCCACAGCCAAUAAUCUAUGGAGGAAAAAUGUGGUGGGGAAUCCAGCUUGUCAAAGAUGUCAUUGUAAAAGUGAAAAUGUCACUCAUGUGUUAAUGGAGUGUAAGGCUGCUCGAAAAGUCUGGAAGUUGACAGAUUUUUACGAAGAUAUGAAGUUGUUGUCUCAGCAUGACAUACUGAGUAUGCUCCAAGAACUAGCAUCGAGAAGAAUGAAGAAAGAGAUUGAGCAGAUUUUUGCAAUAUGUUGGGCCAUUUGGUAUGCGAGGAACCGCUUUGUAAUUGAAGGAAAGCAGGAAGAGCCAAAACUGACAGCAGCUAGAGCUUCAGCUAUUGUGGAGUCAUAUAAGAGAAUCAAAACCCAAAACGGUCCAGCUAGAUCAAUUCAUUUUCAAAAUAACCAACAAAUUUGGACACCUCCUCCAGAGGGGAAGUAUAAAGUCAAUGUGGAUGCUGCGAUUCAAAUGGCACGUCUGAAGGCAGGGUUGGGGGCAGUGGUUAGGAAUUCCAAUGGAAAAAUCAUUGCUACAGCUGUUAAGAAGGUGUGCUUUCAGGGAACAGUGGCGAGCAUGGAGGCUGAAGCAGUCCUUUUUGGCAUUCAAGUUGCCCAGCAAGUAGAAUCUUUGCCCAUGAUUAUUGAAUCGGAUUCAACAGAAGUGGUGGAGCUGGUCUGGAGCAGGAAACGUAGCUCGACUGAAGUUUCUUGGACAGUAGAAGAAAUAAAACAACAGCUGCAGAUCUCGAAUGCAUGUCGAUUACAGUAUGUUCCAAGGAAGUGUAAUGCCAUAGCUCAUGCUAUAGCAAAAGUGGCUCUGGAUUUUGAGAAUUUUGUUAUAUGGUUGGAAGAUUUUCCAGUCCAGAUCAUGAUGUUACUCUCAAAUUUUAUCAAUUAGAAAGCUUUACCUUCUUAUCAAAAAAAAAAAAAAAAGCUCACUUGCAACGUGGUAUAGUUCAUCAUGGCUUUCCUAUAAGUUCAGGUCCUUUGAAUACUUUCAAUGAUCUUAUUAGUCAGAAAUUCAACAAUAAUUUUUACUUUUUACAUCCAGGAACAGUUUUAAGCACAAGCAACUCAGGUGGUCAAUAGGCCUCGUAUGUUAGCAAGGUCUCCGUUUUGGUCACUUAAGUCUCAUAUGUUAGGAAGACUCCCUUUUUAUUUUUGGUAUUACUUAUAAUAGCAAAUCCUCUUUUUUAGGCCUCUUUUUAGUUAGUAAUUAUCUUAUAAUGAAGAAUUUUUUUACACAUUUUAUAUUUGAUAACCUUAAUAUUAAAGAUCUCUAAUUGAUAGUAUUAUCUAAUUGUUAAUUUAUUAUUAGUUUUUCCAAAAAAAAUAAAUUCUUUAUCUAUUUAAAAAGUUAAUUAAUUAACAUUAUAAAAAUUUUUGUGCUAUUCUCUAUACAGAAAAUUAUUACAUUUAUUACUUCACUUCUGAAUUAAAAAAAAAAAGAUUUAUUGAAAUAAUAGUUCUAGAGGAAGUAAAAAAGAUAUCUUCUUGAUUAUUUUUCUUUUUUGAACAUUUUAACUAUCUUGUUGAUUGUUAAUAUUUACGAUAUAGUUAAAAAUUGAUUGAAUUCUAAGCUCUUUUAUGUUUCUUUAGGUGUUGAAGCUACUGAAUGUAAGGAGCCCUCGUAAAACAAUUCCCAUAAUGCCCCUAAUACUCUAAGGUCGACCCUGUGUAUAUCAUAUUAUUGAAAAAAAAUUGCUUCAAUACAGUAUGUGGUAAGGUUUAAUUUUAUAUGAAUUUAAGCUGAAGUUGGUACCUUUUAUUGUUUAAUACCAUGACAUCAGGUAAACUUUUAAUAGGUCUUCAUUUUAGGCGCAAGUACCCGAACAAUAGUUCCCAUGCACUUUGUGAUCUUAUUACAAAAUAUUAAACUAAAUAGCUGUGGAAGUAACAAAGAGGGCAACUUUUUACCAUAAUGUGAUGAAAAUAAUUCAUUUGUCAUCACGAACUAACCAAAUCAAAACAAAAAACUAGUGAUCAUAUGGUUCAAAUCUGUGCAACAAUGGUGCAUUUAAAAGGAAAUAAUGUACAGAUAAAAUUUGUGCUUGUAACAAGAACUCUUCUGUUCAAGCCAACAAUUCCACCUAGCAGAGGAAGUGUUUUAGGCGACACUUUCCAACUAAUGAAAGCAGUGAGCUCUCAUACUCUGUUAUCAUUUUCUAUUACUUGAAAAAGAGAGAAGGAGAAACGAGAGGAAAAACAGGGCUCCUCUGUUUUUAUUUUGGUGAUUGCAAAUAACAUUUUUUUUUACUUUUACUCUUUAUUUAUUUAAUUUUUUUAAAAAAACUUUUAGCUCAUUAGAUCUUGUUCUUGUUAAUGCGUCUAGUAACUUAUACGAUGAUCUGAUGAUAUCCGUAACAUUAACAUACCCAUAAUCCAUUAUUUUAUAAUUAUAAAAAUUGAAGAUUCGGUCAUGCAAUUUUGUAUGAUGAACAGUGUUUCAUUUUUCUGUGAAACAUAAGAACAAUUUGUAAAUAAUGUCCAUGCGGACCUUGUAAUAGCGAAGCAUCAUUAUUGAUCUUACUUUGAUGAUCGCACUUUAGUUUCUUUUUAAAGUGCCUUUUGUUUAUUUUAUCGGCAUCCGCUUUUACAAAAGUUUUGGUCCUCGUUCAUUCAUCAAAGCUUCUAAUUUUAUCUUUUAUUAGGCAUCUUACAAAAAGCUUAAUUUAAUUGGAAUCAUGUUCGAUAUGAAGAUUGUUUUACUUACUUCAGCCAUCUUUCAAUCAACCGAAUUUAUUCUUUUCUGACCUGGCAAUUAUUCAUGAAAAAAUACGUGCGUCAGUAGGACAACAGUGACCAAGUACAUAAUAUGAAAAUUCAUUUGUAUUGCUUACUCUAAUAAGCUCUUAACUCACACAUUCCUCUGCAGUUACUAGUGAUCUUUUGCUCACUAAAAUUGUUAUUAUAUAUUCAAGGUGAAUAAAGAAACUCAUCAUCCCAGAUAAUUAAAGAGGCGAACUUGUUCUAAAUCCUUUAAUAAUUUCUACUAAUAAUAGCAUAUAUAAUCUCUAAUCCUUGAUCUUCGUAGUAGUUCUUUCUUAAUGUCCAAGAAAAAUAUCUCUCAUUUGUCUUAAUCUUGUCAUUUAAUUUUCUUGAAUUCUGAGUUAGUGUUUAUUGUUAAAUUCGGUUUUCGGUUAGUAGCUGUUGGUUAAUAGCUUCGGUUAAUCCUUGAAUUAAACAUAUUAAAAUCUAAUCAUAAACCCGCCUUUCCCUAUUUUACGACACCCUUUGUGUAAUAGUGACUUCAAAAGUGUAACAUAUUUUGAACAAUUGCAAGGAAAGAACAUAUUUGACACUUCACGAAACGGUAAAGAUAUAAGCUUCAAUUCUUGUACAACAAAUUAAUAUAACUAACUUCAACCGUCAAUUGAUCAAUAAUUCAGUAACAAAAAGGGACAGAUAUCCUAGUCUUUCUUUACUAAUGAAGCAAGCCAUUAAACUUCGAAAGCUAUUUCUAUUUCCACAUUCUUCAUGCACCAAAGCAGCAAAAAGAAAAAAAAAACAACAAAAAUUUGGAAGUAAUCAUCUUUAUUCAGCAGCAUGCAUAUUAAUUAAACAUAUUAAAAAAGAGAUAUACAAUAUCAGGUCUGGAGACGAAAUGAGCCCACAGAGACUACCGAUAAUGUAAUGGCUUGAUUAAAAAUAUUAAUCAAGCCACUACAUUAGAAGAACAAGAGUUAAUCAUGCAUAGUAAUUAAAAAUUAUUUUUGCUAUCAUCCACCUGUUCUCUCUAAAUAGUUGUCACUAUUUUUUUUCGUUUGCCAGAAAUUCCAAGCAAAAAUAUAAUUAGAAGAACAAGAGUUAAGGGUUAAAAAAAUGAGGGCUCCUCUGUUUUCAUUCCCCUGUUUUUCUGUUCGGUGAUUACAAAGAUUUAAAUCAAAAUUUAUGAUGCAGGUUACACAGCACCUGGUGGAAAAUUGCUAGGGUUUACCUUUUAUUCUUAGUUACAAAUUUAAUUUAGAAUUUGUAGUGUGCGCCUUAUAUAAGUAGGUUUCCUAAUAGUAAAAUUAAAUAAUCUAAGUUUAUGAUGCACUAGGAUAUGAUUGUGAUAAAUGAGCUUUUUAUGUAUCCUGUGAGGCUGAUCAUUAUUUUACUACAUUGAAGAUUCAGUUAUCUCUUUGUAAUACUCUGGACUUCACAUACUAAACAGAAUGGAGCAUUAUUUUAUCCCGCUAAAUCAGUUUUUCAUUUUUUUAAAUUAAAAAAUUAUUCAUCAAACACUUUAUAGCUCUGGUUUUAAGUUGGUAAACACUUUAAGCCGCAACUUUAAAUUCAGUUUACGAGAAUCCCUAACAGUCACAGUGGCUGAACCUAUCCAGACUAAAACCAGAUCAUGAAAGCUUAUAUACACCAAGAGAUUUAUCUAGAAAGUACCGCCGGCAGCCAGUUCAUUCGUUUCUGAGUUUAUUUCCAGAAACCCGGAAACUCCCCUGUUUCUGCAAACAGGGCUUCUUUGUUUUCAGUCCCCUGUUUUUCCAUUUGGUGAUUGUAAAAAUUUAAGAUUAAAUAGAAUAAUGUAAAAAAAAAAAGAAAAAAAUGCCUUUCUUAAUUUUGACUUCAUAAUGUUGCAGCAACCGUCCUCUGUUAUCAUUCCCCUGUUCUUCAGUUUGUUGAUUACAAAUAACAUUCUUUGUAUCUACUCUUUUUAUGUUUAUUUUUUAAUUUUUAAGUCAUCAAUUUUUGUUCUUCUUAAAGCGUGUAGUAAAUUAUAUGAUCAUCUGAUCAAAUCCCUCACAUUAACAUACAGCAGAAUCUGUUAAUGGAAUUUAUUAUUUUAUCAUAAUUAAACAGAAGAUUUGUUCAUGCAGUUUUGUAUGACGAGGAGUUUUCAUUUUUCUGUCAAAUACAAGAACAAUUUGUAAAUAAUGUCCAUGAAAGCUUGAAUGAAGAAUGGCAUUUAAUAAUUUUAGAAGAAUAAUGGCUUAUAGAGCAUAUUAGUAGGGAUAAGAUUUGCAGGUGUUUGGUAACGGAAAAAGGAGAAAAAAAAAUGGAGAGUGGAGGCAUUACUUUUAUCUCAUCCUUAACUUCCGUAAGUGGAGGAGAACAAAGGGGAAAAGAGGGGAGUGGGGCAUGACCUUAAAAGGAGGAUUUAUUUAUGUUUUCGGGGUCUGCAGGGCAUCUUUUUCUCUCUUCCACUCAUGGAAAAUCCUUUCUUUUAUACUCUUUCAGUUUUCUGCAAAUUACUCAAAAAGCUUUUGGUUUUAAAGGCAAUGUUUAUUAAGCCAUAUGAGUGGUGGCACAAGUUUUUUGGCAAAGGCCCAGAAACUGACUUGAGUGUCGGAGGGUUCACGCCGGAAAAACUUUCGGCGCCUCUGACCGUCUUCUAUGAUUUUAAGUAUUCACAAGUUAAUCGCUAGUGGUUGCAGGACAUCUUGACGAUUGACCAAUCGAUUCUCUACCAAAUAAAUCUAAUGCUGGUGUAGAAGUUUGAUAUUAAGUCGCUAAUAGACUAGAUCAGAUUUGGGCAUCAACAUUUGGCACUGUCUGUGGGGAAUCGGUACAAAUAGCCAACUUCUUGUCUCUACCAAUUUUUCAUCCGGCCAAGCCAAAGGCAGAAUAUUAUCAUGCACAAAUUGAUAAGCUGGCUCAAACACGGAAGUCAAUCAAGGCUGGAUGGAAUGCUUACCUGUAAAGGUUUUGGCUUAUUUAUUGCUUUAAGUAUAUUGUCAUUAAAAUUCAAUUUCCAAUUGCUAUGAUUAUUGAUUUAUCAAAUGAGAGAUGCUUGGAAAUUCUUUAAUAACAUGCAUGUUUCAAUACCGUGCAUGAUAUAUUUGCUGAAAUUGAAUAUUAUCCCUUGGAAUUCGUUGAUAAUGUUCCUUUACAAAAUUAGCUUGUUAGAAUGGGCUUCAUUCAUAAUUCAAGAUUACAUGCUAUUAUACUUGCAAAUGAAUUAAUUUAAUAUUUUCCAACAACAUGCUUGACAUAAUGUUAACAGUUCAGAUUUAUUAUGGCUAAUUAUUCAGCUUCGUUAUGGCUAAUUAGAUGUGUAAUGCUACUACCAUCAUUAUUUUGCUGAUGUAUUUAUAUUUCUUGAUUGAUUGUUCUCUUUUCAUUGAACUCAAGAUAUAAAGUCUGUUCAAAAGAGCAAUCGAUUUGUGGUAUUAUCAAUGUUCAAUUUCUUAAAAUAAAGAUUACACAAAUUGUUAAAUUCAUUUGGUGGUAAGCAUAAAAAUCCACGGAUCUUUGGUUUCUUCAAGAUAUUUCCUACUGGUUUUACACCCCAUCAAUCAAUCAUGCAGCUAGUUUUCAUGUGAAGACUAUGCAGGGAAAGUAUAUAGACAAUUCUGGUAUAAAACUCGGUUCAUUACAAGUUGAGGCAGAAUUGUUAAAAUUCAAAUCAGGAGCUGUUCGUUAAAUUGCCUCAAGGGAUAUGAAAGUUCAAAAGUGAGUUUGUUGCUGAUUACACUACAUACACUACAUAUAUGCUUGAGAGAAUGUUGCCCAGGAGCCAAGAUCUAAACCCAGGUUCUGUUUCAGUUUAUUUAAUAUAAGUAUCAAACUGAUUGAGAGCAUGAGUUAUUCUUAACCAUAGCUUUAUUAUAUUUUCGCAAAGAGAACAUUAGAAAUUAUGCAUAUAUUCGCUGUCUUUUGAUAGUACCUGUCAUCCACAUUGCACAAAUUCUCAUAAUCGUAAAUGAGUGUUGGAAGAAGUAUAAUUAGCAUAAUCUGGAUGAGGCCGAGUAUUGGUAUUUUGGCUAACUUUAAUAAUGGUUUUAAAACAAAACAAAUUUUUAUUGAUGAUGAGAAUUGAUAGGCAUGUCUUCAAGCUUCAAAGAAUUGAUGAAGUUGGAUUUUUGUUUCCUUCAUAUUUUAUUCAUUUUGUGCCCGUGUUAAAAUAUUGCAAGAAUAAUUCUAAGAAGGGAGCAAAGCAGAGUCAAGCUCGGGAUUUGUUUGAUGAAGUACUAAUGAAAUAAUGCAGAGCACAAUCUCAGGUGCACUUGUUCUAAAACCCCAGUUUUAUAUUUAUCCUUUAAAUCCACUACCUGACUUCAAAAAUCUGAUGGAUGGGGUUUUGACUUAUUAAGUCGUUAAUAGAAAAUAGUUAAGAUUACAUAUUAUAGAAUAUAUAGCAUAGUCAUAUAUUAGCACACAACAUGCUUGACCGAAGGAUUGAUGGAACUUGGGUUAGCAUGAGAUCGUAUUUCCUUGAUACAGUGAUAUGACUUUGCUUAAACUUUUAUGGUACCAUUUAUUUGUUGAUUACAUAUUUUAUAUAAUAUGAUUUAUUUUAUAUAUAAAUUUUAAUAUCUUUAGUGUUGGGAAAUGGUGCUCCGCACCUUUAGCAAAGGUCUUUAAUAAUAUUGCUAACCAAAUAUUAUAGAUGGUAAUAAAAACACCAAGGAUGUUUAUCCAUCAAAGGCCCAAACAUAUAUAAAUAGCUAAAGCGCAAGUUGUAAAUGUGAGCUAUUUUCUGGACAAGUUAUAAGUUACAAGUCCGAAAUUAAAUUUUUGAUGGUUGUCCAUAUUUAAGGAUUUAAAGCAAAAACCUCAAAUAAGAGCACAUUGAAGGCACACAAAGGCUCUAAAGUCUCAAAGCCUGUUUUAUGGCGAGACAGGAAGCCAAACAUGCCAGGAUCUGCUCGACCAAGCAAAGGCAAGCAAACAAAAAAAGUUUCAAAAAUCUUCUAAGGCACGCAAAGGCUCCAAAGUCUCAAAGCCUAUUUUAUGGUGAGACAGGAAGCCAAGUAUGCCAGGAUCUGCUCGACCAAGCGAAGGCGAGCAGACCAAAAAAGUUUCAAAAAUCUUCUAAGGCACGCAAAGGCUCCAAAGUCUCAAAGCCUAUUUUAUGGUGAGACAGGAGCCAGGAUCUGCUCGACCAAGCGAAGGCGAGCAGACCACAAAAGUUCCAAAAAAGCUUCUAAGACAAGCAAAGGCUCCAAAGUCUCAAAGCCUAUUUUAUAGCGAGACAGGAAGCCAAGCAUGCCAGGAUCUGCUGGAUCAAGCGAAGGCGAGCAGACCACAAAAGUUCCAAAAAAGUUUCUAAGGCAAGCAAAGGCUCCAAAGUCUCAAAGCCUCCUCGAUGGCGAGACAGGAAGCCAAGCUCUCUAGAAGCUGCUCGACCAUGUGAAGGCGAACAAACAAUGAGAAUUCCAAAAAAGUUUCUAAGGCAAGCAAAGGCUCCAAAGUCUCAAAGCCUAUUUAUGGCGAGACAGAAAGCCAAGUAUGCCAGGAUCUGCUGGACCAAGCGAAGGCGAGCAAACCACAAAAGUUCCAAAAAAGUUUCUAAGGCAAGCAAAGGCUCCAAAGUCUCAAAGCCUCCUUGAUGGCGAGACAGGAAGCCAAGCUCGCUAGAAUCUACUCGACCAUGUAAAGGCGAGCAGAGAACAAAAAUCCCAAGAAAGUUUCUAAGGCACAUAAAAGACUUCAAAGUCUCAAAGUUUGCUCGAUGGCGAGACAAGAAGUCAAGCUUGCCAGAAUCUGCUCAACCAUGUGAAGGCAAGCAGAAAGUAAAAAAAAAAAAAAAAAGGGUACUUCAAGUGAAAGGCUUACAGUCUCUAAACCUCCUCGUAGUGAGACGAAGUCAAAGUUUGCCUGUUCUUGCCCGACCAAGAUUAGGCGAGCAAGAGUUAUAUGAGUGAAAAAUAUUCUAAAGCAGAUAAAUGACUAAGUCUCAAAACCUACUUCAGGUGAGAUAAAUACGUGAACUUAUGAAACCUGCUUUACAUGAUUAUGCGAGUAGGAAAAUGGUAUAUUUAAAGGCAUGUAAAAGUUUAAAACUUGAAAUUUUUUGCUAAUAGUAAGGUUAAUUUUUGCAAUCCCGAGCCGAUUUAUGCCAACCACAUCGAUGUCACUUUAAAAUUCAUAUAGUUUCCAGUCUUGAUUCGUUAAAACUCUCAACACUAGAAACUGGGGGACUGAUGUUUGGUAACGGAAAAAGGAGAAAAAAAUGGAGAGUGGAGGCAUUACUUUUAUCUCAUCCUUAACUUCCGUAAGUGGAGGAGAACAAAGGGGAAAAGAGGGGAGUGGGGCGUGACCUUAAAAGGAGGAUUUAUUUAUUUUUUCGGGGUCUGCAAGGCAUCUUUUUCUCUCUUCUUCUCAUGGAAAAUCCUUUCUUUUACACUCUAUUUCAUUUUUCUGCAAAUUACUCAAAAAGCUUUUGGUUUUUAAGACAAUGUUUAUUAAGCCAUAUGAGUGGUGGCACAAGUUUUUUGGCAAAGGCCCAAAAACUGACUUGAGCAUAAUAAACUAGUUAAUUAUUUCAUAAACUUCAACUUAACACUGAGCCAUAAACUAGUGCUUUCUUCAACUUAAUUAUUCUCACUGCAUAUUUGUUAAGGCUUCAUCUUUUGUCUUGAUUCUGGACUUCAAAAUUAAAUCUUAAAAAUCGGGUAUAAUAGGGGUACGUGAUUAAGUCUUCCUCUUUUGCAAUUCAUUGUUAUUACUCUCAUCAAUUCAUUCUUUUGAUAGCAGUUCUUACUUAAUAUCUGAAGCGAAUAGAGGAGGUCAUCGACUCUCUGAUCCCAUAUAAAUAAAGAGGUAUACAUGUUCUAAAUCCUUUAAUAAUAUCCUUUAAUAGCAGUUCUUACUUAGUUUUCAUCUACUUUCCAAGAAAAAAUUUCUCUGGUUUGUUUUAAUCUUGUCAUUGGUUUUGCUUGAGUUUCAAAUUAUUGUUCAUUGUUAAAAGUCUGUGAUCUUAUUAUAUGGCUUUGGUUAAUUAAAAACAAAAAGUCUGGGAUUUUAUUCAGACCCUUGAAACCUUUCAGUUAAUAGCAAAAUCUCUAAUCCAUGAGCCCCGGGGGGCGGGGGGGGGGGGGGGGGAAGAAGAAGAAAGAAUUCCCUGUUUAAAUAUCAGUUGGUUAAAUGUUGUUUGUUUGCUGUCUUUUACUUGUUUGUUUGUUUUUCAUUUUAUUAGAUUUGUUUUUUACUUGAAGAUUAAAGAUGAGUAAGAAAUUUUUUUUUAUUCUUUUCUGAGGCAGCCUACAAAUUUUAGAAUAGGGCUAAGAGUAAUUACAAAUUCAAUUAACCACAAAAAGUUAUUUAUAUUUAUCACUUGUAAAAUUAAGCUUAUCAUCCCAAAUAGAGUUGUUUGCAUUAGAAGUUUUCUAGCAUUCAUGAGCUUUAUCAUCAUAUCACAAGAUUGCCUGAAAAACAAGAUAAAUCAAUUUGAGCAACUUGCUCUUUAUUGAUUUUUUUUUUUUUUUUGCCUGAAAUACUAGGGAAAAUAUUAUAUAAGAACAAGAGUUAGAUGAAAAAAAGUUAAAACAAGUUCCUGUGUUUUCAUUCCCCCUGUUUUUUGUUUGGUGGUUGAAAGCUUUUAUAUAUAAAUUUUUAUGAUUUCCCGUUGGGACUUUAUUAAAUAAAAAAGAAUAUGUAAUUCUAAAUUUAUCCUUACGCAUUGAGUAAUUAUUAUUACGUUCUCUUAAUAUUUGUUCUUGCAAUUUUGUGUAAUGUGAAUUUCAUGUUUCUGUUAACAUAAACCAAUUUGUAAAUAAGGCCACGUCGAACAAAUGAAACAACAAAAAAGCAUCGUUGGCAAUACAAAAUCAAACUUUAUUAUUAAUCACUAUUUUUUUUUUGAAUAUGUAUAAAUCAAAUCAUAUACUGUUGAUCUUACUUUGAUAAUUUGGUGUUUAGUUUCUCUCAAAAAUGCUUUUAUAAAAGUUUUGGUCCUCAAUCAUUCAUCCAAGCUUUUGCUGAUCUUUUAUUAGGCAUAUACAUCGCGCUGUCACUUAAUAUUCAUUUCAAUUUCACAGUACACAAGCAACGUCUAUGCCAAAAUCAUUAAGGCACAACCGGUAUUUAUUCCAUGAAAACUUUAUUAUUUCUUCAACUUAAUUGGGUCGAACAACAUUUUUUAAAGUACUUUUAUCACACUAAACGGCUUUGUUAAACCUCCGUCUUUUGGUAUUGAUUCUAACUUGAAAUUAAAUCUUUAAGUCAUUACAAGUUUAUUUCUUCAUGAAAGAAUUCAAUAAUCAAGUGCGUGUGAAUUAAAGAAAAAAAAAAAAAGAUCAGUGAGAAAAGCCCUUUUUCAAAGGCAACCUACUGAUUUGAGAAUAGGGCUCAACCACAAGAAAAUAUUUACGUUUGCUUUUAAGGAGUAAAUGAUAGCUAAGCUAUUAAACUUAAUUCAAAUUUAGUCAAUCAUCAAUUAAUCAAUCCAACUAGUUCAAGUACAGAGUCAAUUGAACAAAUUCAUCACUUGCAUAAUUAAGCUUAUCUUCCGAAUUUGAGUUGUUUCCAUUAGAAAUUUUCCCGCAGUCACGAGUUACAAUCAUCAAAACAAAAUUAUUUAUAUAAGAACAAGAGUUAAAGGGAAAAAAGGUAAAGCAAGAUUCCUCUAUUUCCGUUCCCCUAUUUUUUUUUUUUUUUUUUUUUUGGUCUGGUGAUUUAAAAUUUUAUAUCUAAAUUUUUAUAAUUUUCCAUUGAAGCUUAUAUUUAAAUAAAGAAUUACAAAAAAAACCUAAUUCUAAAUUUAUGCAUUGAAUGGUUAUUAUUAUGCUCUCUUAAAAUUGGGUACAAUAUCAAUUUCAUAACGAAUAGAGUUAUUGGUUGUUGAAUAAUGAUGAGAUUAGAGAUUAUGCUGUGUCCUUCUUUUCAAAGCUCUAUUCCAAAGAGGAUGCAAUCUAUCAUCCAUACCAUGUUGUUAACGCCUUCCCAGUCCUUGAGGAAAGUCGAAUGCAAGCUUUGGGACAAGCAGUGGAGGAUGAGGAAAUUAAGAAUGUGAUCUUCAGCAUGAAGGCUUUGAAAGCCCCUGGAAUAGGCGGGUUGCAUGCUCUCUUUUACCAGACCCAGUGGCAUGUAGUGGGAAAAUCUGUCUGUAGUCUUAUAAAAGGUAUUUUUAAUGGCAACGAGAACCCUAAGGAGUUGAACAAAACUCUGAUUGUGUUGGUUCCUAAGUCGGAUAAUCCUAUUAGCCUUAAGCUUUUUCGUCCGAUUAGUCUUUGCCCGGUUAUCUAUAAAACUAUCACUAAGUUAUUAGCUAACCGGCUGAAAUCUAUCUUGCCUGACCUCAUUGGACCUACCCAGACUAGUUUUAUCCCGGGGAGACACAUAACGGAAAACAUAGUGGUUGCUCAGGAAGUUAUUCAUUUGAUGAGACGUAAGAAAGGGAGGAUUGGGCAGAUGGCCAUUAAGGUGGAUUUGGAAAAGGCGUAUGAUCGUUUAAGCUGGGAUUUUAUUUAUGAAACCUUGAGGGAGUUUGGAUUGCCUACUAUUUUGGUUCGGCUUAUUAUGGAAUGUAUUACAACGGCGACUAUGCAACUUCUAUGGAAUGGAGAAAUUACAGAGAUUUUUACCCCUUCUAGGGGUAUUAGACAGGGAGACCCCAUUUCCCCAUAUAUCUUUGUGUUAUGUAUAGAAAGGUUAAGCCAUGGAAUAAAUGACGCUGUGAAGAGAGGGCACUGGAAACCUAUUAAACUGUCUCGUGGAGGUACCUCUUUAUCUCACUUAUUUUUUGCUGACGAUCUUAUCUUGCUUGCAGAGGUUUCCUGUAGGCAAGCAAUGGUUAUAAUGAAGUGUUGAAUGUUUUUUGUAUGAGCUCUAGAGAGAAAGUUAGUAAAACAAAGACACAAGUUUUUUUCUCCCACAACAUAAAGUCUGCUGAGGCUAAGGAAAUUGGUGAUUCCUUGGGUUUUUCUGUCACAAAAAACCUAGGGAAAUAUUGAGGAAUGCCAAUUAUUCAUUCACGGGUUAAUAAGCUGACUUAUCAGGGAAUUUUGGACAAAGUGAACCAACGUUUGUCGGGGUGGAAUGCGAUACAUUUGUCCUUGGCGGGUAGGAUCACUCUCACUCAAUCGGUAAUCCAGGCAAUUCCUAUUUAUGCAAUGCAAACCACGAAGAUUCCGUUUGGUAUUCGGGAGAAAAUUGAUCAGGCUUGUAGGAGGUUUAUUUGGAGCGGGGCAGCAGACAAGAAGAAAAUCAGUUUGGUGAAAUGGGAUACAAUAUGUCAACUGAAACCUAGCGGAGGCCUUGGUCUUAAGCAGCUUAAUUUAAUGAAUGAUGCUCUGCUCAUGAAGAUUGGGUGGGUUUUAAUUGCUUCUCCAAAUAGUUUAUGGGUGAAGGUUCUCUUGUCUAAGUAUGGGCUGGCUCCUAAAGCCCUCCCCGGCACAUUACCUACGAAAUAUGGCUCUUACAUGUGGAAGGCUGUGGGAGGCAUUUGGCAUGAGGUUUUAAAAAGGAUCAAAUGGGACAUUGGAAAUGGCAACCGACUUAGAUUUUGGUGGGAUAAUUGGGUAACAGAGGAAUACCCUUUGUAUACUUUCGCUUUGCAGCCGAUACCUUUACAGCAGCUUGAGGAGUGUGUGGCGAGGUUUAUCACUGUUGAGGGUACUUGGAAUUGGCGGCUUUUUGAGAAUUUAUUUCCCCAUCAUUUACUUCUCAAAAUUGCAGCCACCAAGCCUCCCAGUGUAAAUGAUGAGGAUGAUUACAUGUACUGGGCAUAUUCUAAGUCAGGAGAUUUCACUACUAAUUCAGCAUAUAGGGCUUUGUCAAAAAUGGAGGUUCACAAUGAAGAAUCCUUUUGGCGCAUUCUUUGGCAGUGGAGAGGUCCCCAACAUAUCAAAACCUUUCUGUGGGUGGUGGGUCAAAAUAGACUUAAAACUAAAGUAGAACUUUUCCGGAGACAUAUUGUUGAUGAUAUGAGUUGUGCAAGGUGUGGCUGUGUUGUUGAAAAUACUCUUAAUGUGCUGCGGGAUUGCCCCAGUGCUAAGCAUGUAUGAUCGUCAUUGAUACCCCAUGGGAUUAGUCAUCAAUUUUUUAGUUUGAAUCUCCGAGAUUGGGCGUUAUAUAAUUUGAGGAACUUGUGGAAGUAUGAUGGUAUGUUUGACUGGCCGUGUCUUUUUGGGGUCACAGUUUGGAGGCUUUGGUUUUGGCGUUACCAAAAUCUGCAUAAUGGUGUUUUUACCAGCAAGAGUACUGUUGUAAUGGAUAUUAAGAUCUGUACAGAAGAAAUUCAAAAGGUUAAUCAGAGUUGUUUGGUUCCUGCUGCCAUGAAGAUUUAGAAAUAUUUUGGAUGGGUGACACCUACUUGGCCUUGUUUUAAACUCAACACAGAUGGAGCUCGUAAAAGUUCUGGUCUGUCUAGUACGGGUGGCUUGAUUAGAAACUGUUAUGGAGAGUGGAUAAUUGGUUUUGGAAUGAAUAUUGGUGUGGUUACCAUCAUUGGUGCUGAGUUAUGGGGCCUUUAUCAAGGGUUAUGUCUGGCUUGGGAUAAUGGAAUUCGGUAGCUUCAGGUGGAGGUUGACAGCCUUUGUGUUACUCGUUUGGUGGCGGAUGACGAGAUUAGGCCAAAUGCACAUGCUUCUCUUGUCAGGGGUAUUAUGUCAAAAGCAGCCAUCCAUCUAGAUGGUCAACAUUCAAAGAAGAGGAAUUUUGCAGCAAAUCAAAGAAAAUUCAUAAAGCUAGAUUGACAAAUGGAAGCCAUGCGGAUUGACGAAAUUGAAGCCAUAAUUGGUGGGCUAAAAUCGUUGAUUUUCUUGGCCACUAGUUUGCUAUAAAUAGAAGUGCAGAUGAAGAGCUUAUGCAUUCCAUUAAGAGAGAGCAAUUUAGCAUUUUGAGAGAGUUUAGAGAGCUUGAAAUUAUAAGCUCUUGUUAUUAGUGUUCUGAGAGUUUGGGUGUAUUGGGGUUUUGGGAAGUGAGCUAAAAUACUACAAUACUUGUAACUCCUUUUCACUAGUAAAAUAUUUCCUUCUGUCUUCGCCCGUGGACGUAGACUAAAAGCCGAACCACGUAAUUUUCUAGUGUCAUCUAUUGUGCUUGUUCUUUAUUUUAUUUCCAAUUUUAUUUUAGCUGCGGUCCUGCUGCACCCACCAAUUUCCUAACAGUGGUAUCAGAGCCAGGUUGUAUUUAUUUUUGGAGUCAGGAACUAUUCACGUAUACGGCGUACGGAACUAUUCACGUAUACGGCGUACGGCACUAUUCACGUAUACGGCGUACGGCACUAUUCACGUAUACGGCGUACGGCACUAUUCACGUAUACGGUAUACGGCACUAGUCACGUGAAACGGUGGAAGCGAUCCAAGAAUUUUAUGGUGCAAAGUAUGGAAUAGUGGUGUGAGUAAAGCAACUGUGUAGUUUUGUACAUGUCUAGGAAAGUUCUGUCACAAAGGCGAUAAGAGCUUAAGGAGUCUGGGUUUUAAGUGGGACCAUUGUGACCCCUCCAGUCUUUCCUGGGAACUUUCCUGGUGUGCAUUCUCACACAUACUCACAACUAUUCAAUGUGGUACACUAGCUUGUGUGCAGUAUUAUCAACAAAAUGGCGGCAAAGUAUGAAAUUGAGAAGUUUAACAGAAAUAAUUUUUCGUUGUGGAAAAUGAAGAUGAAAGCUGUAUUGAGGAAAAAUAAUUGUUUGGCAGCAAUUGGAGAAAGGCCCAUGGAGAUAACUGAUGACAAGUGGAACGAGGUAGACGGCAAUGCCAUUUCUGAUCUACACUUGGCACUUGCGGAUGGAGUAUUAUCCAGUGUGGCAGAGAAAAAUACGGCGAAGGAAAUAUGGGAUACUCUCACAAAAUUGUAUGAGGCCAAGUCACUACACAACAAAAUUUUCUUGAAGAGAAAACUCUAUACUCUUCGAAUGGCGGAAUCUACAAUGGUGACCGACCACAUCAACACAUUGAAGACUCUAUUUUCACAACUCACAAUGUUGGGUCAUAAUAUAGAGGAAAAUGAACGUGCAGAGCUUCUACUUCAAAGUCUACCAGAUUCGUAUGAUCAACUCAUCAUCAACCUGACGAACAACAAUCCAGUGGAGAGUCUAGUUUUCGACGAUGUUGCAGCCUCCGUAUUAAAUGAGGAGAGCAGGUGGAAAAAUAAGGAAAACAGACAAGCAAGUUCGCAGCAAGCAGAAGCGCUAUCGGUGACGAGAGGGAGAUCAACGGAACGUGGCCCCAGUGGGAGUCAAAAUCAAGGUAGAUCAAAAUCCAGAAGUAAGAAGAAUGUUAAAUGCUACAACUGUGGCAAGAAAGGGCACGUCAAGAAAGAGUGUUGGAGUAACCAGAAGAGAAGAGAGGGCAAAGAACCUGAGUCAUCAAAUGCUCAGGGGUGUGUAGCAAGUACCUCGGAUGAUGGCAAAAUUCUUUACAGCGAGGCAACAAUUAUUUCAGAAGGCAGAAAACGACUUUCUGAUGUCUGGCUUAUAGACUCAGGAGCUACCUGGCACAUGACCUCUAGAAGAGAAUGGUUCCACACAUAUGAACCUAUCUCAGGAGGAUCUGUAUAUAUGGGUAACGAUCAUGCCUUGGAGAUCGCUGGUAUUGGUACUAUCAAAAUAAAAAUGUUUGAUGGUACAAUUCGCACAAUUGGGGAGGUACGACAUGUCAACGGCCUGAAGAAAAAUCUAUUGUCUUUGGGACAAAUGGAUAGUCAUGGGUACAAAACUCAUGUGGAGAAUGGAAUUAUGAAGAUCGUUAAAGGCGCGCUUGUAUUGAUGAAGGCAGAAAAGAUCGGUGCUAAUUUAUUCAUGCUUAAAGGAGAAACACUACAGGAGGCUGAUGCGUGUGUCGCGUCAAAUGGAGAAGAAUCAACGAUGAUGUGGCAUCUCAAACUUGGCCACAUGUCAGAACAAGGCUUGAAGAUUCUCUCUGAGCGAAAAUUGCUUCCGGGGCUCAAAUCGGUAAGUUUACCAUUUUGCGAGCAUUGUGUUACAAGUAAGCAGCAUAGAUUAAAAUUCAGUAGAUCUAUUGCUAGAAGUAAAUGCAUUCUAGACUUGAUUCAUUCUGAUGUUUGGGAAUCACCGGAUAUAUCCAUGGGAGGUGCAAAGUACAUGGUGACUUUCAUUGAUGAUUAUUCCAGAAGAUGUUGGGUGUAUCCAAUUAAGAAAAAGUCAGAUGUAUUUCUAGUGUUUAAAGAAUAUAAAGCGCGGGUGGAACUUGAAUCUGAUAAAAGGAUCAAGUGCUUGAGGACAGACAAUGGUGGAGAAUAUACAGACGGAGAGUUUCUUGCUUUCUGUAAGCAAGAAGGUAUUCAGAGGCAGUUCACGGUGACAUACACUCCUCAACAAAACGGAGUAGCGGAGCGGAUGAACAGAACUCUUACAGAAAGAAUAAGAGCUAUAUUGAGGACUGCUGGUUUACCCAAUUCAUUCUGGGCAGAAGUAGCCAAAACCGCCUGUUAUAUAGUAAAUCGGUCGCCAUCUACAGCUAUUGGGUUGAAGACAGCGAUGGAGAUGUGGACUGGAAAGCCAGCUGAUUAUUCCUACCUACAUGCAUUUGGAUGUCCUGUGUACGUGAUGUACAAUGCCCAAGAAAGAACAAAGCUGGAUCCAAAAUCUAGAAGAUGUAUCUUCUUAGGGUAUGCUGAUGGAGUAAAGGGGUAUCGUCUGUGGGACCCCACUGCCCACAAGAUCGUCAUCAGCAGAGAUGUUAUCUUUAUAGAAGAUCAACUGCAAAGGAAAGAUGAGGAUGAAAGCACUGUAAAAGAAAAGUCAGAGAUUGUACCAGUAUAUGUGGAAAAUAAUCCAGAAGAUUUAGAUUCUUCUGAAGCAGCACCAGAGAACGAGGAACAAGAACCAGUCGAGUCCGAGGCUCCAGAAGUUCGUCGGUCAACUCGUGAGAGACGACCGCCAACGUGGCACUCGGAGUAUGUCACAGAGAUCAACGUUGCAUACUGUCUUUUAACGGAGGAUGGAGAGCCAUCAACUUUCCAUGAAGCUUUAGAAAGCUCAGAUAUUGCUUUGUGGAUGACAGCAAUGCAGGAAGAAAUUGAAGCUCUACACAAGAACAAGACAUGGGAACUUGUACCACUACCACAUGGAAGAAAAGCCAUUGGAAACAAAUGGGUCUACAAGAUCAAGCGUGAUGGUAAUGACCAAGUGGAGCGGUAUCGUGCAAGAUUGGUAGUGAAAGGAUAUGCUCAGAAAGAAGGCAUUGACUUCAACGAGAUAUUUUCGCCCGUGGUUCGACUCACAACAGUCAGAGUAGUCUUGGCAAUGUGUGCUACAUUUGACUUACAUCUAGAGCAGUUAGAUGUGAAAACUGCAUUUCUUCAUGGAGAACUUGAAGAAGAAAUAUAUAUGCUCCAACCAGAAGGUUUUGCAGAAACAGGAAAGGAGAACUUGGUUUGCAGGUUGAACAAAUCUCUAUACGGUCUCAAACAGGCGCCGAGGUGUUGGUAUAAGAGAUUUGAUUCCUUCAUCAUGAGCCUUGGAUACAACAGACUCAGUUUAGACCAUUGUGCAUAUUACAAGAGGUUUGAAGAUAAUGAUUUCAUCAUUUUGCUGUUGUAUGUGGAUGACAUGUUGGUAGCAGGUCCCAACAAAGAUCGAAUCCAAGAAUUGAAGGCACAGUUGGCUAGGGAGUUUGAAAUGAAGGACUUGGGACCAGCAAACAAGAUUCUAGGGAUGCAAAUUCACCGAGACAGAAAUAACAAGAAGAUUUGGCUUUCGCAGAAGAAUUACUUGAAGAAAAUCUUGCGACGCUUCAACAUGCAAGAUUGUAAGUCAAUUUCUACCCCACUUCCUGUUAAUUUCAAAUUAUCCUCAAGUAUGUGUCCUAGUAAUGAAGCAGAGAGGAAGGAGAUGUCUCGAGUACCGUAUGCAUCAGCAGUGGGAAGUUUGAUGUUCGCUAUGAUAUGUACUAGACCGGACAUUGCACAAGCAGUGGGAGCAGUCAGUCGAUACAUGGCGAAUCCUGGUGGAGAGCAUUGGAUAGCUGUUAAGAGGAUUCUGAGAUACAUCAGAGGAACCUCAGAUGUUGCAUUAUGUUAUGGAGGAUCAGAGUUUACUGUCAGGGGCUAUGUGGAUUCAGAUUUUGCAGGAGACCUUGAUAAAAGAAAAUCCACUACUGGUUAUGUGUUUACACUUGCGGGAGCAGCUGUAAGCUGGGUUUCGAAACUACAGACCGUUGUGGCUUUAUCUACAACAGAAGCAGAAUACAUGGCAGCUACACAAGCUUGCAAGGAAGCUAUUUGGAUACAAAGGUUAUUGGAGGAGCUCGGGCACAAACAACAGAAAAUUCUUGUGUUUUGUGACAGUCAGAGUGCCUUGCACAUUGCAAGGAAUCCAGCCUUUCAUUCCAGGACAAAGCACAUAGGAGUUCAGUAUCACUUCGUUCGUGAAGUAGUGGAAGAUGGAAGUGUGGAUUUGCAGAAAAUCCAUACCAAAGAGAACCUAGCAGAUGUUUUAACCAAGCCGAUAAAUACUGAUAAGUUUAUCUGGAGUAGAUCCUCUUGUGGCCUAGCAGAAACGUAGGCAACAUGAUUAUGGCGAAGCAGAAAGGAUGAUGUGGAGAUUGAUUGAUUUUCAAUCUAAUCUCCAAGUAGGAGAAAUGUCAAAAGCAGCCAUCCAUCUAGAUGGUCAACAUUCAAAGAAGAGGAAUUUUGCAGCAAAUCAAAGAAAAUUCAUAAAGCUAGAUUGACAAAUGGAAGCCAUGCGGAUUGACGAAAUUGAAGCCAUAAUUGGUGGGCUAAAAUCGUUGAUUUUCUUGGCCACUAGUUUGCUAUAAAUAGAAGUGCAGAUGAAGAGCUUAUGCAUUCCAUUAAGAGAGAGCAAUUUAGCAUUUUGAGAGAGUUUAGAGAGCUUGAAAUUAUAAGCUCUUGUUAUUAGUGUUCUGAGAGUUUGGGUGUAUUGGGGUUUUGGGAAGUGAGCUAAAAUACUACAAUACUUGUAACUCCUUUUCACUAGUAAAAUAUUUCCUUCUGUCUUCGCCCGUAGACGUAGGCUAAAAGCCGAACCACGUAAUUUUCUAGUGUCCUCUAUUGUGCUUGUUCUUUAUUUUAUUUCCAAUUUUAUUUUAGCUGCGGUCCUGCUGCACCCACCAAUUUCCUAACAUAUUAAGGAAUUGCUUAACAGAACCUGGCAAGUGCAGGUCAAGCAUGUUUACAGAGAAUCAAAUUUUGCAGCUGACUUUCCUGCAAACUCUGCUCUUUCACUACCUGUUGAAUUGCACAUUUUCAAUUCUCUUCCUUUAGGGGCUGGGUUUUGGAUUCGUCAUGAUUGUAUUGGGGUUUCACAACCCCGUUUUGUUUUGCCCUAGUCUAUGCUAGGCACGUCUUUGUACCAAAAAAAGAAGAGUUAUUGACCACUUUGUUAAAAAUGAACAUGUUAUGUUUAUACGUACAAUAAAACAAAACACGGGGUGCACGCUUAAGUCUUGUUCUUUUACAAUUCAUUUGUAUUACUUACUCUGAUGAAAUCUUUACUCACAUUCCUCGGCAGUUGACAUUGAUCUUUUGCUCAUUCUUUUAUAUUCAAGGCCAAUAGUGAAGCUCCUUUCAAAAAAUAAAAAUAAAAAUAAAAUAGAGAAAUUGUGGGCUUUUAUUCAGACCCCUGAAACCUUUCUGUUAAUAUAAAAACUCUAAUCCUUGAGCAACAGGUUAAAAAAAAAAAAAAAAAGAAUUCUCUGUUUAAUUAUCAGUUGGCUUAAGAUCAAUGUUGUUUGCCUCCUGUCUUUUCUUUGUUUUGUUCGUUUGUUUGUCAUUUUAUUAGAUUUGCUUUGUAGCUAAUUUUACUUGCAGAUUAAAGAUGAGUGAGAAAUGCCCUUUUUUUCUGAAGCAACCUACAAAUUUUACUUGCAUAUGUAAAGCCUUUGUUACUGAUUGCACUCAAUUGUUCAAUUAAAAGUCUUACCAUUUUAUUCUAUGAAAACUUAAUUAUUUCUUUAGAAUAUAUGAAAACGUAGAGUUGUGAACUAGUGCUUUCUUCUUCAACAUGCGUCAACAGGGCAACAAUAACCAAAUACAUGAUAUAGAAAAGCGGUGAAUGACUAAUUCUGUUUCUUUUGCAGGUCAUUGUUAUUGCUCUCAUCAACUCUUUUCUCACACAUUCCUCAGCAGUUACCAGUGAUCUUUUUCCUCUUUCAACUUGUUCUUAAAUAGAGAAGCUCACCAACUCUCUAAUCCCAGAUAAUUAAAGAGGUGCGCGUUUUCUAAAUCCUUGACAUCUGCUCUUUCAUAAGUUCCAUCUACUUUCCAAGAAAAAAUUUUCUCUGGUUUGUUUUAAUAUUGUAACUUAUUUUGCAUGAGUUUUAAGUCAGUAUUCAUUGUUAAAGCCUGUGCUCUUAUUAUUUCUUUUGGUUAAUUUGCAUGCUCUCCCCCCCCCCCCCCUCCCCGCGGCGGCGCCCCCCCCAAAAAAAAAGUUUAUAGGCUUUACUCCUUGAAACCUUUACUGAUAAUACCAAAAACUCUAAUCCUUCAACAAAAGAAAGCAAGAAAAAAAGGUCCUAAGUUUAUUGUCUUUUAUUGGAUUUGUACCAAAAACUCUGAUCUGUUGGCUUUGUAUCAGUAUUGCUUGUUUGUUGUCUUUUAUUUCAUUAUUUAUAUCUAAGUUUAUUUCAAGAUUACAGAUCAGCAGGAAAAGCCCUCUUUCUAAAGCUAACUAUACAGAUUUUAGAAUAGGGCUCAACCACAUGAAAAUAUUUACGUUGUAAUAUCUCAUAUUAAUAAUCUAAAAGCAACCAAUCCAACAAGUUCAAAUUCAGUCAAAUCUAAAAAAAAAUUGCUUUUAAGGAGUACAUGAUAGCUAUUAAACUUUGGUUAAAGAUCUUAUGAGGAAAAGUGAAAUUCAGUCGAUCAUAAAUCAACCAAUCCAACGAGUUCAAAUUCAUCACUUGCAAAAUUAAGUUUUCUUCCGAAAUUGAGUUGUUUCCAUUAGAAAUUGUCCCGCAGUCACGAGUUACAAUCAUCAAAACAAGAUUACUUGAUGCAUUAAUAAUCUUAUUAAAAAAAAAUACCAACUGUUAAGGGUUAAAAAAAUGUGCCAUUUUGUAAUCCAUUUAAAUCAAAAUAGUAUGUUUAAUCGCAAAAAAAAUAACUACUGCCAUGAUGGAGCACAUAGAAUAAAAAUAAAACUUUUAGUUUUACUAAUCAUAAAUAUACCAACUGAUAUCUCCAAAAAAGAAAAAUUUAUUUUUUAAAUUUUUAAAUCAUAUAUUAUACAAAUUUAACAUAUGUUCUAACAGUCAUCUGAUCCCUGCAGAUAUUAAUUGGGUUUAGGGUAAUCCUGUUUACAUAAAGAAUAUUGUUAAAUAAAUGUUUGUUAAUAUGGUUUCAGAUGAUGAUGAUGAUGAGUUGCGACUGCCAAUCAUGCGUAAUAUCAUAAUAAUAUUAAAAACAAUUAUCCCAACAGGUUUCCCAGAAUAUGCUAUAUUAUUACAUAUUAAAGUUAAUUAUAAACAACCAACAAAGUGUUGGCUCCACUGGCAAUGGAGUCCCCUUAAGUGGCUUGACUGGGUUUGCUCUCCAGUUCGAGUCGCAGGGAAGUCGCCUUUGUUGGGAGAACCUGUGCCUCCUGGUUCGAGCGGGGACUUCUAGUCUGGGUUGUGGUAGGGGCUUAAAGGUGCCUCCCACAGUUGGGGCCCUCCCCAGGAUACCUCGUGAUUAAUAUAAAAAAAAAAAGUUAAUUAUAAACUAAUAUAAAAAAAAAGCUCUGACAAAUAUUAUUUCUUGAAAAAUGAGAUGAUUCACCGCUGUUGUGUUUCAUGCUAAUUACUUUUCUCCGGAAAAAUAUUAUAAAUUAAAAUUUAACGAAAGUCUCAAUUUAUACGCUUAUAGCAUGUUCUAUAAUUUUUAUUUUUUAUAUAUAUAGUAUAAUUCAAGAAUUUAUACUGAGUAGAAGCAAAGAUCAAUCCCAUAUGUGGGUAACCAAAAUCCUUCAUAGAACAAGGCACUAUAAUAAUAACCAAAACCAGCCCUUCCUUUUGGUGCCGAUUGAAAACAAUCAUAUUGUGAUUCGCAAAUUAAGUGAGAUUAGUGACCUCUCAACUCAAUCAAAUACUUGCCAAAUUCAUUUCUGAUCAUGCAUCUUACCACCCACCCCCCCCCCCCCCCCCCCUCUUUUUUGCGUAUAAAUUGAGCAUGGUGGCUUUGAAAAUUUUAAGAUUCUUGAUGAUUCCAAAAUGAGAAUAUCAAUUGUUAAGCCAAUAGUAGAUUAUUGACGUUUUAAAUUGAUAAAUAAACACAACUCUGAUUUUAAAAAGUUAUGAUAACAACUUUAAAAAUUUUAAUGUGGAUAUAAAAUCACCCAUAAUAAAACGAUAUGAGAUUGAAAUAAUUUAUUUAAAUAUAAAUCAUCCGAUGUAAUGAAUACAAAACCAACCAUCAAUUUAAAUUUUUAAAUAAUGACAUUGAGAUGUGCUAUAAAUGAGUUCCAGGAAAUAAAUAUUAAUGUAAAUGAUAGCAACAGCUUCAUCCAUUAAUAUAAUUCUACUAUUAAGCAUGAAAUAUAUGACCAUCAACUUACAAUUGUAAUCAUUAAACUAGAAAUCAUUGAGUAUUACAUGAAAUCAUUAAUAUUGAACCUAAAAGAUAUAUGAAACUAAUGUUAAUAUGAAAUCUAGGACCAUUAACUUAAAAUUGUAAUUAGGAAAUAAAGCUUUACAUGAAAUCACUGUCAUUGAGCUUGAUAAUUCUACCAUUAAACAUAAAAUUAAUGCAAAUAUGAAGCAUAAGACCAUCAACUCAAAAAUUGUAAUCAUCAAAUUUUGAAUACCACAAAUUAAAUUUACUCUAUCUUUGUAAUGAAUACAUUCUACAGCCUUAAAAAAAAAAUAAAUAAAGGGUUAUUUUAGCAUUUAUAUGAGUGUGUAAAGUAAAAGUUGACUUUUAAAGUUGAUUCAAUAUAUAUAAACAACAUUAUUGAAUCAUUAUCUUUUUUUUUAUAAUCAUUAUUAAUAAACAUACUAUUUUGAUUAAAAAAAUAAAAUAGUGGAGCUUAAAUAUGUCUGAAAAUUUCAAAAUUAGUAAUAGAAUCAGUAGCGGUUCGAUCUCUAGACAACUUAGGCGGUUGCUUAGGGCCCUACUUUACAUGAAGAUCCUAUAAGAUGAUUAUUUUGUAUAUAAAAGAGGAAAGUGAAUUUAAAAAUCAUUAUUAUGCAUCUAAUUUAUUAUUAUUUUGUAAUUAUCUUUUCUCAAAUAAACUACCGAGUUCCUAUAAAGUUUAUUUAAUGUAGUACUUAGUAGUUUUAAUUCCUACAAAACCGAUAAAUUAAUAGUUUCAAUCCUAUAAAUUUGAUAUUUCAUUGUUAGAAUUAACAACUUAUAAUUAAAAAGUUUUAUAUUCAUUUUAAACCUCUAUAAAAGCCCCACAUUUUAUUACUUAUCCAUUAAAUUUUUCUUCUAACAAUGAAGACACCAUAUGUUCUCCGUUUUUGAGAGAAAGAAAGAGAGAGAGGGGAAAAAAAAUCUUGCUUCCUCUACUUUCCACUCAAGAAAAAAAAGAAAAAAUCUAAUAGUUUUUUUCUAUUCUCUAUGGCUAUUAGUCAUUACUCAAAUCUUCAAAUAAUUAAUAUAAAGAUAAAGUUAAUUUAUGAUUUCAUCUCAAACUUCAAAUUUCAGAUUUUAUUUUUUAUUAUUCUCUUAAUUAAUUGUAUUAUUUAUGUGUUCUUAUUUCUUUUUAAUACAUUCUUUUAUUCAUCUACUAUUUUUGUGUGCUUUUUUUUCUAUUGUGAAAUAAAUAACUAUAUAAAAAAACUUUAGAAAAUAGAAGAAUAAAAAAAUUAAUUUAAUGUAGAAAAGAAGUAGUAUAAAAGAUGUAAUUUGAGUUAAAAAAAAGUAAAAAUAUUAUAAUUGAAUUAAAAUUUCAAGGAUUGACAAUAGUGUAAUAUAAUUUUAUUUAAUAAUUUUACAUUUUAGAGAGUGUUUGAAGAAUUGAUUUUCAAUAAAUAUUAUAUAACUUAUGAGUAAUGAUAUAACCACAAACUCUUGUAUAAACUGAUGUGGCAUGAUAAGAUUGGUUGAAUUAAAUAUCACUUGGCUCACGUGAUUUUGUUUUUAUUAUUUUAUAUUUUUAUUCAACCAAUAAAUUAAUAUCACGUCAGUUUGUACAAGAGUUUGUGGCUGUAUCAUCACUCAUAACUAAUAUACAUAUUUUUUGUCUUAAAUUUAAGAAAAACUAAUUAAAACCAUUUGCCUAAGGCCUCAAAUAUGGUUGAGCCGGUCCUGAAUAGAAUAUAAAAGUACAUGAUAAAUAUUUAAAUUAAAACUCGAUAAAAGGUUAACAAAAACACACAUGUUGUUUUUUAGUGAGUUUGAUUUUAUUUUAUUUUUUUGGAACAAAUUCAAAACGACAUCAUUUUGGAUGUAUUUUCAUUGGGAUUUGGUUCUUCAAUUAUUUUUCUAAUAGCAGAUCUCAAGAUUGUGUGAUUACAUCACAACUUAACUUUUACAGUGAUCGAUUCCAAUAGCUCUCUAGUUGAAAUUUAAAUUAAUUAAAUAAAAAAUAACAUGGCCCUUAUCAAUUUGACGAUGGUAUGGUGUAAAAACAUCCUCUUGAAAAUUAUGAGUCAUCCAAAAAGAUUAAUUUUUUUGGGAUAUCUUGAAUGGAAGUAAACACAAUUUUAUGUUUUAUAAAAAGGUAAAACAUUAAGUAAUUAAUAAUAUAUCAAUAUUAAUUAAUAAGUUAUUUACAUUAGGCAAUAUUAUACGUUUGUGAAUUUAUUGGUCAUUUGUUUUUGUACAAUUAUUUCAUGACAUUAUAACGAUAUGAGAAUGACGAUUCAAACUAUCUUGAAUAUUGGAUAAUUGUUUUUUAAUUAACAUUUUGGGGCUGAAUUCAAUCGUGCAUAUAGACAAUUUUAUCUAUUAAAAGAAUUAAUUAUUAUGUUAAAAUUUAUUUUGGAAUUUAAUGACGAAGAAACUGUUUCUUAACUGGAGCUAUGGCUUUGGCCACGAGCUCCUCUGGUGUUAGAUUAUGAACCGGAACUCCGGUUGAAUUCGGUUGUGGUGGCGGUGAGUCCGCCGGAAAAAUCCGGAACUCACUGAGUUCGGAUGCGGACUCGGCCAUUUUAACUCAGGUUAAGAACUCCGUGAUGCGAGUGGCAAUGAGGGUUAUCUGUAGGGUUUAUAGCGGGUUUGGAAACAUUGGUCUUCGGUUUAGAUAUUUUUUAUUCCGUUAAAGAAGACGACUGAAACAACUUGCCGUUUAAUGAAAAUGACGUCGUUUAGUCGUAACGUUGUAAAAAAAUGAAUAAAAAAUAAAAAAUUACAUUGUCAGAAGUGGGAUUUGAACCCACGCCCUCUUUCGAAGACCAGACUUGAGUCUGGCGCCUUAGACCACUCGGCCAUCCUGAGUUUUUGAUGAGCCUGUCGACUUUCAAAAAUAUCUCCAAAUACUUUUAAUUAUAAUUACAUGACACUAUUAUUGACAAUAUAAUAUGGAUAUGAAAGUAAAAAAAUUUGAUUAAUAAAUUAUAACUAUCGUUCUACUAUUUUGUUCAAAAAAUAAUAUUAAAAAAAUAGAUGAAGAAUAAAAAUGCAUUAAAUUAUAUUGUUUAAUAUUAAUCAGUCACGGCUACUUGCGCUUAACUUUCCCUCUACGCCCAAAAUUUAGAACUUAGAAUAAUUUUAAUUAUUGAAAUAAUGACUAACUAAUUUACUUAGGAAUAAAGACAGAAUUUGGGGGAGGGAAAUUACCAAGCCUUUAAAUUUUUAUAAGUAAAUAGAAAAAGAAAUUCAAGAUGGCCAAAAUUUUUUUGCUGUAUGAGACCCCAAUUAAAGCGGGCAAAUUCCACUCAAACUUUAAAAGUUAGUGUGAGUAUAUAGGUUUGAUUAUUUUAACUUAAAACUUUGACCUAAUUAAACACAAAUUCAUAAUCAUUGUACUUCCAGACAUCAAGCGUGUAAUCAAAAUUCAGUUACUUUUUGUCUUGCAUUAAUUUCAUUGACCAAUAUAUAUUUCUUAAAUAAAUAAUAAUAGUUUGUAUUUUAAUUAAUGUUCCACUAAUCAUUUAUUGUCUCAUAAAUGAUAAUAAAUAAAUUUAUUAUUAAUUAUUUACAUACUAUUCUUACAACUUGAUCAAUGAACGACAUAUAACAUGCCACAUAAAAUAUCAGAGUAACUAAGAUAUAAACUAUGUAUUUCUUGGUCGAAUUGAGUAUCCGUAGCAUUAAAUGUAAAUCACUAAUUACUGCAAAGAUCAAACUUAUAUUUAAACGAGAGAUUUAACAUUAACUAAUACCAAAUAUUGGCGUUCAAUUACAACUUAUGAAAUACUCAACAUAGGUAAAACCACAGAAUCAUACGAUUCAUACGGUUCGUAUAAGCCUUUCGAGGCUAAUGCAUGUGUAGGCUUGAAGACAUCAUUACUAAGAGGCGGCUAAUAAUAUUAUAAUAUAAAAUACUGCUACUCAUGCAACUGGGUAGGAAGGUUUAGUGGCAAUGCCACAGAGACCUUCAGGUGCUUCAACAUCUCUGAGAAUCCUCAUGUAGCCGGCCUCACCCCAGCUCUCCCCCCAUGAAUUCUUAAUUAACCAAUACUUCAUUCCAUCUUCAGUUGCCCCAAAUCCAACGAUAGCAACAGCAUGAGAACACUGAGUUCCACAUCCUCCGUUAAAAAUACCGCCUUUGUAACUCUGGAAGUCUGGUCCACUUCCUUCAAUGCAAAUUGAUACUGGCUGCAUGGCUACAGCUUGGAGUAAAGCCUGCUCAUCAUUGGGUUUUACAUCUUCAAAGUUACUAAUUUUAGCAGCUGCCUUGACCUGUGCGUCUUCACAAGUCCCUUGGACUUCCUUGUAUGGAUAAUCCGCUUCUGAGGCAAUACCCUGGUUUUUUAUAAUAUAUUUAAAGGCAUUGUCCAUCCAACCGCCACCGCAUCCACGGUUACCAUCUAUGGAGCAGUCUAGUAUUUGCUGCUCCGAAAGUGGAAUAAGAUUACCACUACUAAUCUCAGUCACCCCUUCCACCGCCGCCACAGUUGAAAAUGCCCAACAGUCUCCUGCAUCGUACAUAUUAAGGAAAAAAAAAAAAAAAGGCUUGAUUAAGUUACAUGAAACAUGCCCCAGCAGGGGUUUGGCAGACGGUUGUCAAGCUGUUUUUAUUAAUUAGCUGAUGGUCAACUGAGUUUGAGUUCUGAAAGAGGUUGGAGGCUAAAUAAUCUAUUAUAGUUACUUCAUAAAUAUUUAGUAUACGAUUUACUUACCACAUUGACCUUGGUUCUUAAUAGGAGUGACAGCUCCUUUCUCUCUCCAGUCCAUGCUAGUUGGAACGUCAGUCAGGUUUUGAUACUUGAAGGAUGCUGUUGUGGAUUGCCGUGAUGAAGAUGACUGGCUUGGCACCCUGUAUCCUGUAUAUGAAGCACGAAACUCCUCAUUAGUUAAGUCUGAAAAUUCAUUGGUGCCUAACUUGUACGUCCGAUUCGCCUCCUCAUUGGCUUUCUCAAUGUAUUCAAGGUUUUCUUUGAAUAUCUUAAACCGCUUUUCCUUCUCCAGGUCGUCCUUGUAAGUGCGCCCAUGCUCAGCCAUCCAUUUUUCAUGCUUCUCAACAAUGGAUGGUUCAUGCAGCGACCGGCCGGCGACCGACACCAUUUUAGAUGAAUAAGUCACCAGAAUGAUCAUAGACAGGGCAAUGAUAUCAAAGCUUUUCCCCAUAAUAAUUGGUAGGUAUUUGCAAGUUGAACAAGGUUGUUGUUUUUUUUUUUUUUUUUUUUCCCUUCAAAUUAUAGAGGCUAGCUAGCCAGCUGGGGGUAAGUUGUGAAUACUUGAAGCACGCAUUGAAGCUCUAUAUAUAGUACUUGUAGAUAGUGGAUUUGUGCUCUCAACAUGGGUCGCGUACAAUAUUUGCCUAAUGCAUGAGACGUAUGCGUUGCGUUAGUCGUGCCCCAUACUUCACGAUUUUCAAUCAAGCUAAUUAGUAUGCGAAACCGGACAACCAAGUUAUUAUCAGUUAUCGCCGUGAUUCGCGUACUUCGUGCUUUUGAGGCUUGCUAGCAAUGACUUGACUAGCUUUUAGCGAAGUUACAAAAAGAAUUAUGAACUAAUUUGUAGAUGGACUUUUAUCGAUGAGACUUGCGGCGACGUGGAAAACAUUGGUGUCAUUUUUUUUUUCUUUCAUAAAUCAACUUAAAAAAAGGAAAAUUGGAUAAUAAUGUGAACUCAUUUGGACGGAGUAAAAUAAUUCUUACAAAAUCUACAAUGCAUCUAGCUAGGAUGAACUUUUAUAUAUCUGCGAUAUUAUGAAGAAAUCAUUACUAAUAUGCAUUACAUAAUAUGGCAUAAAAUAUGACACUAAUACUAGAAUUUCUUCCUUUAAGUGCCAAUUUGGUAGUUUAUCUUAACCUGUCAGUGACAACUGUUAUUUCAAGUGCACUUUUUGAGUCUUUAUGCAUACUAUAAUAUAUAGGCUUCAAUGGGGUCUCCUCGUAACUUUCUUGCCUAUCACCUUGAAUAUAAUCAUAACAUCCCGCCAAGUUAAUUUUUUUAGACCAUAGCACGUCAAAAUCUUUAAUGGAUAUAUUACUAAUAGAAUAAUGGUCAAUAUUCUAUUUUUACAUACGGUUUAAGAUAUCUAAUAAAUUGAUAUGGAUUUAAUUUCCUAAAUACCAAAUUAGUGAAUUAUCAUAACUUUUUAAAAACUUAAAUUUGAUGUUAAAGAAAAGGAUAUAUAUAUUAACUUAUUGAUAUAAAUAAUGCUAAGUAUAUAUAUAUUUGCAGCCAAAAGUUAAAUAUGGUACAACAAUAAAAAAAGAUACUUUACACACUCAGUUAUAAUAAACUAAUAUUUAUAACGAUAAUAUGACCCAAUACCCAUAUUGACCCAAUUACUAUCAUAAUAUUGUAUUAGGAUAUUAAAAUUCCACAAUAAUGGAGAUGACAUAAAAUUUGUUUAUAAAAAUGUACAAUACAAUAUUUAAAUUUUUUGCGGUUGAAAAUCGUGAGAACAGUAUGGUCAUCACAAUUAAUUGAUUGUGAGGAGAAUAAAGAGACCAUUACCAUAAUAGCUAUGCAUAAUUCAAUGGCCCGAGAUGGAUUGGCGGAUGGAAUCAAGAAUAAUUUGAUUCAAACUUAAGAAUAAUACAUUAUACAGAAUUACAGAUUGAGAUUAAAUAUACUCUCUUGUUUUUAUAAACAUGUGCAAAAUGCAUGCUUUCUCUUUCAUCUCUGCUUCAAUCCCACUUUAGGGUUUGUUUGUCAAAAGUAUUGUUUUUGAAAAAUAGAUAUUGUUUAAAGCAAAUAAAAUAAAGAUCAUUAAAAAAAUAUAACAACAUAAUGUUUAAUUGAUAAUGAUUUUUGCCAGUGUUAUGAAGGACUACAAAACCGAAUACAAAAUGCCAAAAUUUUGUAACUAGGAAUCAUACCAAAUCACAUAUUAAUUUAAAAUUUAAUUCUUACUUUUAAUUCUUACUUUUAACAUCUAUAUAUGUAUACAUAGAUACACGGUGGGUCCCUCCGAGCAUCGGAUGAUUUUUCGGGCAACGGACAUCUCAUAGAGUUAAGAUCGUCAUCAUCAUCGUCAUUAUACGAAUACAUUACUUUGAAGGAGCUUAUGUUGGACUCCAAUUUUAGGGGUGGCGGCAUUGCCAUUAUAAAUUCAAUAAGAACCACAGUGGACAAUUGUUACAUUUCGCAUUUCACUACCGCUGGCAUUUCCAUCCAAGAUGGCCACGAAACGUAUAUAAGAAAUUCCUUCAUCGGCCAACACAUCAACAUCGGCGGGGAUGAUCGCGAAAAGGAUUUCUCCGGCAUCGGAAUAAACAUCACGGGAAACGACAACACGGUCACUGAUGUUGUUAUAUUUUCAGCAUCAAUUGGAGUAAUGGUACAGGGGCAGGCCAAUAUGCUGACGGGAAUACACUGUUAUAAUAAGGCUACUGACUUGGGAGGUACCGGCAUUUACAUCCGGGCACCAGCAUGUUUUAAAAAAACCCAUUAUUGACAAUUAAUGUUGCAGGUCAUUAAUUUUUAAAAACAAUAACACAAAUGACCCAAUUAAUAUCUAAUAAAAUAUUUUUUUAUUAUCAUAUUUAAUACUAAUAUCAAUAUUAAAUUCAAAAAUCACACUUAUAUUAUAAAUAGCUUGAUUGUAGCAUAAACUUAAUGGGUAAUUGUACAAAAAUAUGUAUUUUGAUAUGACAAAAUACAACAAUUUGAUCAUUGCAAAUUAAAUCAUGGAUUUUUUUUUUAAUGAGUAAAUUACAUAAAUAUGUCUGAUUUUAUUAAAAUUUAGAUAAACAGUGAUCAAAUCAUAAACGUAACAUAUAAAUACAUAAAAUAUUUAUAUUAUAUUUACAUUUAAGUAACAUUUGAUAAUACCAAUUCUUUAAACUAAGACAUAUAAAUUAAGAUUUUUCUGAUCGUUAAAAUUUUGUAAAAACAAUUAUCUAAUAAUUUGACAAUUUUCAUCUUUUACAUUAUCCACAUUUGAAGAUUAUGUAUUUGUACAAAAAUAUCAAAAUUAACUUUGGAUAUGAAAGCUAUAAUGAUAUUUUUCAAUUCUUAAAAUUUAUAUUUCACAAAAUUAUGGAUUUAAAAAAAAAUUGGCACAAUAAAUUUAUGAUGAAUUAUAGUUUUAAUGGUUUACUCUUCCCUCAUAAAAUAAAAAUAAAACUGUUCAAAGAAGAUAUUAGAAGGUUUAUUGGAAUAUUUAAUUUGAUAUUAUAUUUAUUUGUAUUUAACAAAAAUUUGGAUCCAGCCAAAAGCCAAGAUAAUGGGCUAUUUUUUUUUUUACUUCGAGGAGGCUGCUGCACAAUGUAAGACAAGGUCACUCAACCGUUGCUGGUGAUGGAAGAAAUUAAGAGAUGUCUCUUUCAAUAAUUUGACAAGAAAAAUGAAUAUCUAUUUGUUUUCAAUUGGAACUUUGAAUGUACGCAUCAAGCUGACAUCACACGUAUUUUUAUUAAUUUUAUAUUUUUUUGGAUGAAUUAGCUAGAAGCUAGAAUGCCCCGUGAAUUAUUUUGGUUUCAAAAUUUGAUCCGGUUAAUUACAAUUAAGUGCAUCCAAAAGAUUACCAUCAAUUAAUUAGCUUGAGCUUGGGAAUUCUAAUUAAUAAUAGUAAAAUAUAUAUAAUAUAAUACUUGGAAUUAGCUUUGGAUUUGAUCUAACAUAUUUAUACAUACACACGCACGCGCGAUAUCAGCUAGCAAAGCAUGCACGAUUCACUUUAAUUAAUGAGUUGAAUCUUCAAAAAUUAAAUAUUGAUAAUUCUUUUUUUCUUUUUAAUAUUUAUAUAUCAUCUCACCGGCCGUGACAUUAUCAAUUUUUUUAUGUUUUAAAUUUUAUUAACAUCGGCCAGAACUCAAGCCUUCUCAAUUAAUAUGAUAAAAAAUUCGUCUAUUAUACUUGGCACGUUGUUGCCCUUGCUGCCUCUUCUGCAAACGAUGUCGUAUAUUUUAAUCAAAACAAAGAAUGUUGAUAAGACGCGGUUAAAUAUUAACAAUCUUUUUACUUAAAAUUAGUGAGGCCAGUUACUUCAUUCGCCACCUAAUACGCUACACUGCAGGGAAGGGCAAAACCGUCCGAAGUUGAUUCCAAUCCAAUCAAUUAAUUAACCUAAUCAUAUAUCAGCUAUUUAUUAUUGUGUUUUUCACAAAGGGUACUCUAGUUGACAAUUGGUGUUCUCUUUUCCUGUCAUUUUCCAAAUUUUUGGCCUUUUUGUUAGAGUAGUGAAGUUUCUUUCAAGGAUGUCUGCAUUCAUUGAAGGGAUUUUUUUUUUUUUAUGAGUAAUAGAAACAUAAUGUGAAUUUUGAAAAUAACUGCUUUAUUAUAAAAAAUUUUGAAUUGGUUAAAACAUUCUACAUUGUUUUAUACGAGAUUGAAAACUUUUUACUUAAUGUUUUACCUCUUCUAUUUUAAAAAAUUGUAAACCAUGAAAACAAUAGCUUGACAAUCAUGGAUUAAAUCAGAAAUUAAUUUUAAUAUUGGAUAUUUAUAAUUAACAAUUAACAAAUGAUAUCUUUACAGUGAAUUCUUUACAAUAAGUUAAUUUAUAUCAGUUCCACCGCAUUAGUUAACACCAAGAAUAGUCUUUUUAUAAAUUAACUAUUUUUGAAUUAUUAAGUUAUAAAUAGCUAUUUAUUAUGUUUGUACAAGAAAUAAUAUUUUUCCGGAGAAAAAUUAUAGAACAUAUGUUCUAACAGUCGUCUGAUCCCUGCAGAUAUUAAUUGGGUUUAGGAUAAUUUAAUAUUUUGUAAUCCUGUUUGUAACAUUUUAAUAAACACGGUUGAUGAACUACUUGUAAACCAAAUGAUAUCUCCUAAAAAUUUAUUGUUAAUAAUCAACAAUAACAUAAUAACAUUAUUUAUAAAUAACUCUUUUUUAAUAUCAAAGCCUCCACAUUUUUAGCAAAAUGUCAUAAAAAAAUAUACCAAUUUUUUUCUAUUAUACAAAUUUAAUUAAUCAGCGAUAUUCUCACUGUUUCUCCCUUGCAGCCAUUGAAUCCAACUAAUAUGCAUGGCAAUUGCCUAAAACUGAUAAGAAUUUUGCCCCUUUUUUUGGCAACAUGCAUUAUUAUCAUGACACCCUAACACGUGCGCAUUGCGUCACUGCUGGCUUCUGAAGGUUACUUUAAAGCUUCUAUAUAUAAGCGCACUCAUUCUGCAUAGAGACAUAUUUCGGUAUCAUAUGACUUUCUUCUUCAAAGCAAAAGAAAAGCAUUCAGGAAACCUCUAGAGUCUUACCUUCCUCGAUGGCCACAACGUAAGAAUUUGGUUUUUUUUUUUUUUUUUUGGAAUUUCAUAAUUAAUUAUGAUCAUUAUUUUAACGAUCAUGUGUCAUCUUUGAUAGAGCGCAAGAGAAUCUUCCUCCACCGUUGGAUUCGAAGGCCGAGCUACCACCUCUGUUCGAUGGAACUCCCAGGUUGUACAUUUCUUACUUGUGCCCAUUUGCUCAGCGUGCGUGGAUCACCAGGAACUACAAGGUUUUAUUUUUAUUUACUAUUUUUUUUUUUUUUUAUCACUGUUGACCCGUCUCUGCUUUCUAGGUUUAAUUAAAAUAAUAAUAAUAACAAUAACAGUAAUUUAUGGUUUAUUCGUUUCGCCUUUGUCGUAAUACUCUCUUUGAAUUUGACAACUUUUGGUGUGCUGCUGCAGGGAUUACAAGACAAGAUUAAGUUAGUUCCACUGAACCUCCAAGAUAGGCCCGCUUGGUACAAGGAGAAGGUUUAUCCUGUUAACAAGGUGAUGCUGAUGCUGAUGUGUGAUCAAUAAUAAUAUUUGAUUUUAUUUGAUUGAUCAUUUAAGUAAUUUGAUAGAUCAACAAUAUGUGCAUUCUUUUGGUUAACAUGGAGCUUAGAAUCUGCUGGGAAGAUUUUGAAUAGUAUUAGAAAGUUUCUGAAUAAUAAUUAGGAAUUUUUCUAAUCAAGGUGUUGAUAGACCAAUUCAGAUAUAGAAAAGGAAGAGGUUAGUUGUGUUUGGUAUUGAGGUAGGGCGGCUGUAAAUUAAAAGGUACAGAGUUAAAGUGUUUUGUAAAACUCUAAUAUUUCUACUAUUUUUGUCAAAAUCUUAAUUUAAAAUUCAUAUUUAUUACGCAUUUUUAACUUUUAUUUUAUAGUUACAGUUUUUUUUUUUUUUUUUGGGUCCGUGGCAGCUGUAGCUAAAAAAACCACAGCACCUCAAUACCAAAUAGCCUAAUUAUGUGACUCUGUGUCCUUAUGCCCCAUCUUUGAAAUUGAAAUGCUUGUAAUCUGUGCGGAGGAGUUCCUGAAUAAAAUUGGAAUGGUGUCUUUGUGCUUUGUGUGCCUAGUAAAAUCUUAACAUAUUCUGAUUUGAGCAAGUUGCUUGCUUGCAAGAAAACACAACGAAAGAAUUAAACUGAUUGUUACACUUUCGUGCAAGAUUAGGGAUCAUUGCUGGAGUUAUGAAGUAUAUUUACCUAUUAGAGUUCUUCUUGACAGGUUCCAGCACUGGAGCACAAUGGCAAAGUUAUUGGAGAAUCUCUUGAUUUGAUUAAAUAUGUUGACAGCAAUUUUGAAGGGCCUUCACUUUUACCUGAUGUAAGAUUUUUGCUGAUUACAUUGUUGCUUUUAAUAAAAGCUUCUCUCUCUCUCUCUCUCUCUCUCUCAACUUUGAGUAAAGUAAUGUUGUGAAAAUAUUGUAGGAUCCUGAGAAACGAAAGUUUGCUGAUGAACUGUUUUCCCACAUCGAUACCUUCACCAACGAUGUGUAUACUUCAUUCAAAGGAGACCCAGCAAAACAAGCUGGUAGGAUUUGAAACUUGCUUACUUGUUUAUAAUGGAAUGCAUUUUGAAUAUGUAUAUAUAUGUGCUGAACUCACGGAAAAAGUUUUAAUUUGUCACAGGUCCUGCUUUUGAUUACUUAGAGAAGGCCCUUGAUAAAUUUGAUGAUGGCCCGUUCUUCCUUGGACAGACGACUAGACAAUAAAGAAUAUUCUUAAAUACUAAGGCUACCAUAUUUAUUUGGAAAUAAAUGUUUGUUAAUAUUAAUAAACCCAUACAUUAAUAGAUGAUGUGUUGUGAAUACUGAUGACCAUACUGUUAUAAAUGAGAACAUAAAUUUAAUGUUAAAAUCACAUAUUAACAUCAUUGAAUACUGAUGUUUAAAAUAUUAGUAAAAUACUUAAAUAGCAAGUGUAUUAAUUAUUUUUUAUUAAUUAACAAUAUUUUACCAAUCAGAUCUCAAUUAUCUCAUCUUCUCUUAAAUAUUUCUGCCUCGUGUAGGUGUAUAUAUGGGUGUGUUUUAAGGUCUCCGUACGGGUUCUUGUCUUCACUGGCCUAUACAGAGGAAGCGGAGCGAAUAACGCAGUCCAAAGGGCUUGUGUUUUGCUUAAAUGAUGAGCCGGGCGUAUACAGAGUCUGGAUGCCGAAUGGUGAGACUCCGGGACUAGCCAUAUCAAGAGCCUUGGGUGAUUACUGUGUCAAGGACUAUGGCCUAAUCUCCGUGCUCCAUGUAACGCAAAGAAACAUAACAACACGAGACCAGUUUGUCAUUCUGGCAUCGGACGGGGUACGUAUCCACAUAUUGGAAUUAUCUUUUGAUCUGAACUAACGUCAAUGUUUGAAAGAUCAAUUAUGGAUUUUUCUUCAGGUUUGGGAUGUGAUUUCGAACCAAGAGGCGGUGGAGAUUGUUUCUUCAGUAGUGGAUAGGGAAAAGGCAGCAAAAAGAUUGGUGGAAUGUGCUGUUCGGGCAUGGAAAUAUAAGAAACGAGGCAUUGCAAUGGAUGAUAUUUCUGCCAUUUGUCUCUUCUUUCACUCUUCAUCGUCCCCUCAAAAGGUGGAGCACAAUUUGAAGGAUUCAAAACUGCAGGCUGGCAUUUGAAUGAAUUUGAAAACAAGGGCUGCUUCUUGGCUAUUGUGUCUGUUGCCAAAGCACUACUUGUAUGUAUAUAUAUGUCUGCGUUUAGGGAUGGUAAUUGUACCCGCAAACCCGCCCAAACCCACCCGCCAAAACCCGCCCGCUGUGGGUAAUUUUACCCGUUGCGGGCGGGUUUAGUAUUAUAAACUAAAACCCGCAUAUGGAUGCGAGUGGGUUUGGUAUUAACCUUAUAUCCGAUGGAUACCCGCAUGGAUAUCCACCAAACCCGCAAUAUUUUUUCCAAAUAUUUUUAAUUUAAUUUUAACCUAAAAAUGUAUAAAGAAAAUAAUGUCAUUAUUCAAAUUACCAAAUAGUCAAAGGCUCAAAGUUGUGUAUAUGUGUAUGUGACCCAUUUCCCAUUCUAAAGUCAUAAUCUAAAGAAAACUAAAGGCAUUUCCUUUCGAAUUUCCCUUCGAAUUAGGGCCCGUUUGGUAUUGUUUUUGAAUUCGUAUUUUCUGAGAAUAAAAAUGAAAAUGAAAAUGGUGUUUUGUAGUUGCUGUAUUUCGAAUUUAAGUAUGCGUCUGGUAUCAUUUUCUGUAUCCUAUAUUUUAAAACUGAAAACAGUAAUAUGCGUUUGGUAGAUACAGUUGAAAAUGAUAAAAACAGAGAAUAUGCGUUCGGUAAUACUUUUUUCAAAAACAGUUUUUACUAUUAAGCAAUUACGUCAUAUUUAUAAUUAUUUAGCUAAUACAUACACAAAUACAACAUAAUAAUUUAAAACAAAAUUAUUAUAAAAAAUUUACAUGAUGAUAAAGUUUUAGAAUUAACAUUAAUUAAAAAAAAUUACAUUGUCAUUGUUUUUACAUAAUAAUUAAGAUAUAUAUUACAACACAUGAUUUAAACAAAAUAAUUAUAAAAAAAAUACAUAAUAAACAUUAUACAUUACGUAUGUAAUCAUGCCACAUAGAAGCUGCAAUUCUAUCUCUUGUAGCACUCAUCUCGGCGACACUUGCUGGAGAUAAAUCAAUAUUAGUAAGUGGCCUACUAGUGUCUCCUUCUUCGUUGGUAACCAAAUCUUGCACAUCAAAGUCCCCAAAUAACCUAUCACUUGCAUUUUCUGGUCGAAUAAAGUUAUGUAAAGCGCAACAUGCAAUUAAAAUUAGACGUUGCUUAUGUAAACUAUAAUUAUGCCACUACAAGAAAAAUGAGAUUUAACAAUGUGUAAUGUACGUUGUUAAACACUUUCAACAGCGGGCAACCGCAUGCUGUUGAUCAAGAUGUUGUCUUUAAGGCUGUCUGUUUUAACAACAUAUAAAGAGUGUUGUUGAAAGUUAUUUACUUGUUGCUUAAAAGUUUUUAACCACAAGCUGUAAAUGUUGUCUUCUACUAUUUUAUUACAUAUCUUUUAAUAACAUGCAGAUGCAUGUUGUGAAUUAGUUUUUUUAAGUAAUUUAAUAUUUUUAACAUAAUAUAUUUUUAAAUUAAUUUGGAAGCUCUCAAACAAAUGCAUAAAAUACAAACUAAAAAACACGUAACAUAUAAUUAAAAAAAAUCCACUUUAUUAAUUGAAUAACAUUAUAGUAUUACAUUUUUUUUUUACAAUAUAAAAUAAACAAAAUGUCAACAACUUGAUCUAAACUCUUCAAAAGUUCAAGCUCUAUUGUGUAGUGUCCUCAGAAUAAAAAAAACAAGGGAAAAGCCAAUUUAAUAAAAUUCACCCUAUCUUCAUGAAACAACUGAAAUGAAUGCAUACUCAAUCCAUUAUAUCAACUAGGAAUGAUAUUUACUGCAUCCUGAGCACCACCAGCCUAGCCUGUUACAUCAAAAGCAAGCAAACUUAUCAUUAGCAUGCUCUCUUCUUUAAUUGGGUAAGAAAAGGACAUUUGGAUACAAAGUUUAGCGAAGGAUAAAGAAGUAUGAGUGCAAACCCUUGUGUGUAUGAAAUAGUACCCAGAAAAAUACUGAAAUAAAAAAAUAAGGUGAAAAUUAUAUAUCACCUGGAUAUUAAAAUAUCAACAUGCUUAUGAGCAAAUAGAGCAAAUUUCAGAGCAGUGAGAACCUCAAGUUUUUUCAUUAAUUAAUUAAGGAAAAUAAAGGAGUGCAAAAGAUAAUAGCACAUGUACAAAUUGCAAUGCUUUACCAAAUUAUUACAUUGUAAGCCUGCAAACUUGAAACCUUUCUAUUGAAGAGACACAGACAUGUUGCAUAUUAUGCACAAUCUCUGCCUGAAAUUACCAUGAAUGGUUCCAGAAAAGAAACCUCAAACUAUGGUUAAGGUUAUAGCUACUGGUCAGACCACAAACCUACAAUAAUUAGUAUUUAAUGCUUCCCCAAAAAAACAAAAAAAAAAACCUAAAAAAUGCUGCUACAUACUCUGAAUCCAAGUUUGCUUUUAUUUCUCUAUAUUUGCCUUUGAAAAUCUUAAUUAUAAUGCUUAUUCCGUCAACAUCUACUCAAUAAAGAACAAUAAAGAAGUAAAAAUAAAGAACCCAUCACUUUCCAAAUCCAAAAAUUUUCUCACUUUCUCACCAACAAAACAUCCUUUUUCUUUCUCUCAAAACCUCAUCUUCCCACUCAAACUCACUCAAUUUCAACUCAAAUUCCACCAAAAUUUACCUUUAAUUUGAAGAUGAGGCAGCUAAUUCGCCGUCUUUCUCGCGUCGCCGACUCCUCGUAGUACAGUCUCCGUGCUUGAACUUGAAGAAAGUAGCAGCAGCUCGAACUUGAAUAACAUCGGCAGCAGCAGCUCGAAAAUCGGUAGUUCGAUUACCACCACCUACUUAGCAAAAAUAAAAGCUGGAGCUAAUUCCUCACAAAAAGAAAAAAGUAAAAACCCACAUCCAAUUUCACCAAACAUAAGUAAACCCAGAAAAGAUUUAAAGAAAUUAAGAAAGAACAAUUGUUCACUAAAAUAAAAGAAAAUUAAAAGCUUACCAUACAAUGGGCGGGCAAGUGACAGAUCCGGGAGAGCAAAGACGGAGCAGCAGCAGCUAGACGGAGUCGUAGCAGCAGCGGUUACGGCGGAGACAGAGCAGCGGCAGUGGCUAGCACACCAAGAGCGACCAAGAGAGAGUGGAUUGGGAGAGAAAGAUGUUGGAUGAAGAUAAGGGGAGGGAGAGAGUGUAGAUUUACUGCAACUGGAUCUAGAAAAGUGAGGGGAAAGAGAGAGUUGCAGUGAACUGGAUUGAGAAAAGUGAGGGCUGCAGUGAAGAGAAAAGGAGGACGAGGGUCACGAUUUUCUUUUGUUUUUUAAUUCAUUUUUAGGUUUAGUUUGUGAUAUUUGAAGAACAUGUUUAAGUUGUUUUCAGUUGAGUAGUUAUAAUAAUGAAUCCGGAUUUUGUGUUUUGUAAUCUGUUUUUUGAAAUUAAUUGGCCGAACGUGUAUUAUAUGUGGAUUAUGAAAAAGAAAAUGAAAAUGUUGCGUGGAAAAGGGUACCGAACGGGCCCUUAGUAUUUGAAAAUAUUAAUCUUAAUUAUUAUUAUAGGCAUUGUGUUGGAUGGGUGCUUAUGUUGGUGAAUGAAAUGAAUAUCUUCUCUUGGAGCUUGUUUUAAAUGAUAAUAUGAAAUGUAAUUAUUAUUUUUAGAUACUAAUUUGUAUUUUUUAAAUGAAUUUGUGUAAUUUAUACUUAAAUUUGAGAAUUUGUGUUGGAUUGAUGUGGAAAUUUUAAUUUUUUAUUUACUUUGUUUAAAUAUAAAAUUGAGUAUGCUAUAUGGAAUUUGAGGUUAUUAUUAUAAAUUUAUAUAUUAAACAUUUGUGAUUUUAAAUACGGAAACUCGCAAAAAAUCUGCCGGGUACCAUUGCGGGUUUGGUAAUUGUUAAAACCCGUUGUGGGUGAGUUUUUUUAAAAAAAUUAAAACCCGCUGCGGGUUGCGGGUGGGUUUGGUAAUUUAAAUUUUGUGCGAGUUUGGGUUUGGUAAUGGCAAACCCGCUGCGGCCGGUACCCAUUACCAUCCCUAUCUGCGUUUUGUACGCGACAGUCUAAUAUAAAUUACACAGGAGAGAGCCCAGGAGUUCAAGUGACCCAAUAGUAACUUAACAUUGUUUGCAAUCCCUUGGUUGCAUCUUGUUUGCAACAUGAUGAUUUCAUUUUCAUGUAAUGGCAUUUACUAUCACCAAAUUGUACAUUUAUGUUGUGGCUAUUAUUAAAUUAUAAUAUAAACUACCCGAUAAUUAUUCAAUGCGUAUUUGUUAGUAACAUUUACAUUAGAAAACUUCAAAAUUUAUCUAAUGUGGUGGAGGAGAACUAAUAACAAAAGAAUGAAGAAAUGAGAUAAUAUAUUUACAUAGAAUCAUUAUAUAUUAUAAAUUUCCACAUGUUCUAAAAUAUGAAUUUGAUACAUGAUUAAAUUGAAACUAAAUAAUAAAUGUAAUAUAAUUCCACAAUUAAAUUUUAAAACGCGUGAACUUUCCACCUAAAAUUUUUUAUGGAUAACCAACCGUGAUUAAAUGUAAUUUUUUUUUUCAAGUACAAUUGAGAAACUCAAAAGAUAUAUGCAUAAUUUUACAUAAGGAUGAAAAUAUUCCAAACUUGAUUAAAGAAGAAUGCUUAAUAUAUGUAACUUGUACAUUAGUAAUGGUUUUGUAGGAAAGGGACAAAUGAAGACAAAAACAAAAUUACUCAUAAUUAAGGGGAUAAAUUAUAAAUAGGAAAAUUAUCAAUUGUAUACUUUAUUAUCAAAUUUACUACAAUACUUUUAGGGUAUAUCAGUCAUUCAUCUUAAGUUGACAAAAUAUAAUGUCGUUCACCAUACCUUAGUUGCCGUUUAAAUAUGAUGACGUUAGAGGGGUAAUAUGGUCUUUUCAUAUGAUACAAGUGAUAAUUUAAAGGUAUAUAAAUAAAAAAAAAUUGAUGACCAUGAAAUUAAUCUAUAUCAAGCAGCUUUUUGGAUGAUUCAUAAUUUUUUAUAAAUAUUAAUUUAUAAAUUGCAAUAAUGAUUUAGUGAUGGGUGUCGAAGCCAACAAAAAUAAAUUCCUACUCUAAAUAAAUUGUGUAUAGUGAUUGAGCAGGGUCGUGUCCACAGAGAUCGGUAAUUAUUUAAAUCCUUUUGAAACGUAAAACGUAAAAUGGGGGAAUUGUUGACAAUAAUAAAAAUCAAAUUAAAGUAACAAGAAUGCAAAUUAAAGUUGUAAUUCAAAUUGGAGAAAGCUCUGGUUGAAGGAAUUAACUCAGCUUGAUUCGACUACUGAUCAUUGAUUCAAAUAUAGAUUAUCAUUACUUAUGAAUAGAGCGGUUAUAGUUAUUGAGACCCUCUAAUAGCCAAUCUCUCCUUAACUAGUCGAUAACCAAGGUACGACCGUUGGAUAUUUCCCUAAUCAAUAGACAACCCUAGAUACGAUCAUAGGAUUUAAUCAAUUGACAGCCUGAAAAACUAGAGAGACCCAAAUCCUAAUCAACACAUAUGAUGAUUCAUUUAAAUUAGAUUGUUUAUUCUCACAACACAACUCUCUGCUAUGUUAUUUGUCACAAACAUUAAAUUCUUCAUACGAUGAAUCCUUUAAUUGACAAUAGAUUAAGUUGAUAAUUAAAUAGUGGCCAAUUACCUAAUUAACAAACAUAAUCAUGAAACUAAUUCAGAGAAUAAACAAAUACCCAAAAAGUAAUAAAACAAUUAAAGCAUAAGAAAGAUCUCACAGUAGUGAUGAAUCAAAGCUUCAUUAUCCUUCAACCAGAAAAAUAGGUUUAGUUCUUCAUAGAGAGAAGAGAAAAAUUAGAUCUAGGGUUUCUUUCUUUUUCUCCAAUCCAAAUCCUCUUUUUCACAAUAGAUUCCUCCCUUAAAUACUCUCUCUCUCUUCUCUUUUAGAAUUCUAUUUAAAAUAAAAUACUAAUAUCUGAAAUAUUAAAUUCGUAAUUACAAAAAUAACCAAAAAUACAAAACACGUUAAACUAAAAACUGCAGGUCCGCAGUUGACAGCACGCGCCCACGCCUUAUCAACAAAGUUCUUCUGACGCUCAUAAUUUCUCCUAGAGAACAAUCCUCCUUAAACAUCAUCUUUUAGCUCAAUUUUAUCAUCAAUCAAUAGAAUUGCACCUACAAAAGUAAAACACAAGUAAAACAUUAUUAUUAAGUGCAAAACAUCGAUAUUAAGGGAAGUAAACAAUGCAAAACUAGUGCAUAAAUUGCACUCUAACAUUUAGCCAAAAUUUAACAGGGAGUUAAUUUAAGAAUUAAAAUUAACAUGAUUUUGUUAAUAACAAAUGAUGUUUUUGUUAACUUAUAUAUGACUUGUGUGUGCAUGUGAAACAUUGGUGUUAUUACAUCAAAAUACUUGAUAUUAUUACAAAUGUUUCAGAUUAAAUUUUUAUUAGAAAAUUAUUUUAAAGUUACAAACUAACUUUAAAAUUGAAAUUGUCAAUUUAUUUGGGAUUAACUUAUUGUAAAGUCUAACGGAAAAUAAUUCUGAUAUGACAAUUAAAUUUUAUUAUAAACAAAUAGAUAUCUUAGAUGUUAUUUCAAAUUAAUUUUUAAUAAGUUCAUUUUCAGAUGUAAACUUGACCUUUAAUUAAAUCACAUAUUAACUGAGAAAUAUUGUUAAAAUAUGUUAAAUCUAAUGACUCGAGACAUCGAAUCAGAUGUGAUCAGAUCAUUCAGGAGGGUUCGGGUUCAGGGGUCUCAUCUCUUUUGGCCCUGCAUAUUGCUUGUUCCCUCUGUGCUAGCUUUUAGUAACUGAAAUAUAUCGCUGAUUGGCUGAUUUAAUUUGUACGUGCACCCGUUUUGCUCUUUUGGCAGUUCUGACUGACAGACAGACGUCUCUAGUGUACACUAUUCCUGCUGAGCUGUUUCAGAAUGAGAGAGAAAAAAUUGGCUGACAUUUCACAAUUAACACACACACACACACACUCCACUUUCUGCACUACUCGAUCGAGAAAUAAAAGGAGGUACGUGUCACCACUUUAUUUUAUUUAUUUUUUAUUUUUACCAAAUCCAUAUUAUUAUAUACUAUUAUUUGGUUCAUUCGUUUCCAAUUCUGCCCUUUGCCCCAUCUCUUUUACAAUGUCGCAUCAUUCUUUUUGGUACUAUAGUUAGUUAGUUUAUAUGCUAAUGCCUAGUCUAGUAGUUACCCGAUGUUUAAUUUAUUAUGGCGUAGAUACAGUUAGAGAUGCUCAAUGGGUCGGGCCAGUAAGUAAGGCCCAUGCGUGCUUAUGCUUGUGUUGUGUCAUGUCGAGAUUUAUUUAUUUUUUUUUUUGUUUAGGCCCGGCCUAACACACAUGCCGAUACAUGCCGUGCUAUGCCUAAGAAAAAAAGCUCACUAAGUUUUUUUUUUUUUAAAUUUUUUAAAGGGCAUACUAAACUGUUGGCGUAUUUUUUUCAAGUCUAUAUAUUUUUCUUAAGUCUAUACUUUUAUUCAAAUUUAAUAGAAUUAAAAAAUCAAAACUCAAGUUUAUAUUCAAUAAUAAUAAACUAAUAAUAGUAAGAAAAUGUAAUAUUUAAUAGAUCUAAGUUUGACCUCUUAGUAUUAUAAUUUUUUUAAUACUCAACAACAACAACAACAAUAAUAAUAAUAAUAAUAUUUUCUUAAGGGUUAACUUAAUUGUUAACUUAGAGUUACAUAGAGUCAUAGAUCAUAGUUCACAAUAAUAUUAAUGCAUAUUUAUAAAAUCAUUAUAUUUAUAAUUUUAUUCAUUAAAAUCAUGAUAUCAAUUAUUUAUUUAAUAAAUUAUAAAUAUAAAUUAAUUAUAAUAUUUUUUUAAACUAAGAAUUAAAUGAAUUUAAAAAAUUCAACUUCAAGUUAUUUAUAAAACAUAAAAUUUUAAGUUUAUUUUCAUUAAAAAAAAUAUAAUGUGCUUAUUGUGGGCAUUUUCAUCGUGCUGUGCUCAGUCCAUCUCUAAUCAUAUCAUAUUUUUAAGACUCUUGUGCUUAUAAUUCUAAGCCUGGCCCGACCCACAUCGUGCUCCACCGAAAUAAAUCUAUGACACUAAAGUGUUGAAUCUGAUAGAUAUAAAUGCCGAAGUUUUAUAAAUUAAACUUUUAUCACUUUAUUUUGUUAUAUCUGUUAACAAAGCAAAUGGAGAAUUUCAGGAUAAUGAUUUUUGUUUUAAAACUAAGGAACCACUUUUUUUAAGAAAAAGAAGCACUUAGCACUAACUAAUACCAAGUAUUUGAUGUCAUAACACCAAUUGACAAAUAUUAUCUUGCUCGAAAAAUUAUAACAAUAAUAUACAGCAUAUCUAAACUGGUAAUAUGUAUUGUAAAAAUUGGAAAAUGGUGGAGUAUUAACUCUCCAUUAAUGUUAAAAUUUAAAAUCAUAAAAUUUAAAAUUGUGCUCGUCACAAAGGUAUUCAAAAAUUUAUGUUAUAUAAUAAUUUAUAACACAAUACAAUUUAGUUGGUUCCGAUAAUUUUUUUUAUAAAAUAAAAUUCAAAUCAAACUGAACUGAGUUGGUUCGACUUUCGAUUCAAUUUCGUUUUGGCUUGGUUUUUCUUUUUAAACUGUAAAUUCCUCUAUAUUUUGUAUUUUUUUUUCUGUUUUUGAUUUUACGAAUUGACUUGUUUUUUUUUAAUUUUUGAAACAAAACCAAACCUCUAGUUAGCUUUUGGAUUUUUGGCAACAAUGAUUUUUUUAUACCCCUACUUCUGAUAUUAAAAUUUUGUAGUGUACGAAAUUGUAUUUUGUAGUUAUAUGUUGCCCUAAUUUAGGCUUGACUCUUAGGCAUUGACCUAUACAUUGUACUUAAACUUGAUUUUUUUGCAUAUAUUUGUGCCUAUAUACAUACGUAUUGAUGAUCAUUUUUAUCCUAACAAUACACGUUAUUAUUCUUUUUUUUUUUUAAAAAAGGAAUAUUCAUGUAAACUUUUUAAAAUAUUGUUAAGAGGAUAAUUCCAUCAACAAAAAAGACUACUGAAUAUUAGCCAAAUAGGUUGUUUUUAUUAAAAAAAUUACUUUCUAUAGAGAUAUGUGAGUAAUGAAAAUGUAUUUUGGGCAGCCUAUCUAGUACUCAAACUUUUCUACUUUUUAGAAGCAUUGAGUUUUUCUUUGGCUUUUUAUUGUAAUUUUUGAAUUCUGAGAAACUAGAAGGGACUUUCAUAGAAGUCAAAUUAAUACCUAUGCCUAUUGUGGUUAAUUAGCCCUUUAGAAGCAUGAUUACUUAAUUGCGUGCUUUAUUUUUCGUUUACUUUAUUAUUUUCGGUAAUUUAUUAAAUUAAUCUUUAAUUAAAUUUGGCUAAGACUUAGGUGGUGGAGAUAAAUCAAUCAUAUUUUUAUCUGUAUUAAUCUAUAGGUUAUAAUAUUAAUUGAUAUUAUAAUUUUUUUUUAAAAGAAAUUUAUUAAUCUAUGACCUAAAAAAAAUAUACCAACUGUUAAGGGUUAAAAAAAUUAGAAUUUUUCACGUAAUUCAAAUUUAUUUACUUUCUCCAAAUUCAUCUCAUACUUGAAAUUCCAAGGAAAAAUAUAAUUAGAAGAGCAAGAGUUAAGGGUUAAAAAAAUGGAAAAAUAGGGCUCCUCUGUUUUCAUUCCCCUGUUUUUCUGUUCGGUGAUUGCAAAUAUUUAAAUCAGAAUUUAUGAUGCAGCCUACACGGCACCUGGUGGAUGACUGUUAGGGUUUAUCUUAAUUUAUGAUGCAUUAGGAUAUGAUUUUGAUAAAUGAGCUUUUUAUGUAUCCUGUGAGGCUGAUUAUUAUUUUAUUACAUUGAAGAUUCAGUUAUCUCUUGGUAGUCUUGUGAAUCAAGCGGAUUUAGUUAGUAGUAGGUAAUACUCUGGACUUCACAUACUAAACGGAAUGGAGCAUUAUUUUAUCCCGCUAAAUCAGUUUUUUUUUUUUAAAUUAAAAAAUAAUUCAUCAAACACUUUAUAGCUCUGGUUUUAAGUUGGUAAACACUUUAAGCCGCAACUUUAAAUUCAGUUUACGAGAACUCCUAACAGUCACUGUGGCUUGGGUAGAAAUGAAUAUACUACCUUUGUUUCAUAAGUAAUGCUACCCAGGAAAUGUAGUUGAACCUAACCAAACUAAAACCAGAUGAUGAAAGCUUAUAUACACCAAGAGAUUUAUUCGUUUCUGAGUUUGUUUCCAGAAACCUGGAAACUCCCCUGUUUCUACAAACACGGCACCUGUGUUUUCAUUCCCCUGUUUUUCCAUUUGGUGAUUGUAAAAAUCUAAAUCUAAAUUUUUGAUGCAGUCUACACGGCACCUGCUAGAUGAUUGUUUGGGUUUAUCUUUUAUUCUUAAUUAUGAAUUUAAUUUAGAUUCGUAGUGUGCGCCUUAUGAAAGAUUAAAUAGAAUAAUGUGAAAAAAAAAGAAUGCCUUUCUUAAUUUUGACUUCAUAUUGUUGCAGUAACCGUCCUCUCUUAUCAUUCCCCUGUUCUUUGGUUUAGUGAUUGCAAAUAACAUUCUUUCCAUCUACUCUUUAUUUAUUUUUUUUUAAUUUUUAACUUAUUAAUUCUUGUUCUUCUUAAAGCGUUUACUAAAUUAUAUGAUCACCUGAUCAAAUCCCUCACAUUAACAUACAACAUAACCAACAAAGUGUUGGCUCUAAGUGGCUUGACUGGGUUUGCUCCCCAGUUCGAGUCGCAGGAAAGUCGUCUUUGUUGAGAGAAAUUGUGCCUCCCGGUUCCUGUGGGGACUUCUAGUAUGGGUUGUGGUACGGGCUUAAAGGUGCCUCCCACAAUUGGGGCCCUCUCCAGGAUACCUCGUGGUCAAGACAAAAAAAAAAAAAUACAACAUAAUGUAUUAAUGGAAUUUAUUAUUUUAUCAUAAUUAAAUUGAAGAUUUGUUCAUGCAGUUUUGUAUGAUGAGGAGUUUUCAUUUUUCUGUCAAAUACAAGAACAAUUUGUAAAUAGUGUCCAUGAAGGCUUGAAUGAAGAAUGGAAUUUAAUAAUUUUAGAAGAAUAUUGGCUUAUAGAGCAUAUUAGUAGGGAUAAGAUUUGUAGGAUGCCUGAUAAAAGAGAAAGCGAAAGCUUGAAUGAAGAAUAGCAUUUUUAAAAAGAAACUAAUGUGCAAUGUAAUAAUCAAAGUAAGAUCAAUAAUGACUUGAUCAGUUAUGCUUUUUAUUAUUUCAUUUAUUCUGUCCACAAAUCUUAUCCCUACUAAAAUGCUCUAUAAGCCAAUAUUCUUCUAUAAUUAUUAAAUGAAGAAGCGAAAGAUUGCAUUGUUUUCGGGAAAUUGGAGUACUUGGGACUUGACUGUUUGCCAAGCCUAACAAGCUUUUUAUUCAGGUAAUUACACUCUUGAGUUCCCGUCCUUGAAACAAGUACUUGUGAGACAGUGCCCAAAGAUGAAGAUUUUCUCUCAAGGAAUCAUAGGGACGCCAACGCUAAAUAAAGUGAAACUCACCGAAAAAGAAGAAGGAUGCUGGGAAGGCAACCUCAAUGACACCAUACAUAAAUUGUUCAAUGAAAUGGUCAGUAUUAAUUAACUAAGUAUUGGCGCUAACUACCAAAUUAUUUUGUAGAAAUGGAUAUGGUAUAAUAUGAUUGGUCGACUGAAAAUAUAUAAUAACAAAAAAUAAAUCAAGUGGUCCAUGUGAUGUUUUUGUUUAACCAAUCAUAUUAUGUCACAUUAAUUUAUACAUUAUUGUUUGUCUGACGGAGUUUAUAGUUGUAUCAUAACAUUUGCUUCUUUUUUCUUAUUGUUAUUAUUAUGGUAAUGUAUGCUUGCUUACACAUGUAUAAUUACAAACAUGCAGAAUUCUAAAGACAAGAUUGAGCCCACCCUUCAAGUAUAAAGAAGAAGCUAUCUCGACCCAGGCCGAUCUCUUAUAUAUGAUUCAACUCGCACGUUUUCCUCUACUUCAAAAUUUUGUUCCCAGAUGCAUUUAUAGCAUUUUGGUCAUGCUACAUAAUUGCAAGACACUUUGGAUUUGCUUGGUGCACACUGGUUAAGCGAGGGCUUGAAUUGAUGUUUCAUAUGCAUGCAAUAUUCAACUUCUAUAUUAUUUCUCCAAUUGGUAUUUUAAGCAUUUGAUUUCUAGCCUGAUUGACUGAUUCAAUUGAGGAUCUGUAGUUGAAGAAAACAGCACAAGACAAUGUUUAUUUCAUUUUUUUAUAGUAUUAUCAAAUAUAGUGUAUUGACAUUUAUUAAAAGGAAGUAAUCCGUCAAGCUGACCUUCUCAAACCAGCACUCUCUAAAUUAAAAGAAUCACGUGAAGUCAAGAUCAUGUUGUAGAUCUUGUGGAAAUAGGUAAACCCAUAUUCUUUACACAGCAUCAUAGGAAAAUCAAUUUUUCCAUUAGUAUCUAUGUUAAUGUUGAGCUUUAAUAGUAUUAGCUAUUCAACAAACACAGUUAUUGUGUAUAUUAAAAAGUUAGAAACCGGUUGAGUGACGGUUGGGAAUCAAUCAGUUCACUUGUUUGCUUGUGAGUACGACAUUUAGAGACCGAUUAAACAAUUUUAAAACUAUUACUCUCAGAUUCCAAAAAUAGUAAAUAAAGAAUCAGAAAAUUUCCUACUAGCUAUACUUAUGCAAAAGUCUCAUUUGGAAACAUCAAUGACUUUCAUUCAAAGAAAACAAUGAAAAUGGGAUCAAAAUACAUGUGUGUAUACCUAAAACAAAUGAUUUUUUUUUUCGGGUAUUAAAAAAAGUUGAGGUGCAAUGAAACCACAGUCAUGAUGUUUCUGGUUCCAAUCAGCCGUUCUGGUAAUUCAUCUGUAGUGUUUGACUGCAUACUAAAGAGUAAGAUAAAGAAGAGACAGAGGAGGCGUUUUACCAUUCUGAGAACAUUGCAGCACGCAAUAUCUCAAAUUCCGACGUGCUUCAUUUAAAAGUGCCCCCCCCCCCCCCCCCCCCCCCCCCCCCCCCCCCCCCCCCCAAAAAAAAAGAAGAGAACAAUCAUACGUACCUGUACUAGGGAAGCCACAUCAACCACCACUGUCGUAAUUACACCAAUUACAAAGGCCAAAACUCCAUUUGCAAUAGUAGAAGAACCGAUGUCAACAUCAAUCUACAGACAGAGGAACAAUGUUAAACCAUGUUAAUGGUAUCGGACGAGCUAUUUGAAAGGGGAACAUCUCAUGUAUGAUAGAAAUUCCUAGAGCGUUUACUUCUAAGUACUUGGGACCGCGAAUAUAAUUACGAUCAACUUCUUUUCCUAAUAAACAAGGGGUGCUUCCAACACUCUGGUGCACGAUCCAUGACCCCUGCAUGAUUUAGCGCUUAAAAUCAAGAGCAGGUGCAAAACAAAUUCAACAGAGUGAAAAAAGGUCAUUAAGUUAGAAGGUACAACCCAUCAAUACAUUUAUACCUAAAUGUACGCUUCCUUUGCACAAAUUGAAGUGUACCAUGCAGUGAAGGUUACGACAUGUUAACAAAGUCCUAAUACAUGCAGACCAAGAUGGAUAUCUUAGGGACGGAUGGAAUAAGCUUCAGCCUACUAUUGGGAAGAUCAUCAUCGCCAUCAACAAAUCGUUGCAGAAGGGAUCCCAUAACUAAUUCCCUUGUGACAAAUAAAAUGCCAUACUGUAAUGUGUUGAACCGGAAGCCUGCAGAUGUCUUACGUUACAACGAUCCAACCUCCCAAUACGACAAGUUUGAAACUUAAUACCUUUUGAAAUGAAACAAACUUAACUUGAAGAUCAAAAAUUAAUGAGAAAAGUCAUUUUUCGGAAGCAACCUACAUAUUUUAGAAUAGGGCUCAGAGUGUCACAGAUUCAACGAACCCUAGGAUCUCACAGGCAGCAAUUUCUGCUAAUCCGUCAAGGGAAAAAGGAAAAAUAAAAAGAAAAGAAUAGUUACUUGUGCAGCACAGCCUUGACGUCUAGCAACAUGGUCCAUUCUCUUUGUGCGCUUGAACCAAUCAACAGCACAAGCGCAAGAAGAGCCAACCAAACUACUUCAUAACAUGUCAAACUAGAACAUGCAGGAUAUAUAAAUACCAUAACAAACAACCAAAAUACGGGGGAACCUUUGUUUUGUCAUAACAAAAAUGCUUGCUACGAACUCUGAAGUUGUUUCCAUCAGAAAGUUUCCUGCAGUCAUGAGCAUUAUCACGGUCAUCGUGUCGCAGAUUGCCCGAAAAACAAGAUAAAUCAAAUUGACCAGCUUGCUCUUCCUCUAGGGCUGCAAGUAAUUGAAAAAAGAAAGAUUUAAGUCCAUAGAAAUCCAUUAAUGAGUACAUUAACUAAAUAUAUAAAAAUGAAUAGAUAAGUUGUCAUCCACCUGUUCUCUUGAAAUCAUUCUCAAUCUUUUUUUCAUUUGCCUGAAAUCCCAAGAAAAAUUUAUAAGAACAAGAGUUAUGAAAGAAGUUACUUGAAAAGGAUGAGGAUUCAAGCGUGAAUCAAACCUCUUGUUCAGACUCAGCUAAUUGAAAUUCUUCAUCCUCCUCAGAGUAUUCAUCCAUCAUCACAGAGUGUCUACCUGCAGCAAUUAACUGAUCAAGAGAUGAGCUCAGAUGAAUAGAUGAGUCUUGCAGGUUUCGGUUCUUAUAUGAAGAAACAGAAGCUGAGGCCAUAUUGACCAUGACAGGGAUUCUCGGAUGAGCACUCAUUUCAUCUGUUUGGCAAACCAUUCGCGGAGACCUGUCAUAAGAAGUAAACAACAUAACUCAAACAAAGUGUUUGUAUUGGAAAGAAACAAAAAAUUAAUAAAUAAACCCUCAAAAAAUCCUCUGAAAAUUGUGUUUAACUAGACCACUUUUCUAGCAGUUUGAUCUAUUAAAUGAACCAGAACAGCAGCCUUUUUAUUAUUUAUUUCACUUACUAUCUUAUAAAUCCUCUGAAAAUUACACCGCUACUCCAAACCAAGUUCCAUUAUCAUUUAUUUCAUUUUUUGUCUUAUACUAAAGCUAAAAGAAAAGAAAAGGUACAUCCACAUGUAUAUUUCAUUGGAGUUACUGCAUUUCGUUCUUUUAGCUUAUUCCUCAUUUUAUUAAAAUGAUAGAUCCCGCAUUAAAAAGGUGUCUUUAUAAAUAUGUGUAUGCAUGUGUAUAUUCCUUAGAAAAGGAGUGACAGAAAAUACAGUAACAAGCAAAGCAAGACUUAAAAUGGCCUCCCAGCAGAACCAUAUAAUCUACAACGGCAAAAAAUAAAUGUGAAAAACAAGUAACUUACCAGCAACCCUAUUUAACUAAGAAGACAGUGUUGCUAAAAUAUUGACACAUGACCAACAAGUCACCCUUUAGGUCAACCUGCAUAAGAUACUGAACCUGUGUUCUGGGCCUACCAUUUCGAGGUUCUUAAUGGGGAAAUGUCGAAUCCUCCACCUGAGAAAUCAGAAUACAGUCAGCAAGUGGUGCAAUUUGGCGUGAGUUGGUCACUUGUUAAUUCUCUACAUCAACCGAAGGAUAGAAAACUGACUCUCCACUUGAGCUCGUACAUACCCUGGUUGUGGACCACAGUUCUCAUCAUCCCUACAACGAAAUAACACAACUGCACAAUAACAAAACACAGCAUGUGGAAAUUUCUAGUGCCAGAAAAGAUAUAUUUAAUUUCAAGAAGUGGGGAAGCAAGAACCUUACCAUAAUUCCCAUCGUCAUUUCGACGCCAAUAACGCACAUAGCAAAGGUCCACAGAGGAAAGGAGGAAGAUUAAUUCAAUAAAAAGGAUAAAUUUCAGGGAAUUCCACUAUCCUCUGACUGAAAUAGAUAACCCAUGCAGUUUUGAAAUUCAUUUGAUCCCCCCUGAACUUUUAAAAUUGGCCAUAGAGCUCCCCCAAAAUCCAUAUGAACCUUCCCUGGUGAAUUUGUUAGAAUCAAGGGGAAGGCUUUAGACUAACUUCAAAACCAAGUUGUGGCCUAUAUAUUUAAGUCAUAUUGAGGAUGUUGAGAAGUCAAUAUUAGCCCAAAUAAGUCCACACCUAAAUUAAUUUGAUGUCAUUGCUUACAUCAAUUUAGUUAGGUGAAAAUUAGGUAUUUUUCCCAUGUUUAAUUUCAAUGGUUUAAAUUAGUUUGUGGUUAUUUUAAUGAGUGGUUUAGAUUGUUUCUUGUAAUCUAUAAAUACCUCAUUUGUAUUUGAGUUUUAUCAUUCAACAAUCAAAGCUUUAUUAUAAGCAUUUGAAAGCUUUCUCAAGAGUUCUUCUCUUUUUGCAAUUUUGUGAGAUUAUUCUAAAGAGAGUUUUUCUUCUUCUUGAUCAAUUGGAGUUUUUACUCUAUUUUGAUUCAACAUUUGGUAUCAGAGCAUUGGUUGUAAAGUCUCUUGAAAUUCCGAGUAUGCUCUGUGGUUGCAGUUUUGACUGAUCUUCCACAUCAGAAAAGAUUUCUUGAGAUUAUUGCUGGGGUUAUCACAAACCUUGAGAGGGAGCUUCUUUGUGUCAAGAGUAGUGUAUUACUCUGCACGAUAGUCACUCAAGCUUGUUCGGUGUAGUCAAAGUCUUGUCGAUACGAUGGGUGAUCUUCAAGUUGUUGGAGGAAUCAAGAAGCUCAACAACCAAAACUAUAACACAUGGGCAACGUGUAUAGAGUCUUACCUUCAAGGUCAAGACUUGUGGGAGGUUGUCGGUGGUAGUGAAGUUACACAACCGGCAGCAGAAGAUGCUAACGGCGUCUUGCGGAAGUGGAAAAUUAAAGCAGGCAAAGCAAUGUUUGCUUUAAAGACCACAAUAGAAGAAGAAAUGUUGGAGCACAUUCGGGAUGCUAAAUCACCGAAGGAAGCGUGGGACACCUUCGCUACACUCUUUUCGAAGAGGAACGAUACAAAAUUGCAACUUCUCGAGAAUGAACUUCUAUCAAUGGCGCAACGCGACAUGGCGGUUGCCCAAUACUUUCACAAGGUGAAGUCGAUAUGCCGCGAAAUUUCAGAAUUAGAUCCGACAGCUGCUAUUGGGGAAGCCAGGAUAAAAAGAAUAAUUGUCCAUGGCUUGAGACCCGAAUACCGAAGCUUUGUAGCCGCUGUACAAGGAUGGCCGACACAACCAUCACUUGUUGAGUUUGAAAAUUUACUGACAGGCCAAGAAGCUAUGGCCAAGAAAAUGGGAGGAGUCUCACUAAAGGGUGAAGAGGAAGCGCUUUACACCAACCAAAGCAGAGGUGGUUCAAGACAGCACAACAAAGGCGGAUCUAGAAAGACUGGUGAACAGACAAAAAGUCAUCAGGGAGGGAAUGGCUCUCGUCCAGGGGGAGCUUCGAAGAAUCGCGACAGUAAUAGAAAGUUCGAUGGUGAAUGUUACAAUUGCGGGAAGAAGGGCCACAUGAAGAGAGAUUGUUGGUCCAAAAAGAAGUCUACCGAAAGCAAUAUUGCUACUUCUAGUUCUAAAGAAGAUAGUGAAGAUAGCUGGGAUGCCGAAGCAUUACUCGCUAUGGAGGAAGAAGGAUUAGCUCUCACGGUAACAACACCAGAAAAGAUUAACUACGAGAAUGAUUGGAUCGUAGACUCAGGCUGCUCAAAUCACAUGACGGGUGAUAGACAGAAGUUAAAAAACUGUUCUGAGUACAAGGGAAAUCGUGUGGUGGUAACAGCUGACAACUCAAGGUUACCGAUAGCUCACAUCGGUAAAGCGAUCGUUACACCUCGAUAUAGUCCCAACCAAGUGCCACUUCAAGAUGUCUACCAUGUUCCAGGAAUGAAGAAAAAAUUGCUAUCCGUAGCUCAAUUGACAUCAUUAGGGCACUAUGUCUUGUUUGGUCCACAAAAUGUGAAGGUAUUCCGAGACCUAAAGAUCUCAGAAAAGCCUACGAUGGAGGGACGGCGAUUGGAGUCAGUUUAUGUGAUGUCAGCUGAGUCUGCAUACGUAGACAAGACAAGAAGGAAUGAGACGGCAGAUCUAUGGCACAUGCGGCUAGGUCAUGUUAAUUAUUCCAAGCUAAGUGUGAUGGUGAAGAAGUCGAUGCUUAAGGGACUUCCUCAACUUGACGUGAGAACAAAUACUGUUUGCGCGGGAUGUCAAUAUGGUAAAGCACAUCAAUUGCCAUACGAGGAGUCGAAGUUUAAAGCAAAGAAACCAUUAGAGUUAAUUCACUCUGAUGUGUUUGGACCCGUUAAGCAACCAUCAAUUGGCGGAAUGCGGUAUAUGGUUACGUUCAUUGAUGAUUUCUCCAGAUAUGUAUGGGCUUUCUUCAUGAAAGAAAAAUCUGAAGCAUUCUCAAAGUUCAAAGAGUUCAAAGAGAUAGUCGAAGGAGAAGUGGAGCAAAAGAUUCGUUGCUUGCGCACAGACAACGGGGGUGAGUAUAGCUCGAGAGAGUUUUCUCAAUACCUACGGGAAUGCCAAAUACGUCAUUAGUAUACUUGUGCUAAUACGCCACAACAAAAUGGUGUAGCAGAGAGGAAGAAUCGGCACCUUGCUGAAAUUUGCCGGAGUAUGCUACAUGCGAAGAAUGUACCUGGAAGAUUUUGGGCCGAAGGUAUGAGAACUGCAGCUCAUGUCAUCAACAAGCUUCCUCAACCAAGGUUGGAGUUUGUUUCACCCUUUGAGAAAUUGUGGAACAAGAAACCUACAGUUAGCUAUUUUCGAGUAUUCGGUUGUGUAUGCUAUGUAUUUGUUCCUGACCAUCUACGUAGCAAGAUCGAUAAGAAAGCAGUCAGAUGUAUCUUUGUGGGAUACGACAAUCAGCGAAAAGGGUGGAAGUGUUGUGAUCCAGUAAAUGGAAGGUGCUACACAUCACGAGAUGUGGUGUUUGAUGAAGCAUCCUCAUGGUGGACCUCAGAAACAGAAGUAUUGCCAGACUCGAAAGAAUUCGGAGACAUGCUACAACAAAAGAUGGAGGAGCAUACUGUCCAAAUUCAUCUAAGCUCAGCUGGAGAUCUAUGCGAUAGUGAUAGCGAACGAAGAGUAACUCUAAAUCCUUGGCAAUCUGGGGUGUAUCGACAACCAGAUGAAGAAGGUGUGCCUAGUGAAACAGAAGAAUCAACUCCAUUACGAAGGUCAACAAGAACCCGGAGGCCAAAUCCCAAAUACGCUAAUGCAGCCAUAGUUGAAGAAGCAACUGGAAUAGAACCUGAGACGUUCGAAGAAGCGUCACAGAGUUCUGAGUGGAUGACAGCUAUGAAAGACGAGAUCACUGCACUUGAGCAAAAUCAGACCUGGGAACUCGUGCCAAAGCCAAAAGAUGUGAAACCCAUAUCCUGCAGAUGGGUUUACAAAAUAAAGCACCGUCCAGAUGGGUCAAUCGAGAGGUACAAGGCUCGAUUGGUAGCUCGUGGUUUCUCUCAACAAUAUGAACUAGACUAUGACGAAACGUUUAGUCCAGUGGCAAAACUUACAACCGUCCGAGUCUUACUUGCACUUGCAGCCAACAAAAGUUGGAACUUGUGGCAGAUGGACGUGAAGAAUGCCUUUCUCCAUGGAGAGCUGGAUCGGGAGAUCUACAUGAUUCAACCGAUGGGUUUCCAGAACCGAGGUCAUCCUGAGUAUGUGUGUAAGCUGCGAAAGGCUCUCUACGGACUAAAACAAGCACCCAGGGCAUGGUAUGGCAAGAUUGCUGAAUUUCUAACUCAAAGUGGGUAUUCAGUAACAUCUGCAGACUCCAGCUUGUUUGCUAAAGCUAAUGGAGAAAGGAUAGCUAUUGUGCUCGUGUACGUAGAUGAUCUAAUCAUCACUGGAGAUGAUGUUGAAGAAAUUUUCCGAACAAAGGAGAACUUGUCAGUUCGUUUUCAAAUGAAAGAACUUGGACAACUUAAGCAUUUCCUUGGGCUAGAGAUUGAUCAGACGAAAGAAGGGAUAUUUCUUUAUCAACAGAAAUAUGCCAAAGAUUUGUUGAAGAAGUUUGGGAUGCUAGAAUGUAAGCCGAUCUCAACACCGAUGGAACCAAAUGCCAAGAUGUGUGCACAUGAAGGCAAAGACCUGGAAGAUGCAUCGAUGUAUCGACAAUUAGUGGGUAGUCUAAUCUACUUAACCUUGACUCGACCUGACAUUUCUUAUGCAGUUGGCGUGAUGAGUCGAUACAUGCAAAAUCCGAAGAAGUCUCAUUUAGAAGCGGUUCGGCGAGUACUCAUAUAUGUGAAGAGUACAAUAGACUAUGGUCUUCUAUACAAGAAAGGUGGAAAUUGCAAACUAGUUGGCUACUGUGAUGCUGACUAUGCAGGAGAUCACGAUACUCGCAGAUCAACUACUGGGUAUAUGUUUACCCUUGGAUCUGGAACGAUUUCUUGGUGUAGCAAGAGACAACCGACUGUGUCCUUGUCAACUACGGAAGCAGAGUACCGAGCAGCAGCAAUGGCAGCUCAAGAAAGCACGUGGCUGAUACAACUAAUGAAUGAUCUACAUCAACCAGUAGAUUAUGCAGUUCUGUUGUAUUGUGACAACCAAUCGGCAAUUCGGCUGGCGGAGAAUCCUGUUUUUCAUGCAAGAACUAAACAUGUGGAAGUGCAUUACCACUUUGUUAGGGAAAAAGUUCUGCAAGAAGAGAUUGAGAUGAGGCAAGUUAAGACAGAUGAACAAACUGCUGACUUGUUUACAAAAAGCUUGAGUGUUGGAAAGUUUGAACAUUUCCGUCGUCAGCUUGGCGUGAUUCAAAGAAUGGGGGCUAACAUUGAGGGGGAGUGUUGAGAAGUCAAUAUUAGCCCAAAUAAGUCCACACCUAAAUUAAUUUGAUGUCAUUGCUUACAUCAAUUUAGUUAGGUGAAAAUUAGGUAUUUUUCCCAUGUUUAAUUUCAAUGGUUUAAAUUAGUUUGUGGUUAUUUUAAUGAGUGGUUUAGAUUGUUUCUUGUAAUCUAUAAAUACCUCAUUUGUAUUUGAGUUUUAUCAUUCAACAAUCAAAGCUUUAUUAUAAGCAUUUGAAAGCUUUCUCAAGAGUUCUUCUCUUUUUGCAAUUUUGUGAGAUUAUUCUAAAGAGGGUUUUUCUUCUUCUUGAUCAAUUGGAGUUUUUACUCUAUUUUGAUUCAACAGAGGAAACAUAUGAGAUCAUUGCAGCAUGCAAUAUCCGAUAUGCACAUUGGAUUUAUAUAAAUAUAUAUAAUUAAAUUCUAAAUUUGAACUCUUAAAAUUAUUAUGUUAUUUGGAUUUAUCAAGAACUUACAUGUACAGUAGCUAUUAUGUUAGCAUAUGUAAGAAUAAUUUUAAUGCAUGCAGCAUUUAGAAGGUACUAAAGUGGAAACAAGAAUUUGCGCUUGCAACAAGAGGUGAUCCGUGCGUUCCCCAGUUUAGUAAUUAAAAAAAUCAAAAAAGAGAAGAAACAGGGCCUCUCUUUUCUCAUUCCCUUGUUUAAUAACAAUGAAAACAGAACAGAGGAUAAACAGAGGCUAUCUUUUCAUUCCCCUGUUUUUCUGUUUGGUGAUUUUUUUUCAGAGUAUGAUUAGUCGGCUGCUGAGUCAGCAGCCACGCUGGCAAGCCGUUGCUCUGUUUAGUUAUUUCCCGUUAAAAGUUUGUUAAGCUGAAUUGUAUUGAGUUCACGUGUUUGUUUCAUAUAGAAGGUUCCAGUGAGUAGCAUAAAUAUUGUUGUAUAUUGAACCAAAUAUAGAUUAAUAAGAUGGUUUUAGAUUCAUUCUAGCUACAUAAUUUUCUCUGUAUUUUUCCUUCACUUUCUGAGUAAACAAACAGGAAAAGCUUCUUUAACUUGGUAUCAGAGCUAGAUCCAAUGGCUCUAACGAACUCAAAUUCACAAUCUAAUACCAGUGCCAUAGCUUCUUUCACCUUCACUACACCAGUCAAAUUAGAUCGUACAAAUUACACGAUCUGGAAACAGCAGGUGCUCUCUUCAGUUCGAGGCAAUGGACUUUGAGUCUUAUAUCGAUGGAUCAAAGCUAUGUCCUGAUCAAUUUCUUUAACCUGGAUCUGAAGGCACUUCGUCAAUCUCUGAAGGUCAUGAAAAUCCAGAAUAUGCUGUGUGGAAACACCAAGAUCAGCUUCUGCUUAGCUGGAUUAUGUCAUCCACAACUGUUGAAAUACUCAGCCUUGUGGUAAGUUCCAAAACCUCCUUUGAAUUGUGAAAAAAAAUUACUUCAAUACUCCAUGGGCUGGCAUUUCGGUCUGCGGUGCCGUUUUCCUUCUUAUUCUCACCGUCAUCCAAGCUGUAUGCUCUGUUAUACAAGUGUUGUCUCAGCCCAAAAAUAUCUCGUGACGAAAACCUUCUAUGCGGUAUUUGUAUGUCGUUUUCGAGUUGCUGUUUUUUUUUUUUUAAUUUUAAUUUUUAUUCUGAAGUAAUUUUAUCAUGGAUUUGUUAAUUUUACUUGAAUGUUGAACAAGCCUUUACUUUUCUCUCUCUCUUUUUUUUUUUUUUUAAUGAAAUGAAAUAAAAGGUGGGGGUAUACCCUACAGAUUGUUCUCUCCACUCCAUAAUUAGUAUUGCUUUUACCACAUGAAAAAUUAAUGUUAAACGAUAAAUUUAUUUACUUGAAUAUUUUAAUUAUGUCAUGAACCAAUUGACAGGCUAAAGAAUUAACUUUCAAUUUUCAACAGUAUAAGAUUAAUAAAUAGCAUAAACUAAUUUUUAUUUUCAUUUAAAUUAAUCUAAUCCUACCAACUUCAUGUGGUUUUCAUAUUGGUUGGUUUCAUGUAUCACAAGAAUUGUUAGACACUGUUAAGGAAGCACACAUCAGUAGCAUAGACUGUAAAGCAGAGGAUAGCAGCAGCUCCAGCUUACAGUUAAGAGUUGAUGACAUGGCAUGCCAGCUGGCACCUGGUGGUUAUGUAAUCACUUGUUCACGUGAUAAUUAGUUGAAGUUGUUAUAGCUAGCUAGAAUUAGUUUUGUAAUUAGUUAACUAAUUGAGCUGAGCAUCAGUUGUGUAUAUAAGCAUCUCUGUGUACAGUUUCAUAAGUAAGUUUUAGAUGAAUAAAAUCGUGUGAGCAAAAAGCUUUCAGUUCUUAAAUUUUCUCAGCUUCCAAACAUCCUUUUUUUGAUUUCUUACUUGGUAUCAGAGCACUAAUGGCAUCUGUGAAUCUUGCCUCUUCCUUAAAUCAAGUUCAUAAUACCGCUGCACAUUCAACAACAGUCAAUUUCACUUUCAAUACUCCCGUUAAACUUGAUCAAUCAAACUAUUUGAUCUGGAGAUCUCAAGUGCUUGCUUCAAUUCGAGGAAAUAGACUUGAGAAAUUUAUCGAUGAGUCAAUCACUCCACCUCCUUCUCAUAUUGCUCAUAGAUAUGAUGAUGAGCUUAGAUCUGUGGAGAAUCCAGAAUUUGCAACCUGGAGAGCACAAGAUCAAAUACUUCUCGGUUGGCUUCUUUCAUCCAUGAGUGAAGGUAUCAUCAGUUUGGUGUUCAAUCUUGAGACUUCAUUGGAGGUAUGGAAAGCUGUUGAAACUCAAUUUGGAUCUCAAUCAAAGUCUAGGUUAUUACAUUUGAGAUAUUUGAUGAAUUCCACUAGAAAGGAUGAUCUUAAAAUGACUGAAUACUUCAUUAAAAUGAAAUCUAUUGCUGAUAACAUGGCUGUAGCAGGAAGUGCAUUAAGCAAUGAUGAUUUGAUUUUACAUGUACUCUCUGGUCUAGGUCCUGAUUAUAAUUCUGUUGCUACUUACAUCACUGGACAAGUAGGAACUGGAAAAAUGAAUGUUAAUGAGGCUUAUGCUAUGCUGUUAACUCAAGAGGCUAGGAUUGAUCAACAAACUCAUAUGCUUGCUAAUAUGGAUGUUAAACACAAUUUAGAAGCUAACUUUGCACAAAAUAGAGGACCUAAGAGAGGAAACUUCUCAGGAGGAAAAGGUUUUGGUAGUCUUGGAUAUAAUACAGGCUACAGUAAUGCUGGAAAUUCUGGAAAUAGUGGUUACAGAGGAAAUUAUGGAUCAUCUGGUUUUGCUGUUGGAAGUGCUGGAAAUAAUGGUUACAGAGGAAACUAUGGAGGAGGAGGAGGAGGAAACUGGAAUAAUAAUAAUGCUGUCAAUAAUGGCAAAACACCUGGAAAUCCUAAAUCUCAGUGGAAUCCUUCUAAGCCUACAUGUCAAGUUUGUCUCAAAAUAGGUCACACAGCUAAUGUAUGCUGGAAGCUGGAAGAAUUUAUUGCUUCAGGAGCUUAUAGACCACCUCCAAACAGGAAUCCGAAAUCUGCAUAUCUGGCAAACAUGGAAGGAUCAUCUGAUACAAAUUGGUACCUUGACAGUGGUGCCACUCACCAUCUCACAAAUGACAUGAACAAUAUGCAGAUUUCUGAAUCAUUUACAGGUACAUCUAAACUCAUUAUUGGUAAUGGUACUGGCUUGAAUAUUACACAUAUUGGAAAAGCUGUUCUGAGAUUGCACAACUGCACUGAUUCCACUGUGUUUAAACUAAACAAUAUACUUUUAGUUCCACAAAUAACCAAGAACCUUAUAAGCAUUUCUCAGCUAACCAAAGACAACAAUAUCACAAUUGAGUUUACUGACAAAUCUUGUUUUGUGAAGGACAAGGUGAAGAAUUUGAUCAUACUGCAGGGCAAGGCUGAAAAAGGCUUGUACAGAUUGCUAUUAGUGUCCUCAAAUAAAACUUCUGCUCAGUCUUCCUUUCAAGGUCAUGUUGCCAAUAUUGAGUCUUCUUUUCAGUCUUUUGUUCCUUUGUCAAUGCUAUCAACUGUCAAUCUCAGUCAGUCAAAUAAUCACUGCUUGCAAAAUGUGGCAGCAGAACCUUGUAUGAACUCUAAGUGUCUUUUAAGCACUUCUGUAUUACAUCAGAGGCUAGGUCAUCCUAACUCUAAGAUCUUAAACCAUGUAAUACAAUCUUGUUCCUCUUUCAAACCUAUCAAUGGAAAUAAAGAGUUUGAUUCAUGUGAUGCUUGUAAAUUUGGGAAAAUGCAUAGAUUACACUUUCCAGCAACUGAAACAAAAACAAAACAACCUUUAGCCAUUUUACAUACUGAUUUAUGGGGACCAGCUCCAGUGGUUUCCACACAAGGUUAUAAAUAUUAUGUGAGCUUUGUGGAUGAUUUUACCAGAUUCACUUGGAUAUUUCCCCUGAAAACCAAAGAUGAAACUCUUCAUGUGUUCAAAAUUUUCAAAGCUCAAGUUGAAAAACAAUUAGAACAGCCCAUUAAAUGUCUUCAAUCUGACUGGGGAGGGGAAUUCAGAUCCUUUAGCAAAUAUCUUCAAGAAGAAGGGAUAGAAUUUAGACACUCUUGUCCUUAUACACAUAACCAAAAUGGUUUGGUAGAAAGGAAACACAGACACAUCACUGAAUCAGGUCUUACUCUUCUUGCACAAGCUAAAUUACCUAUCAAAUUCUGGUGGGAUUCCUUUCAUACAGCAGCCUAUCUCAUUAACAGAUUACCAACACCUAUUCUAGCAAUGAAAACUCCAUAUGAAUCAAUCUUUCAUCAUCAACCAGACUAUAACUUUCUAAGAACAUUUGGAUGUUCUUGUUUUCCUUUUCUCAGAGAAUACAAUAACCAUAAAUUUCAUUUCCAUACUUCAAAGUGUGUCUUCUUAGGAUAUAGUCCUUCACAUAAGGGUUAUAAGUGUCUACAUUCAUCAGGCAAAAUUUAUAUUGCCAGUCAUGUAUUGUUUGAUGAAACCACUUUCCCUUACAUUUCAGAUCCAAAUUUUUCUUCCUUUUCUAAACACACUUCCUCUGAUUUUCAAUAUAAUCUUUUUCAAAGGUUUACUCUGUCAGUUCCUAAUAGCAUUCUGAACAGUCUUGAAGCUACUGCAGCAGAUCAAUUCCCUGUCAAUCAUUCUUUAUCAUCAAAUUCACCUCAAUCUCAGUCACCCACAAAUCAGACCUCUACAUCUUUGCCUUCACCUGCACCCCAGUCACCAGCACCACAAAUACCCUGCACAACACAAACAUCUCAGCCUAAACCUUCUACUUCCACCCAUCAUAUGAUAACCAGAGCUAGAGCUGGUAUUUUCAAACCAAAGACCUUUCUAACAACUCACAACAGCUUAGAACCAUCCACUGUCCCUGAGGCAUUAUCAGAUCCUAAAUGGAAAGAUGCAAUGCAAACUGAGUAUGAUGCUCUUAUUCACAACAACACUUGGACUCUUGUGCCAAUGUCUUCAACAUACAAGCUAGUUGGUUGUAAGUGGGUAUUCAGAACAAAGUAUAACACAGAUGGAACUGUCAGCAAGUAUAAAGCUAGAUUGGUUGCAAAGGGAUUUCACCAAACAGCAGGGGUAGAUUAUUCAGAAACUUUCAGUCCAGUGGUGAAGUCUUCAACAGUUAGAGUUAUACUCAGCUUGGCAGUUAUAAAAGGGUGGAAAGUCAGACAAAUUGAUGUAAAUAAUGCAUUCCUUAAUGGAGAUCUUUCUGAAAACGUAUAUAUGACACAACCAGAAGGCUUUGUAACUAAGGAAGAGUACAUCUGCAAACUCAAUAAAGCUCUCUAUGGUCUAAAACAAGCUCCACGAGCCUGGUAUGAAAAAUUGAAGGGUUGUCUAACUACUUGGCAAUUUCUUAAUUCAAAGGCUGAUACAUCUCUAUUCAUUAAACAUGAUACAAGGGGCUUAAUCAUAGUAUUGAUCUAUGUGGAUGAUAUUCUAGUCACUGGACCAGAUUCUGCUUUACUAGAGGAUUUUAUUGUUAAACUCAGUCAGACAUUUGCCUUGAAAGAUCUGGGAUUAGUUGCUUAUUUCCUAGGUGUUGAAGUUAGUUACUUUGAUGAAGGUAUGCAUCUAUCUCAAACAAAGUAUAUUAAAGACUUGCUGAGUAAAGCAUCUAUGGAGAAUUGCAAAGGGUCUGAUACUCCUCUUAGUACUGGUUUGAAGCUAGAAAGAAAUGUCAGGGGUCCUUUGGGUCAGGAGUUCGAAAAUCCAACACAAUACAGAAGCAUAGUUGGAGGGUUACAAUAUCUAAUUCUCACCAGGCCGGAUAUAGCUUAUUCAGUUCAUAAGCUCAGUCAAUACCUCAGUUCUCCUACUGUUCAGCACUGGUUAGCCUGCAAAAGAGUUCUUCGAUAUCUCCAGUCAACCAUCACCUAUGGUCUCUAUCUCAGAAAGGAAGCAACUCUGGAAAUUGGAAUAACAGGCUAUACAGAUGCUGACUGGGCUUGUGAUCUUGACGACAGAAAAUCAAUUGGAGCCUAUUGUAUAUACUUGGGUAACAAUCUGAUUUCAUGGUCUUCCAAAAAGCAAGCUAUUGUAGCAAAGUCAAGCACAAAAAGUGAAUAUCGAGCCCUGUCAGCAGCAUGCUCAGAAAUUUCUUGGUUGCAGUCUUUAUUUUCAGAACUCAACAUUGCUAAACUACCUACUCCAGUUCUUUGGUGUGAUAACCAAAGUGCAGGGGAGCUAGCUCGCAACCCUGUGUUUCACUCAAAAUCUAAGCACAUAGAGUUGGAUGUUCAUUAUGUUAGAGACAAAGUGCUUGGAAAAGAAUUGGAGGUUAGAUACAUUCCUACUGAAGAACAAGUAGCUGAUGUUCUGACUAAGCCCUUAUCUUUUUCUAAAUUCAGCUUUUUUAGAUCCAAGCUCAAUGUCGUUAGUAGACCUUUGAGCUUGAGAGGGGAUGUUAAGGAAGCACACAUCAGUAGCAUAGACUGUAAAGCAGAGGAUAGCAGCAGCUCCAGCUUACAGUUAAGAGUUGAUGACAUGGCAUGCCAGCUGGCACCUGGUGGUUAUGUAAUCACUUGUUCACGUGAUAAUUAGUUGAAGUUGUUAUAGCUAGCUAGAAUUAGUUUUGUAAUUAGUUAACUAAUUGAGCUGAGCAUCAGUUGUGUAUAUAAGCAUCUCUGUGUACAGUUUCAUAAGUAAGUUUUAGAUGAAUAAAAUCGUGUGAGCAAAAAGCUUUCAGUUCUUAAAUUUUCUCAGCUUCCAAACAUCCUUUUUUGAUUUCUUACUGACACUGACUAACUGAAGUAUAUGUUAAACAUCUCACAUGAAUAAUCGUCUAAGGAAAUUUAACUAUCUAAAACUAACCUUCUUAAUUUAAAUCUCAUCUACUAGUAAAAGUAGAACCCUUCUCCGUCAACUGAUCUUCCUCAUUAUAUAACAAAAGAUGCUUAGUGAAAUAUGAAAAAAAAAAUUGUUAUAAUAAUUAUGUCAAAGUGGUCAAGAUCCAGCCACUAGGCUUGAGGGCUUGGGUUCAAAGCCACAUAAACUCAUUUCAAUUCUUUAUUUUAUAAAUGUGGGAUUAGGGAUAGAUUUUUCUAUGACUAUUUGCUUAUAGAGUAAUUAAUUAGAACAGUAUUAUUAAUUUUAGUUGAAUAGUUGUAGAGUGUGCCAUGUGGCAGGCUCGCAUCAAAGAUGUCAAAUCAGGAGAGGCCUAUUUACUUCCUGGGGUACCUAGGGAUACGGCUUUAUUUGAAUCGAAUCUUAGACGUAGGCCUUGCGGGCCCCCUCCUAGUGGUCCACCACUUCUGCGGAGUGCACCCGGUUCAGGGAAAAUAGGUCCACUAGAACCCGCGCAAUCAACCACACUACAUGAAGGAAGUGAAGGGAUCGAGGGCGUUGAUGUUCUAACACAUGUAAUGAUCUUGAGGGACCAUUUAUUAAUUAUUUAGCCAAUCAAAUGGGAAAGCCGGUGUGGGGAGUGGGCCCAUUGUUACCUGAACAAUUUUACAAAUUGGUCAGUUCAGUGUUUCGUGAUCGUGAGACGAGAACCAACCAGCAGAGUUCUAACAUGACUAAAGAUGAGAUCAUUUAAUGGUUGGAUUUGAAAUCACGUAGAUCUGUGCUAUACAUAUAAUUUGGUACCAAAGUGGGUCCCAUCUUAGAUGAGUAUUCAGCCUUGCCAAUGUUUCAGAAGCAUCAAAUCAACAAUUUAUUUGGGUAAUUCAAACUAGUGCAGGUAGAUUGGAUCCUCCGCGUCAUUUAACCGGCUUAGACAGACCAGUAGAAGGCAGUUAUUUUUCCAGUGGUUUGGAGAGUAAAGUCGCUAAAAGGGGAUUGAUAAUAUAUGGGUGGGCGCCACAAUUAUUGAUACUAAGUCAUCAAUCAAUGGGUAGAUUUUUAUCUCAUUGUAGAUGGAAUUCAACUAUGCAAGCAAUUGGUUGUAGGCUUGGCAAUUUAGCCCGAUCCUAUUUUUGGUCCGAUUGAUCCGACUCUAAUUUUUAAGGCUUUGACCCGAAUUUUCAAGUUUAGGGUCGGGUUAGGGCCAAGAUUUUAAGGCCCAAACAAAUUUAUGGUCAGGGUCGGGCUUAAUGCCGACCUGACCCGACCCGACCCGACCCUAUUUAAAAAAAAAAAAACUAACACAAGUUAACACACGCACACAACACAUCCUCACAACAUCACACAUUGUGUGUUUUGAAUUUAAUUGCAUUGUAUUUUUAUUUGUAUAAGACAUGAGUUUUUUUUUUUUUUUAUGUUGGGUUGUUAAAUUGAAUUGUGUAUGACUAAAAUAGUUGUGGAAUUACAUUGUGUGUUUUUAAUUUAAUUGCAUUGUGUUUUUAUUUAUAUAAGACAUGAGUUUUAUUUUUUAUUUUUUAUUUUUUAUGUUGGGUUGUUGAAUUGAAUUGUGUAUGGGUAAAAUGGUUGUGGAAUUACAUUGUGUAUUUUUAAUUUAAUUGCAUUGUGUGUUUUUUAUGUUGGAUUUUGGAAUUGAUUUGUGUGGGGGGUUGAAAUAGUUGUGGAAUUGGUUGAAAUGGUUGUGGAAAGUGGAUUGAAUUGUGUUUGAAAUGGUUGAGUAAUUGCCGAAUUAGUUGAAAUGGUGGUGAGAAAUGGGAAUUAAAUGGUGGGGUUAACUAUUUCGGUAGGGUCGGGUUGAGCCCAAUCCGAUGUUGGCCCGAUUCGGGUCGGGCUCGGCCCGACCCUAACUAAAUAGUGUUCGGGCUUUUUUAAGGUUGGGUUUCAAAUUUUUUUGAUCAGGUCGGGUAGGGCUUGGCCAAGCCCGAGCCCGACCUGACAUUUUACCAUUCCUAAUUGGUUGUGGGCUCCCAAUUUUAGCAUGGCCAGUUAGAGGUGAUCAACAUUACAAUGCCAAAUUGGUGAUCAAUCAUCUCAAGGUGGGGACAUGAUUUCUGAUGAUCAAUCAAAAUCGAUUCAAAAGGAUGAUAUCGCGAGCGGUAUAUAAAAGCUUAUGAGUGAUCAAGAGAUUAACAAACGAGCUCGCUUGCUUCGCCGUAUAUUUAAUCAUGGCUUUCCAAUGAGUUCAGCGGCUUCUUUGAAUGCUUUCAAAGAUCUUUUUAGCCCUUUCAAAAAAAAAAAAAAAAAAAGAUCUUGUUAGCCAUAAAUCAGAUUAACAAAAAUAGUUAUCGUGUAUAUUAUUAACGAAAAGGCUUUGAUUCUGUUGGCUUGGGUGUAAAUAUAUCUACUUUAUCAAGAACAGACAUCUCAGCACCUACAUAAUACUAUAUGUAAGCUUUCGUUAAUUGGCUGCAUUCAAUCAUUAAAUCAGAAGUCUUUCAAAGCAUCUAAAAUAAAAAAGAUGGCACAUCCUCCAUCCAAACAACAAAAGCAUGGACUCGCAACGCUAGUCUUGCUAAUUAAUUAAUAAGUAGUCAUAUUCCACCGAGCAACAUAAUGUACAUCAAGUUGUUGGAGAGGCACCAUAUGCACAAAAUGUUGAUAUUGUUUAAUGUUUAAUAUUAUGGGGAAGUUUUUAAUAGAUCUUCAUUUCCCUUGCAUAUUGCGAGCUUAUAACCAAAAAUGGGACUAUAUAGUUGAGGGACAAACAAAAAGGGAAAAUUUUUUACCAUUGGCUAAAUUUUAAUGUCAAUAAUAUAGGAUCUGAAUUCACUUUAAUAUGAUAUCGACAUAUGUAUAAAAUUUCUUAAGUAAAUAGAUUUUGCAUAAAAGGUAUCGACCCAGAGUCAGAGGAAAAAUUAAAUGGAAUGUUUUUUAAUACAACAAUCACUGGUGACACUGUUUGGGCAUCGUUUGAGAGUACUAAAAUAUCUACUACCAACUCUAUUCUAGUUGAAGAAUGGACUUGUCGUUAGAUGAGGUUGUUCCCAUUGAAGCUAUUAAAGAAAGAAAAAGAAAAAGAGUGUCUGCAAAACGGAGGAAAGUGGGAGGAGUUGAAAGGCUAUCAAGGCAAAUUGAUCGCUUUGUUGAUGAUGUGGAAAUGGAGGUUGAAUUCAAGAAGAAGAAGAUUAUGGUAGUAAUGUUCUUGAAGGUCGAGAGAUGGAGAGAUUGAGAUAUAAUAGUGCAGCAAGUUUAAUGAGUGGAUAAUAUUAUGGUCAUAUGUUUUUUUUUACACACAUGUAUAUAAUAUUAUAUUUCUAUGAACUAGUUUGAUUACAAUGAUUUUAUGUACAUAAAAGUUUAUAUAAAGAUUAAAUUUUUGCAUUUCCUUUUUUGCACUUAAUUUAUUAAUCAAUUUAAUGAUAUGUUAGUAUUUGUUAUAUCACGAACUACAUAACAAAUUUUUUAGUUAAAAAAAUAUUGAAGUUAAUUUUAUUGCAAAUUAAAAUAGUUAAUAAAAAAUUAUUUAAAUAUGUAAUAAAGAAAAUAGAAUAUGCUCUUAAAAAAUCUUGUAAAUAAAAAAAGAUUUAAACAACAAUAUUCUAAAUAAAUUAGAACUAAGUAAAUAAGUAUAUUUUUGUCAUUGUAUGUGAACAUUUUACACUUUUAAUUUUCAUUUUCCAGAUUUGUAUAGUAAACCAUUUUAAAACUUAUUCUCAAAUAGUUAUCAUUUACCAAACACCUUACUAAAUUAUUUGUAAAAUUAUAUAUUUCUUUUUAGAAUCAAGGUAGAAGUUAGUUCUUAGAAAGUUAAAAAAAAAAAAAAAUCUCAAACAUACGAAUAUAUAAAAACCUCAAUCAAGCACAAGAAGUUAUUUGAGUUGUACUAUCUAAUAAUUUCUAUCAAUAGUGAGCUCGUUUAUCGAAUAUAUAAAAAUAAAUAUUUUAGUUAUUAUGCAAAAACAGUUCUAGUAAGUAUAUCUAUUUAUCAAAUAUGUCAAGCUCUGAUGCUCAGAUUCAGAUAUGGAUAGUCCCUUUUUUUGGUUAGGGACAUUUCUGUCCAUGCAUUGAAUUAUGCAAGCAAAUCACUCCUCAAAAUUACCAAUCUACCCUCAUCGUUACCUCUCACGUACCCAUAACCACAGUUACCCAUUCCUCUUUUCACUAAGGCACACAGAUUACAGGACAAUGCAGCGAUCCCAACCAAGAAUGCUUAGGAUAAAGACAGAGAGAUCAAAUAGAAUAAUGUAAAAAUUUAUUCAGUAAACCCACUAGAUUUGCUAGCAAAGUCGUACUUUCAGGCAAAACACCUACUUCUGGUUUAGGACAGGCUCCUCUGUUUUCAUUUCCCUGUUUUCCUAUUCGGUGGUUGCAAAAAUUUAUAUCUAAAUAACGAAUAGUACUUAUAGAGUUAAAAAUAAAAUUUGUGGUAAAAUUAAAAAAAAAAAGCAUCAGAGGUCCUGAUAUUAUCAUCCACAGAAAUAUGUUUAUUUGAACAUGGGCCGAAAUGGGCUAAAUAAAAAAUACGCAUUUAUGUCUAAUUAUAUAGUAAUUAAAUGCUGAAUUUGAACGUACACAAUUAUUCAAUUAUCUGGAUUUCGAAUCUGUGUUUAUUGAAAAUCCUAGUCUGAACACUAUCAGACAUUCGAGUAAAUACAUAAAGAGAUUGAUCAUUUAAUGUCGUUCUCAAUUUUGACUUUUUAAUGCUGCAGCAACCGUUACAUUUGCUAUACAAUUAUUCAAUUAUAACAUAAAGAGAGAUUGAAAAAAGGGAGAGAGAGGACAAACAGGGGCUCCUCUGUUAUCAUUCCCCUGUUUUUCAGUUUGGUGAUUGGAAGUAACAAUAUUUGCAUGUACUCUUUAUUUAUUUAUUUUUCAAUUUUUAACUAAUUAAUUCUUGUUCUUCUCAAAGCGUUUGGUAAAUUAUAUGAUAAUCUGAUGAAAUCUCUAACAUUAACGUCCGCAUAAUCUAGUAAUGAAACUUCUUAUUUUAUAAUAAUCAAAUUUAAGAUUUGUUCACGCAGUUUUGAAUGAUGAUGAGUUUUUAUUUUUCUGUUAAACAUAAGAACAGUUUCUAAAUAAUGUCCAUGUGGAAUUAGUAAUAACGAAGCAACAUUUGUGGACAGAACAAUUGAAAUAACAAAAAGCAUAACUGAUCAGGCCACUAUUGAUCCUAGUUUGAUGAUUGCACUUUAGUUUCUUUCUAAAAUGUCAUUCUUCAUUCAAGCUUUUGCUUUAUCUUUUAUCAGGCAUCUUACGAAGCUUUUCCCUACUAACAAGCUCUGUAAAUCAAUGUGCUUUUCAAUUUCGCAGGAUACAAGUAAUGUAUAUGCCAAACUUAUUCAAGCACAACAGGUACUUAUUCGUCGAAAACUUCAACUUAAUUAUUUCAUUAGAAAAUAUGAAACGCUUCGUAAGGUAUUUGGCCCGAUCCAUUUCUUGUAUCUGACUGCAUGCUUUAUUAAAGCUUCGUCUUUGUUCUUGAUUGGGAACUUCAAAAUUAAAUCUUAAAAAUCGGGUAUAAAAGGGGUGCUUGAUUAAGUCUUCUUCUUUUGCAAUUCAUUGUUACUGCUCUUUUCAGCAUUUUACUCACAAAUUCCUCUGCAGUUAACAGUGAUCUUUUGCUCACUACAAUAUAUUGUUCUUAAUAAUUUCUUUUAAUACCAGUUCUUCCUCAAUAUUCAAGGCGAAUAGAGAGCUCAUCAACUCUCUGAUCCCAAAUAAUUAAAGAGGUACACAUGCUCCUAAAUCCUCUAAUAACUUCUUUUAACAGCAGUUCUUAUUUAAUUUCCGUCUAUUUUCCAAGAAAAAUUUCUCCGGUUUGUUUUAAUCUUAUCAUUUAUGUUGCUUCAGUUGUAAGUUAUUGUUCAUUUGUAAGGUCUGUGUUCUUAUCACUAGCUUUGGUUAAUUUGAAUCUAUCUUCCCAAAAAAAAGGAAAAAAAAAAGAGGUUUUUAAAAAAAGCGCGGGUUUUUAUUCAAACUCUUAAAACCUCUCUGUUAAUAGCAAAGACUCUAAUCCUCGAGCCCGGGGGGAGUAAAAAAGAAUAAAGAAUUCUCUGUUUAAGUAUCAGUUGUCUCAAGAUCAAUGUUGUUUUUUUCUUUUUUUGUUAAUUUGUUUGUUAUUUUAUUAGAUUUGCUUUUUACCUAAUUUUACUUGAGGAUUGAAGAUGAGUGAGAAAUACCCUUUGCAAAAUCAAGCUUAUCAUCCCAAAUUGAGUUGUUUGCAUUAGAAAUUUUCUAGCAUUCACGAGCAUUAUAUAUCAUUCACAAGAUAAAUCAAUUUCAGCAACUAGCUCUUUAUUGAAAUUUUUUUGUUUUGGUUUGCCUGGAAUCCCAUAAAAAAAUAUUAAGUAAGAAAAAGAGUUAAGAUGAAAAACAGGUAAAAUAAAUCCUGUGUUUUCAUUCCCCCUUUUUUUUUUGUUUGGUGAAGAAAAUUUAUAUAUCUAAAUUUUUAUGAUUUUCCAUUGGGGUUUUAUUAAAUAAAAAAGAAUUAGAAAAUGUAAUUCUAAAUUUACCCUUCUGCAUUGAGAAAAUGUAAUUCUAAAUUUACCCUUAUGCGUUGAGUGAUUAUUAUUAUGUUCUCUUAAGAAUUGAUAGUGUAAUUUUGUGUGAUGUGAAUUUCAUGUUUCUGUUAACACAAACACAAUUUAACCAAGCAUCAUUUGUGGAAAGAACAAAUGAAAUAACAAAAAAGCAGCGUUGGCAAUACAAAAUCAAACCUUCUCUAUUUAUUUGUUUUUGUUUUUGUUCUUGAAUAUGCAUUAACCAAAUCAUAUAUUAUUGAUCUUACUUUGAUGAUUUGCUGUUUAGUUUCUCUCUCAAAUGAUAUUUGUGUGUUUCCGGUAUCUGCUUUAUGAAAGGAGCACUAAUCAUUAAAGUGCAUGCGGAUUAAAAAAAAUGCACAUAAUUAUUCUGUACAUGCGUCAAGAGGGCAACAAUAACCAAAUACAGGAUAUAAAAAGGGGUGCUUCAUUAAUGGUUUUUCUUCUGCCAGUCAUUGUUAUUUCUCUCGUCAACUCUUUUCUCACACAUUCCUCAGCAGUUACCAGUGAUCUUUUUGCUCUUUCAAGUUGUUCUUAAAUAUUCAAGUGAAUAGAGAGAGAAGCUCACCAACUCUCGGUGCACAUUUUCUAAAUCCUUUAAUAAUUUUUUUUUUUUUGAUAGUAGAAUCCCUGAUCCUUGAUCUUGACAUCUGUUCUUUCAUAAUUUCCAUCUAUUUUCCAAGAAAAAAAAUUUCUCUGGUUUGUUUUAAUAUUGAAUUUACUUUGCAUGAGUUUUAAGUUAUUGUUCAUUGUUAAAGCCUGUGCUCUUAUUAUAUUGCUUGUUUGUCAUUUUAUUUGAUUUACUUUAUAUCUAAGUUUACUUGAAGAUUAAAUAUCAGUAGGAAAAGCCCUUUUUCUAAAGCAACGUACAGAUUUUAGAAUAGGGCUUAGCCACAUGAAAAUGUUUACAUUGUAGUAUCUCAUAUUAAUAAUCUAAAAACAACCAAUCCAACAAGUUCAAAUUCACUAAAAUAAAAAGGAUUGCUUUUAAGGAGUACAUGAUAGCUAUUAAAUUUUGGUUAAAGAUCUUUCAGGCAGAAUUGAAAUUCAGCCAGUCAUAAAACAACCAAUCCAACGAGUUCAAGUACAGAGUCAAUUGAACAAAUUCAUCACUUGCAAAAUUAAGCUUAUCUUCAGAAAUUGAAUUGUUUCCAUUAGAAAUUUUCCUGUAGUCAUGAGCACUAUCAUCCAAACAAGACUACUUAUAUAGGAACAAGAGUUAAGGAAAAAAAAAUUGGUAAAACAAGAUUCCUCUGUUUUCAUUCCCCUGUUUUAUCCCUUGGUGAUUGAAAAAUUCCCUCUCUAAAUUUUUAUAAUUUUCCAUUAAGGUUUAUAUUUAAAUAAAGAGUUGAAAAAAAUCUAAUUUUAAAUGCAUGCAUUGAAUGAUUAUUAUUAUUAUAUUCUCUUAAAAUUGGUUACAAUAUCAAUUAAAUAACGAAUAGAGCUAUUGAUCCCUUUGUUAAAAAUGAUCAUGUGUUCUAUUUAUAUAAUAAAACAAAAGAUGGGGUCACACUUAAGUCUUUUUCUUUUACAAUUCAUUUGUAUUACUCACUCUCAUGAACUCUUUACUCACAUUCGUCUGCAGUUAAUAUUGAUCGUUUGCUCGUUCUUAUAUAUUCAAGGCCAGCAGUGAAGGUCAUUAACUCUUUAAUAAUUCAACAGGUACAUUUGUCCAAGAAAAAAUAGCUCUUGUUUGUUUUAAUCUUGUCAUUUAAUUUUCUUAACUGUUCAUUGUUAACUUCUUUGCUCUUAUGUAAUAUUAGCAAUGGUUAAUUUGCAUCCAUCUCACAAUUUUUUUUUUUAAAUUGUUGGUUUUACAUCCAGACCCUUGAAACCUUUUUUAAAAAAGUUGUUGGUUUUACAUCCAGGCCCUAGCUCAUUUUAAUUUAUUUGAAUCUAAUUUUUCCAACAGCUAAUAUAUAUAUAUAUAUAUAUAUAUAAGCAACAGGCUAGGCAAUGGCUGCAGACCUGGUUUCCGCUACUUUUUCCAGCAUUGUAACAGAAGAUGCAAAGGCAUUGUUCGAACCGAUUAUGCGGCAGAUCUCUUAUGUGUUCAAGUACCAGAGCUACAUAGAUGAGCUAAAAGAUCAAGUGAAGGGGUUGGAAGGUAUAAACGAAAUGGUGCAACAACAUGUUAAUCAUGCUACUCGACAAGGGGAAGAGAUUUAUCAGGUUGUCAAAGACUGGCGAAAUAGGGUUGAAUCUACGGAGGGGGUUGCAAAAUCUAUCAUUGAUGAAGAAGAUGGAGCCAAGAAGUCCUGCUUCAAAGGAUUGUGUCCAAAUUUGUUGUCUCGUUACAAACUCAGUAGACGAGCAGCAAAGGCCGCAAAAGAUGCCGCUAAUCUCAAGGAUGAAGGCUGCAAACUGAAGAGUGAUGUUUCCUACGAUCCUCCUCCAGAUAUCGAAGCACCUAGGGGCGGGAAAGAUAACGAGGCCUUUGAUUCAAGAAAGAAAGUAUUACAGGAUGUUAUGGAGGCGUUGAAGGAUGAUAAGCUCAACAUAAUUGGGGUCUACGGCAUGGGCGGCGUGGGUAAAACCACGCUAGUCAGGCAAGUUAGAAAGCAAGUGAUGGAAAAUAAGUUGUUCGAUAAGGUCGCUAUGGCUGAGGUAACAGAGAACCCAGAUCAUCAGAAAAUUCAGGACAAACUUGCUUCUGAUUUAGGCAUAAAGUUUGAGUUGAAUGAGAAUAUAUUCGACAGAGCAAAUCGACUACGUCGAGUAUUGAAGAAAGAGAAGCGGGUCCUGAUUAUAUUGGAUAACAUUUGGAGAGAACUGAAGUUCGAUGAAGUUGGAAUUCCUUCUGGGGAUGUUGAUGAGAAAGAUAGAGAGGAUGAUCAGAGAAGAUGCACAAUAAUAUUGACGUCUAGAAGUCGAGAUUUAUUGCGCAAUGAUAUGAAUUGUCAGAAAAUUUUCUGGAUCGAUGCUUUAUCGAAAGAAGAAGCAUUGCAAUUGUUUGAAAAGAUAGUAGGUAAUUCCGCAAAAGCAUCUGAUUUUCUACCUUUAGCAGAUGAGAUUGUUGGAAAAUGCGGAGGUUUGCCUGUUGCACUGAGUACAGUUGCAAAUGCUCUGAAAACUAAGGGGCUUGCCAUUUGGAAGGAUGCGUUGAAUCAGCUAAGAAGAUCGGAUGCAAGAGAAAUUCAUGGCAUGCAAGCAAAUGUGUACACCUCCAUAAAAUUGAGUCAUGACUUCUUGGAAAGUGAGGAGGCAAAAUCUCUGUUCCGUCUUUGUGGUCUAUACAGUGAAGGUCAUGCCAUACACGUACAUUACUUAUUGAGAUAUGGUGUGGGUUGGGGUUUGUUUGAAAAUGUUUACACAUUGGAAGAAGCAAGGAGUAGAGUGCAUCGGUUGAUCGACAACCUCAAAUCUUCAUGCUUAUUGUUGGACGGUGAUGCUGAAGAUGAAGCUAAAUUGCAUGACGUCAUUCAUGUUGUUGCCGUAUCAAUUGCCGCAGAGAAGCGCAUGUUUAAUAUUCCAAAUGUUGCCGACUUAGAGAAAAAGAUGGAAGAGACAAUACGGAAAGAUCCAAUUGCCAUUUCAUUACCCCAGAGAGAUAUUCAAGAGCUCCCUGAAAGGUUGCAAUGUCCCAAUCUCCAGUUAUUUUUGUUGUCUGCAGAGGGUAAUGGCCCUAUGCAAAUUUCAGACCUCUUUUUUGAAGGGACAGAAGAACUGAAAGUUUUAAGCCUUACUAGAAUUCCUUUCUCUUCAUUACCUUCGUCACUUGGUCGCCUCAUUAACCUUCAAACAUUGUGUUUAGACUGGUGCCAACUAGAAGAUGUAGCGGCAAUUGGACAGCUAAAGAAAUUAGAGAUUCUUAGCUUUCGAGAUUCCGACAUUAAGCAGUUACCACUUGAAAUUGGACAAUUGACGCGGUUACAAUUGCUAGAUUUGAGCAAUUGUAGGAGCCUUGUAGUGAUAGCAACAAAUGUCAUAUCAAAAUUUUCACGAUUGGAAGAACUAUAUAUGGGCGACAGCUUUUCGCAGUGGGAUAAGGUUGAAGGAGGAAGUACCGCCAGUCUUGCUGAAUUGAAGGGGCUGUCAAAGCUAACUACUUUGGAGAUACAAUUUUGGGAUGCCCAAAUUCUGCCGCAGGAUUUGGUCUCUGUGGAAUUGCAAAGAUAUAAGAUAUGUAUAGGAGAAGCGUGGCGCAUGUGGGGCGUUAAUUCUGAAACAUCAAGAAUGGUGGAGCUCGAUGGGCUAGAAAAUGUUAGCAGUCUUUUGGAGAAUUAUGGGACGAAAAUGUUGCUGAAGGAAGCUGAAGAGAUCCAUCUAAACGAACUGAAGGGUGUUCUGAAUGUUGUUCAUGAAUUAGAUGAUGGGGAAGGUUUUCCACGAUUGAAGCAUCUUCGUGUAGAAAGUUGUUCUGAGAUUUUGCAUAUUGUCGGUUCAGUUGGACGGGUUCAUUGUACAGUCUUUCCCUUGCUGGAGUCAUUGUCUCUUUGGUUUUUGAACAAGUUGGAGACAAUAUGUGAUAGCCAACUCACAGAAGAUCAAUCUUUCAGCAACUUAAGGAUUAUAGGAGUACAAUCCUGUCACAAAUUGAAGCAUCUUUUCUCAUUCUCCAUGGCAAAAAACCUACUGCGGCUUCAAAAGGUAGAAGUGUUUGUUUGCGAUGAUCUGGAAAUGAUUGUUGGUAAGUGUUGAAAUUAAGUGUUGGUGGAUUUAUGGACUUCGCCUCAAUUAUUUUGAAAAAAAAAAAACAACGACAAAGAUUAAUUAUGUGUAUUGUUUUUGUUUGUUUAUAGGACCCGACAGGGAGAAACCAACAACUUCUUUGGGAUUCAACGAAAUCAUUGCUGAUGAUGAUACUGCUCCAAAGGUGAUAAUUUUCUGUUCAAUAAUUAAUUGAUUAAUUUAUUAUCACGAUUAAUCUUCGAUCAUGAAAAGAAUAUUAUACUAGACGGUUGUACUUGAAGGAACAAAAAUGUAUGGGUUUUCUUUGCAGGUUAUUCUUCCGAGCUUAGAGGAAUUGAAUCUCGGGGAAUUAGGAAACAUCAAAAAAUUAUGGGCCGAUCAUAAUCAAGGAAUGUACUGUUGUCAAAUUUAACAACGGUGAUCGUGGGGGAUUGUAAUCGUCUGAAGUAUCUGUUUUCAUAUUCUAUGGUUAAUAGUCUUUUGCAACUCCAACAUCUUGAAAUACGGUCUUGUGAGUCAAUGGAAGGGGUAGUCGACACCACGGGGUGGUCAGAAAGAGAUGAAGGAAAGUUGAUUGAAUUAAAGGUUUUUCCUAAACUACACUCCCUGCAGCUCUAUCGGCUUCCAAAACUAACAAGCUUUGCAAACACGAGACAUAUUCAUUCAGAUUUAGUUGUUGAAUUCCCUUCUUUGCAAAUACUCAAGAUUGAUAGUUGCAGUAAUAUGUUAAGAUUCAUCUCUACGAGCUCACCAGAAGACACCAUUCAUUCUGAAAUGCAACCUCCUCCUCUCUUUGACGAAAAGGUUUUUUUUUUUAAAUAAAAAAAAAAUUAAUUUGUCCCAAUACUUAAUUUGUCUUUUCCUUGAGUCUUCAAAUUUAGUUAAUAUCCGCCUCUAAUUUAGUUAUCAAUUGAUUAUGCCAUUAAUUGAUUAAUUAGUUAUUUAAUCUUUAACUGCCAGGUACGACUUCCUAGGCUGGAGGUAUUACGUAUCGGGUUGAUGGAUAAUUUGAGAAAAAUAUGGCACCACCAGCUUGCUUCGGAGUCUUUCAGCAAAUUGAAGAAUUUGGGGAUAUGGUGGUGUGAUAACCUAAUGAAUAUUUUUCCUCCAUUGGUAAGGUCGCUGUAUUCAUUUUGAAUAAUUUUUUUUCAAAUUACAUCCAACAAUUUUUUAACCAUUUUUGUGUUUACAAAUGAUAUUCAGCCACUAAUUAUUUAUUUCAAGUAUUGUACUUCGAACCACCACUCUAUCUAUUUCUCUUUUCCUUAAUUCUUCACGUUUCGAUUGGAAAAAAAAAUACAAGUCUUCAAAUUUAAUUAAUAUCUCUAGUUUAGUUACGAAUUGAUUAUGCCAUUAAUUAACCACAAAUUCAUGAUUAUUUACAACUGACCCUUGAUUGUAAAGAAAUUUCCUCAAGUCUGGAAGUACUUAAUAAAGAUCCACUUUACAGCAGUCCCUUGUUGACAGUAUUGGGAAAUCUUUUCCAAAUUUUUUUUCCAUUUUUAAAUAUACAUUAAAAAAAGAACCAAGGAAAAGGGAAAAAUGGUUCAGUAUUUUUUUAAAAAAAGGAAGAGUUGAAAUUUGCAAAUUUAUGCUUAAAAACUGAUAUCAAGAUACAAAAUAAGUCUAAAAUAUUUAGAAAUUGCCUUAAAUUCUUUCUACGUUCCUAAUACUAAAUAGUGUAAAUGCAUUUUUAUUAUCUUUGUUUAUCUGGCUUUUAUUUAUUUAUUUAUCUUGUUGCUUUUUUUGUUUAACAAAAAAUUAUCUAGUAGACAUCUCAUGGUUUGUUAUGUUUAUAAAACGUAUAAUUGUAUGAUUAAACAUACUUUGAGCCUAGUUGAAUGAUAUUCUUACACUUUUACUUUUUUAAUAUACACACAUAUGCACACACUUUUGCUUAUUUUCAGGUUGGAAUUCCCAAUAGCCUAGUGAAUCUUAAUGUAUCGAAUUCCCAAAAAUUAGAAGAAAUCGUAGGACAUGUUGGAGAAGAAGUGAAGGAGAAUCGUAUUGCUUUCAGCGAAUUAAAAUUUUUGAUACUUGAGGAUUUACCAAGGCUUACCGGCUUUUGUUUGGAGAAUUACACUCUUGAAUUCCCAUCAUUGGAACGAGCUUCUAUGAUACGUUGUCCGAACAUAAAGACUUUUUCUCAAGGAAUCUUAUCCACACCAAAGCUGCACAAAGUGCAAGUGACUUUAAAGGAAGAGGGUGAAUUGUACCUUCGCGAAGGCAACCUUAAUUCCACUAUACAAAAGUAUUACAAAGAAAUGGUAUGUGUGAAUCGAUUCAUCAAAAUUGCUCAUGCAUCUCCCUUGAACUUGCACAUUUAAACAUAUACACCUGCCUUGUAUAUGUAUUUUUAGAAGUUAAAACACAAAACAUGUAAGUUUAAUGUAUAUAUAUCUAAUGCCUUUCAAAAAAAAAAAAAUUGUAUAUAUCCAGUGCAAUUGUUUUGGUUUGUGCAGAUUGGAUUCCGUGACAUAUGGUAUUUGCAACUCUCACAUUUUCCACGUUUGAAAGAAAUAUGGCAUGGCCAAGCACUGCCUGUCAGCUUCUUCAACAAUUUAUUUAAGCUGGUGGUGGAUGACUGCACGAAUAUGUCGAGGGCUAUUCCUGCCAAUCUGCUACGGUGCUUGAACAAUUUGAGAUGGCUAGAAGUGAGGAAUUGUGAUUCGCUAGAAGAGGUGCUUCAUUUGGAAGAACUAAUUAAUGCUGAGGAAGAACAUUUUGGCCAACUGUUCCCUAAUCUUUUCGGGCUAAGCCUCAUUGAUCUUCCAAAACUCAAAAGAUUCUGCAACUUCACUGGGAAUAUAAUUGAACUGCCUAUGUUGUGGAGUCUGACUAUUGAGAAUUGCCCUGAUAUGGAAACAUUCAUAUCCAACUCUGUAGUGCACGUGACAACAGAUAACAAGGAACCUCAAAAAUUAACAUCAGAAGAGAACUUCUUGCUGGCUCAUCAAGUACAACCUCUCUUCGAUGAAAAGGUGAUUAUUAUUGUUAUUAUUAAUUUUUCCCUUCACUUUCGUUCGCAUAGAUGUAAUUUCAUUAGAAUCAAAUCAAAUUUAAUGACUCAUCCUUUUGCAUGUCGUCUUAAUUUAUAUCUAAUUUAACAAUAUAACCGCAGUUAUUAACUAACUUUAUAGUAUGAAUUAUAAAAAUGUCUCAAAUUAAUUAGAUGCCUAGUGACAGGAGGUGAUGAACUAUAUCGAUGCGUGUUACAUCUCUGUUUUCCUAGCUAAUUCAUAUUGGAUUUAGCAUCAGAUUUCAUUUAUGUGUUUCAAAGGGUAAUCGAUUUGAUACUUAUAUUUGGGAUCCUACUGCAAAGCAUACUAAUUUGGAAAUAAAAUAUAAAAUGCUGUGAUUAAUCUUGUCCAUAAAAUAUGCAGGGGAAGACUGCAGAGAUUGGAUACAUAUUUUAAUUUACAACUUAAUUUUGUUGAUUUUCAGGUUGCAUUCCCUAAAUUGAGAUGGUUAGAGCUGUCUAGAUUACCCAAUGUGUUGCAUCUCUGGAAGGAAAAUGCCGAAUCCAACAAAGUGUUUGCAAACUUGAAAAGUCUAGAAAUAUUUUAAUGUAGUAAGUUGCAGAAAUUAGUACCAGCUUCGUGGCAUUUGGAAAAUCUUGCGACUCUGGAAGUAUCGAAGUGUCAUGGGUUGAUAAAUUUAUUGACGCUCUCAACAUCUGAAAGUCUAGUGAAUCUUGAAAGAAUGAAGAUAACUGAUUGCAAAAUGAUGGAAGAAAUUAUACAGUCGCAGGUUGGAGAAGAAGCGGAAGAUUGCAUUGUUUUCAGGAAAUUGGAGUACUUGGGACUUGAUUGUUUGCCAAGCCUAACAAGCUUUUGUUUGGGUAAUUACGCUCUUGAGUUCCCGUCCUUGGAACAAGUAGUUGUGAGACAGUGUCCAAAAAUGAAGAUCUUCUCUCAAGGAGUCUUAGACACACCAAUGCUAAACAAAGUGAACGUCACCGAAGAAGAAAAAGAUGAUGAUGAAGGAUGUUGGGAAGGCAACCUCAAUGACACCAUAAAAAAAUUGUUCAAUGAAAUGGUGAGUAUCAAUUAAGUUUCGGUGCUAUUUAGCAAAUUAUUUUAUAGAAACUAAUGUGAUAUAAUAUGAUUGGUUGACUGAAAAUAUAUAAUAAUAAUAAUAAAUAAAUAAAUAAAUUAUGAGGGCCAUGUAAUGUCAAAAGCAGCCAUCCAUCUAGAUGGUCAACAUUCAAAGAAGAGAAAUUUUGCAGCAAGUUGGAAAGGAAAAGGAGCACACGGGCUUGGCAUUUAAAAGAAGAAGUUGGCAACUACUUUGAAAUAUAUACAUAUAUAUAUUAAUUUAAUAGCCAUUUUUUGGCUAUAAAAUGAAGAGCUUCCUCAUUCAUUUUCAUUCAAUUCCAUCGAGAGAAAUCUUUCUUUCUUUGAGUGUUGAGAGUUUUCAAGAGUUUAAUAAACUCUUGAGUGUCUAGUGAGUGAGAGAUUGGGUGUAUUGGGGUUUUGGGUAGUGAGCUAAAAUCUUACAAUACUUGUAAUCCUUAUUUCACUAGUAAAAUAUUUUCUUCUGUCUUCGCCCGUGGAUGUAGGCUAAAAGCCGAACCACGUAAUUUUUCGGUGUCCUCUAUUGUGCUUGUUCUUUAUUUUAUUUUCAAUUUUAUUUUAGCUGCGGUCCUGCUGCACCCACUAAAUUACUAACAGUGGUAUCAGAGCCAUUGGUUGUAUUUUUGGAGUCGGGAAUUGUUCACGUAUUCACGUAUACGGCGUACGGCACUAUUCACGUAUACGGUGUACGGCACUAUUCACGUAUACGGCAUACGGCACUAUUCACGUAUACGGCGUACGACACUAUUCACGUAUACGGUACUAUUCACGUGAAAACGGUGGAAGCGAUCCAAGAAUUUUGCGGUGCAAAGCAGGGAAUAGUGGUGUGAGUAAAGCAACUGUGUGGUUCUGUACAUGUCUAGGAAAGUUUUGUCACAAAGGCGAUAAGAGCCUAAGGAGUCUGGGUUUUAAGUGGGACCAUUGUGACCCCUCCAGUCUUUCCUGGGAACUUUCCUGGUGCGCAUUCUCACACAUACUCACAACUAUUCAAGGUGGUACACUAGCUUGUGUGCAGUAUUAUCAACAAAAUGGCGGCAAAGUAUGAAAUUGAGAAGUUUAACGGAAAUAAUUUUUCGUUGUGGAAAAUGAAGAUGAAAGCUGUAUUGAGGAAAAAUAAUUGUUUGGCAGCAAUUGGAGAAGGGCCUAUGGAGAUAACUGAUGACAAGUGGAACGAGGUAGACGGCAACGCUAUUUCUGAUCUACACUUGGCACUUGCGGAUGGAGUAUUAUCCAGUGUGGCAGAGAAAAAUACGGCGAAGGAAAUUUGGGAUACUCUCACAAAAUUGUACGAGGCCAAGUCACUACACAACAAAAUCUUCUUGAAGAGAAAACUCUAUACUCUUCGAAUGGCGGAAUCUACAAUGGUGACCGACCACAUCAACACAUUGAAGACUCUAUUUUCACAACUCACAACGUUGGGUCAUAAUAUAGAGGAAAAUGAACGUGCAGAGCUUCUACUUCAAAGUCUACCAGAUUCGUAUGAUCAACUCAUCAUCAACCUGACGAACAACAAUCCAGUGGAGGGUCUAGUUUUCGACGAUGUUGCAGCCUCCGUAUUAAAUGAGGAGAGCAGGCGGAAAAAUAAGGAAAACAGACAAGCAAGUUCGCAGCAAGCAGAAGCGCUAUCGGUGAUGAGAGGGAGAUCAACGAAACGUGGCCCCAGUGGGAGUCAAAAUCAGGGUAGAUCAAAAUCCAGAAGUAAGAAGAAUGUUAAAUGCUAUAAAUGUGGCAAGAAAGGGCACGUCAAGAAAGAAUGUUGGAGUAACCAGAAGAGAAAAGAGGGCAAAGAACCUGAGUCAUCAAAUGCUCAGGGUUGUGUAGCAAGUACCUCGGAUGAUGGCGAAAUUCUUUACAGCGAGGCAACAACUAUUUUAGAAGGCAGGAAACGACUUUCUGAUGUCUGGCUUAUAGACUCAGGAGCUACCUGGCACAUGACCUCUAGGAGAGAAUGGUUCCACACAUAUGAACCUAUCUCAGGAGGAUCUGUAUAUAUGGGAGAUGAUCAUGCCUUGGAGAUCGCUGGUAUUGGUACUAUCAAAAUAAAAAUGUUUGAUGGGACAAUUCGCACAAUUGGAGAGGUACGACAUGUCAACGGCCUGAAGAAAAAUCUAUUGUCUUUGGGACAAAUGGAUAGUCAUGGGUACAAAACUCAUGUGGAGAAUGGAAUUAUGAAGAUCGUUAAAGGCGCGCUUGUAUUGAUGAAGGCAGAAAAGAUCGGUGCUAAUCUAUUCAUGCUUAAAGGAGAAACACUACAGGAGGCUGAUGCGUGUGUCGCGUCAAAUGGAGAAGAGUCAACGAUGAUGUGGCAUCUCAAACUUGGCCACAUGUCAGAACAAGGCUUGAAGAUUCUCUCUGAGCGAAAAUUGCUUCCGAGGCUCAAAUCGGUAAGUUUACCAUUUUGCGAGCAUUGUGUUACAAGUAAGCAGCAUAGAUUAAAAUUCAGUAGAUCUAUUGCUAGAAGUAAAUGCAUUCUAGACUUGAUUCAUUCUGAUGUUUGGGAAUCACCGGAUAUAUCCAUGGGAGGUGCAAAGUACAUGGUGACUUUCAUUGAUGAUUAUUCCAGAAGAUGCUGGGUGUAUCCACUUAAGAAAAAGUCAGAUGUAUUUCUAGUGUUUAAAGAAUACAAAGCGCGGGUGGAACUUGAAUCUGGUAAAAAGAUCAAGUGCUUGAGGACAGAUAAUGGUGAAGAAUAUACAGACGGCGAGUUUCUUGCUUUAUGUAAGCAAGAAGGUAUUCAGAGGCAGUUCACAGUGGCAUACACUCCUCAACAAAACGGAGUAGCGGAGCGGAUGAACAGAACUCUUACAGAAAGAAUAAGAGCUAUGUUGAGGACUGCUGGUUUACCCAAUUCAUUCUGGGCAGAAGCAGCCAAAACCGCCUGUUAUAUAGUAAAUCGGUCGCCAUCUACAGCUAUUGGGUUGAAGACAGCGAUGGAGAUGUGGACUGGAAAGCCAGCUGAUUAUUCCUACCUACAUGCAUUUGGAUGUCCUGUGUACGUGAUGUAUAAUGCCCAAGAAAGAACAAAGCUGGAUGCAAAAUCUAGAAGAUGUAUCUUCUUGGGGUAUGCUGAUGGAGUAAAGGGGUAUCGUCUGUGGGACCCCACUGCCCACAAGAUCGUCAUCAGCAGAGAUGUUAUCUUUGUAGAAGAUCAACUAUAAAGAAAAGAUGGAGAUGAUGGCACUGUAAAAGAAAAGUCAGAGACUGUACCAGUAUAUGUCGAAAAUAAUCUAGAAGAUUCAGAUUCUUCUGAAGCAGCACCAGAGCACGAUGGACAAGAACCAGUCGAGUUCGAGGCUCCAGAAGUUCGUCGGUCAACUCGUGAGAGACGACCGCCGGCGUGGCACUCGGAGUAUGUCAUAGAGAUCAACGUUGCAUACUGUCUUCUAACAGAGGAUGGAGAGCCUUCAACUUUCCAUGAAGCUUUAAACAGUUUAGAUGUUGCUUUGUGGAUGACAGCAAUGCAGGAAGAAAUUGAAGCUCUACACAAGAACAAGACAUGGGAACUUGUACCACUACCACACGGAAGAAAAGCCAUUGGAAACAAAUGGGUCUACAAGAUCAAACGUGAUGGCAAUGACCAAGUGGAGCGGUAUCGUGCAAGAUUGGUGGUGAAAGGAUAUGCUCAGAAAGAAGGUAUUGACUUCAACGAGAUAUUUUCUCCAGUGGUUCGACUCACAACAGUCAGAAUAGUCUUGGCGAUGUGUGCUACAUUUGAUCUACAUCUUGAGCAGUUAGAUGUGAAAACUGCAUUUCUUCAUGGAGAACUUGAAGAAGAAAUAUAUAUGCUCCAACCAGAAGGUUUUGCAGAAACAGGAAAGGAGAACUUGGUUUGCAGGUUGAACAAAUCUCUAUACGGUCUCAAACAGGCGCCGAGGUGUUGGUAUAAGAGAUUUGAUUCCUUCAUAAUGAGCCUUGGAUACAACAGACUCAGUUCAGACCAUUUUGCAUAUUAUAAGAGGUUUGAAGAUAAUGAUUUCAUUAUUUUGCUGUUGUAUGUGGAUGACAUGUUGGUAGCAGGUCCCAACAAAGAUCGAAUCCAAGAAUUGAAGGCACAGUUGGCUAAGGAGUUUGAAAUGAAGGACUUGGGACCAGCAAACAAGAUUCUAGGGAUGCAAAUUCACCGAGACAGAAAUAACAGGAAGAUUUGGCUUUCACAGAAGAAUUACUUAAAGAAAAUCUUGCGACGCUUCAACAUGCAAGAUUGUAAGUCAAUUUCUACCCCACUUCCUAUUAAUUUCAAAUUAUCCUCAAGUAUGUGUCCUAGCAAUGAAGCAGAGAGAAAGGAGAUGUCUCGAGUUCCUUAUGCAUCAGCAGUGGGAAGUUUAAUGUUCGCUAUGAUAUGUACAAAACCGGACAUUGCACAAGCAGUGGGAGCAGUCAGUCGAUAUAUGGCGAAUCCUGGUGGAGAGCAUUGGAUAGCUGUGAAGAGGAUUCUGAGAUACAUCAGAGGAACCUCAGAUGUUGUAUUAUGUUAUGGAGGAUCAGAGUUUACUGUCAGGGGCUAUGUGGAUUCAGAUUUUGCAGGAGAUCUUGAUAAAAGGAAAUCCACUACUGGUUAUGUGUUUACACUUGCGGGAGCAGCUGUAAGCUGGGUUUCAAAACUGCAGACCGUUGUGGCUUUAUCUACAACAGAAGCAGAAUACAUGGCAGCUACACAAGCUUGCAAGGAAGCUAUUUGGAUACAAAGAUUAUUGGAGGAGCUCAGGCACAAACAACAGAAAAUUCCUGUGUUUUGUGACAGUCAAAGUGCCUUGCACAUUGCAAGGAAUCCAGCCUUUCAUUCCAGGACAAAGCACAUAGGAGUUCAGUAUCACUUUGUUCGUGAAGUAGUGGAAGAUGGAAGUGUGGAUUUACAGAAAAUCCAUACUAAAGAGAACCUAGCAGAUGUUUUGACCAAGCCGAUAAAUACUCAUAAGUUUAUCUGGAGUAGAUCCUCUUGUGGCCUAGCAGAAACGUAGGCAACAUGAUUAUGGCGAAGCAGAAAGGAUGGUGUGGAGAUUGAUUGAUUCUCCAUCAAAGCUCCAAGUGGGAGAAAUGUCAAAAGCAGCCAUCCAUCUAGAUGGUCAACAUUCAAAGAAGAGAAAUUUUGCAGCAAGUUGGAAAGGAAAAGGAGCACAUGGGCUUGGCAUUUAAAAGAAGAAGUUGGCAACUACUUUGAAAUAUAUACAUAUAUAUAUUAAUUUAAUAGCCAUUUUUUGGCUAUAAAAGGAAGAGCUUCCUCAUUCAUUUUCAUUCAAUUCCAUCGAGAGAAAUCUUUCUUUCUUUGAGUGUUGAGAGUUUUCAAGAGUUUAAUAAACUCUUGAGUGUCUAGUGAGUGAGAGAUUGGGUGUAUUGGGGUUUUGGGUAGUGAGCUAAAAUCUUACAAUACUUGUAAUCCUUAUUUCACUAGUAAAAUAUUUUCUUCUGUCUUCGCCCGUGGAUGUAGGCUAAAAGCCGAACCACGUAAUUUUUCGGUGUCCUCUAUUGUGCUUGUUCUUUAUUUUAUUUUCAAUUUUAUUUUAGUUGCGGUCCUGCUGCACCCACUAAAUUACUAACAUGUAAUUUUUUUAUUUAACCAAUCAUAUUAUGUCGCAUUAGUUUAUACAGUAUUGUUUGUGCACAAGAGGUGGUGGUCAUAUCAUUACUCUAGCUUUAUUAUUCUUAUGGUGGCAAUGUAUGCUGGCUUACACGAGUAAUUACAAAAUCUGCAGAAUUCUAAAGAAGAGAUUGAGCCAACCCUUCAGCUACAGUGAAGAAGCUAUCCCGAACCAGGCCAAUCUCCUAUACAUGAUUUAGCUUGCUCGUUCUUCUGUACUUGAAUAAUUUGGUUCUACAUAUUUACAAUUUUUUGCUCAUGCUACAAACUUGCAAGACACUUUGGAUUUUGUUUGAUGCAUUCUUUGUUUAAGAAAGGACUUGAAUUGAUGUUUCAUGUUUCAUACAAUAUUCGAUUAGAUUCUGCCUAAAUUUCUGUAUUAUUCGUUCAAUUGGUCUUUUAAGCAUUUGAUUUCUAACCUCUCCUGAUAGAAGAUCAUUAGCCGAAGAAAACAGCAUAACAUUUGUGGCAUUAUCAGAAUAAGAAUAUUUUUUAGUAUAGUAAAAUUAUCUCGACCACUGUUAAAAAGAAUUAAUCAGUCAAACUGACCUUCUCACACCAGCACGCUUUAAAUUAAAAGAAUUUCGUGAAAUCAAGACCAUGUUAUAGAUCUCGUGGAAAGAAGUAAACCCGUAAUUUUUUUCACAGCAUCAUAAGAAAAAUCAUUUUUUUAAAGUAUUUUUGUUAGCUGUUGAGUUUUAAUAGUAGUAGCUAUUAAAUAAUAACAAUUAGUGUAUAUUAAAAAGUUGGAAACUGGUUGAUACCACUCGGGAAUCGAGCAGUUCACUUGUUUGCGAGUAGAAACCAACUUUACUACUAAUUGCCUUGUGACAAAAUAAAAUACCAUACUAUAAUGUGUUGAACCAGGAACCUGCAGAUGCUUAGGUUACAACUAUACAACCUCCCAAUACAAUAAGUUUGAAACUUAAUACCUUCUGAAAUGAAACAAACUUACUUGAAGAUUAAAGAUCAGUGAGAAAAGCCCUUUUUCAGAAGCAACCUACAUUUUUUAGAAGAGGGUCAGUGUGUUAUAGAUUCAAUGAACCAUGAGAAGUUAUUUACAUUAUAGUAUCUCACAGGCAGUAUUUUCUCCUAAUGCAUCAAUGGUAAAGGAAAAAUAAAAAGAAAAGAAUAGUUACUUGUGCAGCACAGCCUUUACGCCUAGCUACAUGGUCCAUUCUCUGUCUUUGAACCAAUCAACAGCAACAAGUUCCAUUAAAUGUUUUCCUGCAGGUAUCUGCAGUUACAAAUUGCACAAAGCACAAGAAGAGCCAACCAAACUACAUCAUAACCUGUCUACCUAGCCUAUGCAGGAUAUAUAAAUACCAUAAAUAAGUACCAUAAAUAACAAAUAAACAACAUAUGGGGGAACCUUUGUUUUGUCAUAACAAAAAUGCUUGCUACGAACUCUAAAGUUAUUUCCAUCAGAAAGUUUCCAGCAGUCACGAGCAUUAUCAUGGUCAUCGUGUCGUAGAUUGCCCGAAAAACAAGACAAAUCAAUUUGAUCAGCCUGCUCUUCCUCUAGGGCUGCAACUAAUUGAAAAUUAAAAAAAAAAAAAAAAAGAUCAAUACCAUAAAAAUCCACUAAUGCGGACAUUAGCCAAAUAUACAAAAAUGAAUACUUAUCAUCCACCUGUCCUCUUGAAAUCAUUCUCAAUCUUUUUUUCAUUUGCCUGAAAUCCCAAGGAAAAAUAUGUAACGAAUACUUCCCAUUCAUGACUAUAGUCUGUUGUAUAAACAUGACAUAUUUAAUUGGAAUAAUAAAAUUAUUUAAUUAUUUUAAUUAAAUGUUAAUCCUACAAAUUAUUUUUGUUAAAUCUAGCAAGAAUAACUAAAAUUUCUUUAAGAUAUAUUUUGGUAGUAAAUUAAAAAAAUUUAAUUAUUUGGCAGGAAUUAUUGAAAUUGGAGCCAUUUUUUUUGUGGGAAUUGAAAUAUAUUCUUUAAAUUAUUAUAUAAAUAGCAAAAUGUACAUACACACACAUAUAUAUAAUUCAUAUAUAAAAAUUCUCUAAUUUGUUCACAAGUAUCAUAGAUUAUAAUUCAGUUAUGAAAUAAAAUAACUACAAUAAUUAUAGUUAAAUGAAUACUUCAUUAAUUCUUAAUUUGCUUCCUAACAUUAAAUGAACAACUUGAGUCAGCCACCUGAAUUAACCAGUAACAACGCCUGAGUCAACCAUCUGAAUAAACCAGCAACCCUAGCUGAUUCAAGCACCUGCAAUUAACAUCAGCACAACAGGAACAAUCUUAAAUCAACACCAAGAACAGACCAAACUGCCAUCAAAUGUCACAAAACCAAACAGUCUGCUACUGCCAUCAAAUGCAAGCAAACAUAUGCAACAAAACCAGAUGCAAGUGAAAUUCUGGAGAACAUCGGAUAAACCAAACCAAAUGCCACACUUCUAGUAAUUAGACUAGAUGCAUUGUUCAAUUAAACUAAAUGUAGUCUCAUAUUACAUUCAAAAUUUCUAAAAAAGGCAGUGUUCCAUCAGAGAAGCACCAAAACCAAACCAAUCUAAUCCAGCAUAAUUACCAGCUCAACCCAAAACAAUUACACAUUAUAUUGACAUAUCAAAAUUCGCUAUCAAAACAUAGCCAAAUAAAUGACAAUAAACUCAAAACAGACCCAAACCAACUGAUGUUGCAGCCCUAGUAGUCGUUGUCCGUUCCACUGCCAUGGGAGUGAGGGUAGGCUCCGUUGUUGAUGAGUGAGUAAGAUAAGGCUCCAAAUCAAUAGUUCCACCUCCUUUCUGCAAUUCAAAAAACAGAAAUUCAUAUAUGUAAAACUAUUAAAAAGUGUGAAACAACCUGUAAGUAUUCAACUUCUGUCAACUCAAUAGUACUUACUAAAGUUUUUAUACAGAAGAAAAAGGCAUUUUAAGUCCAAAAAAUUAGAAUUAUUGGUUGAACUCCAACUCCAUCAAUCCAUGCAACCAUCCAAUCUUUAACGAAAAAAUGAAGCAUAAUUAACAAGACAUCUGAAUCAGAAAGAUUGUGCUUUCGUUUGGCACGAGGUGUUGGAAACAACUUAACAAAUCUAGACACAAUCUAUAACCAUCAAGUCCAAACAAAAGUCAGGAUCUAAAAUACUUUGAAAAAUCAGAAAAACAGCAAAAUAUCAGUUUCAAUUUCUUUUUCAUCCAUUGUAAGCUCAAACUAAAGGUAGCCGCGCUACCUUUAAACAUCAUUUGGGCUUGUACAUGUGACAUUUGCUCAUGAACAACUAAAGUUGAAUAAGAUUUUUAUAUGAAACAGAAUAUAAAAAGUCAAAGUAGAAUAUGACAGGAGCUACAAUAUAUUAUUCAGCAUUAGCAUUAUGUAUAAAAUAAAUUUAGACGCAUUAUAUUGAUUCACAAUCUUGCAGAGGUAAUACCAGAUUAUGGCACGCAACUCUUAUAUAGCAGAUAAAGGAGGAGAUGCAGUGGGAAGGUAGUAUCUUGCUUGCAUGAGGAUUAGAAAGCAAUAGCCCAAGAUCAAUUAUAGAUCUCAUAAAACAAAAACAGUGAGGCAAACACAAUUAUUGUGAACAAUUAUUCAUAGAACCACAUACCAGCAACAAGAUCAGAGUCAUCUGUGUAUAUAUCGAUUCCCCAUAGCUGACUGCCUCUGACCUAAACAUAAUGAACUUACAUAACUAAGAAGUAGAGUCAUAAAAUAUGCAGCUGUAACAGCUAUCAAUAAAUUUCCAGACAAAUGGAAUUUGAUCUGUAAGGCUAUAACUAGCAACACUUCAAAAUAAUUUGAAGUAGCAUGAUCUUACUUUAAGGAUCAAUACUACAAUCUUUCAGAAAAAUUAAAGUCUAAGCAAAAUUAAAACCUUAAACAUACUAAAAUCUGGUAAAUAGACCUACAGGAAUUCCAAUGACCUCCAAAAUAUUUGAAAGAAAAAUUAAUUUACAGCAAAAAAUGUUAAAAGAUUUGUAAAAUGGAAGCCCAUACUACUAUUCAAAUUACAAAUGAGGAAAGGGAGCUGGCCAUUAAAUGAUAAAGGCAUGCAUAAAGAAAUACAAAUAAUAUGCCCAUAAAGACGUCCACUCAAGCGUUAUAAGCGGCUUUAUGCAAAGGAAAGCCAAUUAGUUAACAAUAAAUGAAUUUCAAGGUGCAAUAAUUAAACUCCCUGAUCAGCACAUAUAAGGUUCAUGCAUUUCUACAAAACAUGUAAAUCAUAAGAACUUUUUUGGUCCAAAUGCUAACCAAUAAUUAAGUAGAUUAUCAAAGUUGUCACAGAACAAGCACCACAUUGAUUGCUAUGCAAAAGAUGAAAGUAAAAGUUAAUACUUUAUUUUAUUUUACUUUUCGAGAGUUUUGAUCAUCAUGUGCAAAAUAGUAGUAUAACUUGCUCAGUGUUAUCUCAAAAAGCUUGCUUAAAAUACCUAUUAGCACCAGUCCAAGUAGUCAAAUAAAUCCUUAUCUAUCCAUUCAUCUCUGACCUUGCCAAAAAGAUUUAAAUGAGCAUCUAUAUUCUCACUCCAAUCUUUCACAAUCAUGGGCUUUAUCUUUAGACCAGUUCUUCAAUAUCCCUUCCACUGUGAGCCCCUCGAAAACCUUGUAAAUUGAAUCACAUUUGUCGUCAGUUUCAAAUCCAUGUGUCAAAAGGCUAAGCAAAUGAAUAUACAAUCAACACCAUUCUUCCAAACGAAUAUACAGUCAACACCAUUCUUCCAAACGAAUAUACAGUCAACACCAUUCUUCCAAACACAAACAAAGUUUGAACGUAUGACAGAUUUUUAGCCAUUUAAUAUUCCAUCAAAGAUAAUUAGAUAACACCUACCAAGGAUUUUUGAAAAGAAUGCAUUCUCAUCUUAAGCAGCAACCUCACCAGUAACACAUUUUCAUACCCUGUUUCCACCUCUGGUCGCACCACCAAAAAAAAAUCAGUACUAAUUAGCUUCAACAGAGUCUAUUUUUUUAUUUCUUUUUUUUUUCAAAAUAAACCUCCAUUCUUAUACAUAAAAUUAAAAUAUCAAUUAAAUAAAAAAAGUCUAUGCUUACUAGUAAAACACGUCCAUUUUCAGGUAGAGGCAGAUAAUAAAAGAAAAUUGAUACUGAGAUAAAAUAAGAAGAGCUUACUAUGUGCAUUUGAUCAACAAUCCAAUCCUUAAUGAUGGAAUCGAUGCUAUCAAAUAAACGUGACUUAAUCUUGAAACAUUAAACUGCACUAAGCAUAGCACCAAAGCCAGAGCGUGACUAUAAAGAAGAAAAAGAAGAAUUAAAUCAACAUGAAAUUGAACUUUUGUUUUAUCUUCCACAAGCAAGAAAUUCAACUGGAACAAUACAAAAUAUGAAAUUUUUAGCAAUCUUACUAGCAUUAUACACAAAUCUCAAUUCACGACAAAUAGGGGAAUGAAUCACUAACAUCACCCAAUUCAUAUAUUCAAAUAAUGUAUCCCCACUCCUAACAAGCAACGUGCUACCACAGUCGAUUAGUUGUUAGGGUUAAGGCUCACCAUAGAGAACUGGAUGGCGCUAACUAAAUGACACGUUGAAACGGCAUCUGCAAUCGUAUUGAAUGACAUUGAACUUUUUCAGCUUCGUCGGUUGCGAAUGUGAGACCUUGGCUUAGGGUUCUAUACAGUGUUGUUGAUGCUUAAAUCUGCUCGCCUUUUGACCGACCAGAUUCUUUCACCAACAUUUGUGUUGUCAACUGCUGCUCGGACCACUGGGGUUGGAAUUGCCCUCCUUCCUCUUACUAGACCUGCGUUCACCAAAAAUGGAUCAGAGACGCCGGUGGUUUUGCCGGCGUAAACCCUCCGAUGCCUAAGUUAGCACAAGGUAUUUACGGGAAAACGGUGUAAUUUGGAUUCAAGAAGGGCUUAUAACUUGUUUCGAAGUUUGUAAGGAAAAGGCAUGAUUGCAAUUUGGCAGCGUUUUCCCUCUCUUCAUUUUUUUUGUCCUUUUCUUCAUCGAUUUCUUCUCCUUUUAUAGCCGUUGUCCCAUGUUCCCGUUUGGCUUUCAUCCCUCUUUUUUCGGAUGGUGGCAGCCCCUCAACGGACUCUAACUGCUACAUCAUGGGCAAACGUGGGGUCUCGCAUUACUCGCAACGGUUCUGGGAGAAGCGUAACUACCAUGAUUCUGUGGGAUCGUGUUCCCGCUUUUUCGGGGGAUGGGUAUCGGCUCGGUAUAUACCUCUGGUCGGUAUACUCCCCUGGUUGUACUCGUCUCUGGUCGGACCAUACUUGUCCCUGUGUUCUGCUCGUACCAUUUGGUUAAGGUGAUCCAUGCCGGCAUGGAAAUAGAAGCAUGGCCGACCUGGUGCGUAGCAUGGCCGACCUGGUGCUUUUAUUUACUUAACACCAGUCCCCCAGUUUCUGGUCUUGCGAGUAAAAUGAGUUAAGAGUAGAAACUGAUGGUUGAAUCUUACCAGCCCGGGGCUUCUCAUCUGGUCUUCUGUCAUUCCGGGACGGACCUGAGGUACCAUUCUUGUUCUGGGGGGAUUCUGACCUGAGCAUGGGCCUUAAUAAGCAUGUCCAUUGCAUAUAUGGACUUGCAUCUAGCCUGGCCUCUUGUAACGGUUAGUGACGUGGCGCUUCUCGACUCUUCGUAUUUGAAAUUUGAAACGACGGGCUAUCCGUCCUCGAUAUAUGGGGGGUGAGCUGGCAUAUCCCAUCACUUAAACGCUUCCAUUUCCCCCUUUUCGUUUCAAAUCCCUAGACUGGAGUCAUCAUCAUCUUGUUAUUCGUUUCUCCGCCGUUAAUCAAAUUUUUCUCUGAACUUUGCUCACACUUCCAGCGUCCAGAGUAUCCAUUUGGUGGGUGUUUUCUCUGUCACGGCAGCGCUAUCAGUGUCAGUCUAUUCCAGGUAUAGCCUUUAACCUCUUCUUUGGCUGUUGUUGAUUGGGUUCUGUGUUGCCCCUUUUUGUAUUCGUGUACUUGGGUUUGUUUUGGUUUCCUUUUGGGAUUCCGGUAUGUCGAAUCGGAGAAGGCAGUUGAUUGUAGAUGAGGGUGACGAAGGAACAGAGGAUUCACGCCUUAAUGUUUCAAUACCCACUGAAUUUUUACAUCCCUCUAGUACUGUAGGCUUCUCCCAUGGGAGGGAUACCCUUGAGUACCCACGUCCCUUGUCCAUUUCAUCUUCCCCUGAGCUAGGGCUUGUAGGAAAUAGAGGGGGACCUGCGUCGGGCUCUGGUGAGAACCACAGUUCUGGUGGGGUUGGGGUCCUUGAAGAAGUGGGUAAUAGUGAGGGAAGCAGCUCCGAGCCGAGCCGACCUCCUAAGAAAAGAAACCUUGGGCAUAGGGUGGAGGCGAAUUCUUACCCUAUCGACCAUAUAGCCUGUGCCACCACCCAAACUGACCUGUUCAAGCUUAGGAACCUCUACAACAUUCCUAAGGAGGUUCUUCUUGUAGUUCCUAGGAAGGGUGAUGUUCCUAGUCGGCCUCUGCGGGGGUAUGUGACGAUGCACCUGGAGAGUUUCAAACUAGUAGCUCGGCUGCCCCUUCAGCGUUAUUAUGCCAAGAUAUUGGGGGCCAUGCACCUGGCCCCAGGUCAGCUACACCCAAACGGGUGGAGGGUCCUCUCGGCUAUGUUUGUGUUGUGGGAGAGAUGCGGGUCGGAGGAGCCUUCCCUUGUUGAAGUGAAGCAUUUGUAUCAGCUGCGGAGCAGCCCAAGGGAGGCAGGCUGGUACUACUUCAUGUCCAGUUCUGCGAAGAGAAAGCCCAUUACCGGUUUCCCCUCCUCGUGCAAAAAUUGGAAGAACAAAUUCUUAUUUGCUGGGGGAAAUUGAUGUUCAGCAGUCCGUUCGUUGGGUGGUGAUAUUUACCUUCCAACGCAAUUUGUCACCCCAGGUCGUUCAUUUUUUGCCUGUAUCCUUUCUCGAAUUGCCACUUAUUGGGUUCUUUAACCUUGUUUGUUUUUUCAGAAUCGUGGGGUUUGGUUAAGGAUCUCGAAGACCGGCCUUUGCUUCAGGUGGAAACUGCUCUGGUGAACGCGUCUACUUGUCAAGACCUCCUGUCACCAACAAGCUUGGUCGGUUCGGGCUUAGUAGAUAUUGCCGCAGGAAUGGAUAACAAGAUCCUUAACGCGAUGAGCAGAAAACGUGGUCGGGCUCCGAGUAGCUCCAGCAACCCUCCUCCUCCUCCAAAGAAACCCAGCGUCGGUCCUUCCAAGGCGCCUGUUCCUGCUCUGCCCCCUCCUCCACCUCGUAAGAGUGGUGGGGAGAAAACCUCCGACAAGAGUCCUGAGGUCAGCUUGCAGUCAGGGGACCGAUCUUCUCCUCUUCCAUCUCGGGAUCAAGGUGACUACCUGAGCCCUUAUCAGAAGGAUUAUAAAAAAUCGGUUGGGCCCAAGAUGGUGAAGGACAUCGAGAGCAUGAACCUCUCUGAGUUAGCUGCUUCUGUUCAAAGAGUCUCAUUCAGGCUGGCCACAAUGGUCUCGUGCUACAAGACCGGAUCCGCGCGCCAUGAGAAGAAGCUUCAAGCUGACAAUCAGGAGUUGAAGAAGAAAGAUGAAUCUGCUGACCGCUCCAAGGAGAAACUGGCCGAGUUGAACAAGCAGAUUACGGAGCUGGAGGAGAAAAUUGCAGUUGCUGAGUCCACUGCCUCCAAGUUUGAGGGUGAGCUGGGUGGCCUGAAGUCGGACCUUCAGGUAGCUCAAAGUGAAAGAGAUACUUUGAGGACCGCCCUUGAGGGAAAAAUCAAAUCCCUGAACGAGCAGCUGGCUGAGGGGAAAGGUAAAUCCGCCGAUGUGGACGAUCGGUUGGAUGCCGAGUAUGACUCGGGGGUUGCUUUCUCCUAUAAGUGCAUUAUGUCUGUGCUUCAGGGAGAAUAUCCCGAGCUGGACAUGAGCAAGUUGGAGGCUGGAGUGCAGCGAUAUAUGGCAGAGGUCGGUCAGGCGAACAAGGAGCAGGGUGAGCAGGAUCAGGUGGAGGCUCCUUUUGAUGGGAUGCAAGAGGGGGAAGCUGGGGGACGCACUUUCGAAGUGGGUCAAGGGUCCAUGCCUCCUCCUCCCGGUAUUGCUGAUCUCCCACCUCCUGAUGUUGCUGAUCCCUUACUUCCCGAGCUCGCUGAUCCUUCGGCUGCUGGAACCGUUGACUCUGCUAAGCUUUGAGCCUAUUUUUGUAUAAACUCUAGAUUUGCAUUUGUUUUGUAAACAAUUGAACAUUUAUAAAUUUUUAGAUGCUCUUUAUUUGCUUUCUUGCCCGGUUUUUGCUCAUAGAUUGUUUCUGAAAAACAAUUGGACAACUUAUCUGAUUUUGCCUGCUGGUUCUUUAGUGAGCCGAGCAGGAGUAGGCAUUUGUUUGCCUUAGUAAGAUUUCCAUAAAAUUGGUUACUAGUCUUUAUUGACCGAGCAGAAUUAGGCACUUACUUGCCUUAGUAGGAUUUUUGUAGGAUUAGCUGCUGGUCUUUCUUUGACCGAGCAGAGGUAGGCACUUAUUUGCCUUAGUAGAAUUUUCGUAGAUUAGCUGCUGGUCUUUCGUUGACCGAGCAGAUGCGGGCACUUACUUGCCUUGGUAAGAUUUUCGUAGGAUUAGCUACUGGUCUUUCUUUGACCGAGCAGAGGUAGGCACUUAUUUGCCUUAGUAAAAUUUUCGUAGAUUAGCUGCUGGUCUUUCGUUGACCGAGCAGAUGCGGACACUUACUUGCCUUGGUAAGAUUUUCGUAGGAUUAGCUGCUGGUCUUUCUUUGACCGAGCAGAGGUAGGCACUUAUUUGCCUUAGUAGAAUUUUCGUAGAUUAGCUGCUGGUCUUUCGUUGACCGAGCAGAUGCGGGCACUUACUUGCCUUGGUAAAAUCUUCGUAAAUUUAGCUGCUGGUUUUUCGUUGACCGAGCAGAAGUAGGCACUUGCCUUAGUAAAAUCUUCGUAAAUUUAGCUGCUGGUCUUUCGUUGACCGAGCAGAAGUAGGCACUUGCCUUAGUAAAAUCUUCUUAAAUUUAGCUGCUGGUUUUUCGUUGACCGAGCAGAAGUAGGCACUUACUUGUCUUAGUAGAUCUUUUUAAUGGACUUAUUGGCCAGGGGAUUUCAUGCUGAAUUCAUCUUUAUUGAACUUUGAAUGCGUUACAGAAAUACAGAAUAUAUGCAUAUGCAACAAGCCAUCAUGCGUUUGAAAGGAAUAACUUAUCAAAAUGAAAAUUAAUAGGGCACUUUGCUUACUGGAAGUACUUUUUCAAGUGCUCGGCGUUCCACGACCUCUUCACCUCUCGUCCGUCUGGAUACGCCAGCUUGUAGGCUCCCGGUCCAGUUGCUCGUAUCACCCUGUACGGGCCUUCCCAUUUCGGGCCAAGAGCUCCAUGGUUGGGAUCCCUGGUGUUUUGGUUCACCUUCCUAAGCACCCAAUCUUCUGUUCGGAACUGCCUCACGCGUACGUUUUUGUUGUAAUAACGCGUGACCCUUUGCUGACAUUGGACCACCUUCUGCGAAGCCCGUUCCCUUUUCUCCUCCAGCAGGUCCAGGCUCAAGCAGAUCUGCUCGCCAUUUAUUGCUUCGCCCAAUUCUGAUCCGACCUUAACCACUCUGCUAGGGUCACUCCUGCUUACAACAACUUCCUCCAGCUUCUCAACAGGUUCUUGGCGACCGUUUUUUGAAUCCCCUCGGUUAUCUAGAGAGGUAACUUGCAGUGUUUCCUUGGCCGCUGUAGCAUAGCAGCUCCUGGCCAUUCUCUGGUCGCCCUUUACUACACCCACAACUCCAUUUAUUCUGUAUUUCAGUGCCAGAUAAUGUGUGGACAUUACACAUUGGCUUAUUCUCAUGAACGGUCUCCCCAAUAUCAUCUGGUAAGGACUUCUUUCCUCUACCACGACAAAGUCUAGCAUCAUCGUUCUUUCAAAUGGCUUUGUCCCCACAGUAAUCGGGAGUUCAAUGACCCCCAUGGGAGUUAAUCGUCCCCCUCCAAACCCCUUCAAGGAUGUGUUCGUCCGCUCCAGCUUUAAGUCUGAAAUCCCCAUAUCAUCUAGGGCCGACUUAAACAGAAUAUCGACUGAGCUGCCCGUGUCCACCAGUAUUCGCCUUACUUCUGUACUAGCUACCAACGCUUUAAUCACCAGUGCAUCCUCAUAAGGAUACAAAAUGCCCUCUUCGUCAUCCUCCGUCCACAUAAUGGGCACUUGCCGCACUCUUGCCUUCUUGGCUGCUGGCAAAUUUAGAAGCACCUCUUUGCCAGUCAUGGCGUACCUCCCAUAGUUCUUCCGUGCUCUAUUUGAAUCCCCGACCAAUGUUGGCCCUCCUGCUAUCACACGGAUGGUCGGCUGUUCACGUUCCAGAUCCCUCUCAACUCCUUCAUCCCGUGUGUACUGUGAUUCCAUGGCAGGGGACAUUCCAUCUACAUACUCGUCCAAGUAUCGGUUCCUCACUAAAUCCUCCACCUGAAUCUUCAGGUCACGACAUUGGCUGAUAGUGUGACCAUGAGUGUCGUGGAACUUGCAGAAUCUGCUCUUAUCCCGUCGAUGAGUCGGUUUUGUUAUUGGGGCUGGAAGGUACAGCAGGCCUCGUCCUUCGAUCCUCUCAUACAAUUUCUCCAUGGAGAUCUUUAAUGGAGUGUACUGUCUAUAUGCCAAGCUCUGGUCUACUAGCUGAACUGCUCGGCUAUCAUGAACGUCUCCUCGGGUUGGUAUAGCCGGUAGCUGCUCUAGUCGUCCAGACCUGUAAUUAGUUGCACUUAAUCCUCUGGGAGUGCUGUGAUAAGGGUAGGCAGCCAUCUGCCUGAAUUCUCGCUGUCGCUCUGGGAUCGGGGGGCGCAGAGGUUGAGCCCGGCUGUGUUGGAACUGUUGUGAUCUCGGAGCUAUGGGAUAAGGGCGGGACCGAGCUGAUGUUCCGCCCCUUACUGAGGACUCCCCAGCUCGCUUUCCCGACCCGCUCCCACUUGGAGUUCUUCUUUCCUUUCGUCUCAGCUCCUCCAACUGUUCACUCUUUAUCCUUGCCGAUUUUUCUUCUUCGAUUUCGAUGUCUCUCUUUGCCUGCUCAUACCCUGCUGAAUAACUCUGCACUAGGGGGCUCCUCAGGUUAUUCCAUAGCCGGCCUAUCCUCACACCCUCCUUUAAUCCCCUCAAUGCCUGCGGGUGAUUGAAAGCUCCCAAAUCAAGUACGGCUUGGUGGUAUCGCUUUACAAAAUCCCGUAGGGAUUCAUGCUCCUCCUGUUUUAUCCCCAUCAGUUCCAUCAUGUCAUCCUCUGGGGCUGCUGCUCCUCGGAACUGCUCGGCCAACUCCUGGCACAUCUGCUCAUACCCCUUUAUACUUCCUCGGGAUAGCUUGCGGUACCAUUCUCGGGCUCGUCCCUCUAGUGUCAACGGGAACACCCGGCACCUCUGAGCUGGUGUCAGCCCCUGCACACCCGUCAUGUCGUUGAAACGCUCGAUGUGCACCAGCGGGUCACUUCGCCCGGAGUAUUUGAGGUCGGGGAAGCGGAAAUCUCUUGGGAUUAUGAUACCCAUGAUCUCAGUUGAUAACGGAGAUUCUUCAUCUAGCAUUAUCCUCCAGCUCGGGGGCUUUCUCUUGCCCUGUUUCCUCGACUCUACGCCUCCAGAGGUUGGAUUCUGCUCCAACUUCAUCUCUUCCCACGGGGGUUUCACAAUCCCUUCUCCGCUCAUCCCUCAGCUCAAACAAUAUGGCCGCGAGAGUCUCCAUUUGUUUCUCCAUCCGCUCCAGUCUAUCUUGCAUCAUCCUCUCUCGGGCUUCAUUUGCAAUUUCCCGAAGAGUGAUUGUCUCCCCAGCUUCGUUAUCCUCCCUCAAGGCGUCCUUCCUCGUCACAUCCAUGUCUAACCGUUCGUCGUUUCUCCGGUAACUCCUAAUUCGGUGGUAGCUUUUUAUCCAGCUCCCCACAGACGGCGCCAAAAUGUUGAUGCUUAAAUCUGCUCGCCUUUUGACCGACCAGAUUCUUUCACCAACGUUUGUGUUGUCAACUGCUGCUCGGACCACUGGGGUUGGAAUUGCCCUCCUUCCUCUUACUAGACCUGCGUUCACCAAAAAUGGAUCAGAGACGCCGGUGGUUUUGCCGGCGUAAACCCUCCCAUGCCUAAGUUAGCACAAGGUAUUUACGGAAAAACGGUGUAAUUUGGAUUCAAGAAGGGCUUAUAACUUGUUUCGAAGUUUGAAAGGAAAAGGCAUGAUUGCAAUUUGGCAGCGUUUUCCCUCUCUUCAUUUUUUUUGUCCUUUUCUUCAUCGAUUUCUUCUCCUUUUAUAGCCGUUGUCCCAUGUUCCCGUUUGGCUUUCAUCCCUCUUUUUUCGGAUGGUGGCAGCCCUUCAACGGACUCUAACUGCUACAUCAUGGGCAAACGUGGGGUCUCGCAUUACUCGCAACGGUUCUGGGAGAAGCGUAACUACCGUGAUUCUGUGGGAUCGUGUUCCCGCUUUUUCGGGGGAUGGGUAUCGGCUCGGUAUAUACCUCUGGUCGGUAUACUCCCCUGGUUGUACUCGUCUCUGGUCGGACCAUACUUGUCCCUGUGUUCUGCUCGUACCAUUUGGUUGAGGUGAUCCAUGCCGGCGUGGAAAUAGUAGCAUGGCCGACCUGGUGCGUAGCAUGGCCGACCUGGUGCUUUUAUUUACUUAACAAGUGUUAUAGAGAGAGGCUCAGAGUUGAUUCAUUUUAGGUUGCAGUGGCCAGUGGAGAGAGAGGGAUUUAUUCAACGCUUAGCCAAAAUUUGGCGGAAGUGUUGAUGUGUUUUAAGUUAUAUAAAACGGUGUCGUUAAUUUAAACGGCACUGUUUUACAAUCUUAUAAUUUCACAAAACUUAAGCAUGACUUAUAUGUAUCAUUUAUUUAGGACGGUUAAGUUACGUCAUGAAUAUGUCAUAUAUUCUGGACAUAUGAAUAUAUAUCAUGAAUCUAUCAUAUUUUUAUGAUACAUUCGUGACACAACGAUAUAUGUCAUAAAAUUUCUGUCAUUAUUUAAUACUUUUCUAGUAGUGUCAUAUCUUUAAAACCUUUCUAUUAAUAGCAAAAACUCUAAUCCUUUAGCAAAAGACUAAAAAUUUAAAAAAAAAAAUUCUGUUUAAAUAUCAGUUGGCUCAUGAUCAACACUUCAAUACUAUUUGUUGUAUUUUCUUUCUUUCUUUCUUUGUCAUUUUAUUAGAUUUGCUUAAGUAAUUGUUCAUUGUUUACGUCUGUGUUCUUACUAGCUUUUGAUAAUUUAUGGUUGGUUUUUUAUUCAAACCCUCGAAGUACCUUUCUGUUAACAGCAAAACCUUUGAUCCUUAAGAAAGAAAAAGAAAUUCUCUAUUUAGUUAUUAGUUGGUUCAAGAUCAAUAUCGCGAUAUUGUUUGCGGUCUUUUCAUUCUCUAUCUUUCCCUCUAGUUCAAUUUAAUUUAUUUGUAUUCCUUUCUUUGACCCUUGUAUUUAUAUAUAUAUAUUGUUAAGCAACAGGCAAUGGCUGCAGAAGGGUGCCUCCCUGCUUUUUCCAGCAUUGUAUCACAAGGUUCAAAAGCGUUAUUCGAACCGAUUAUGCGGCACAUAUAUUAUGUGUUCGAGUACCAGAGCUACAUAGAUGGGCUAAAAGAUCGAGUGAAGGAGCUGGAAUAUAUAAGAGAAAGGGUGCAAAUGCUGGUUAGAGAGGCUACUCUACAAGGAGAUGAGAUUUAUAAGGGUGUCAGAGACUGGCUAAAUAGAGUUGCUGAAUUCAGUGAAGGGGUUGCAAAAUCCAUCAUUGAUGAUAAAGAUAGAGCUAAGAUGUUCUGCUUCAAAGGGUUGUGCCCAAAUUUGAUUUCUCGUUACAAGCUUGGUAAACAAGCAGCAGAGGCGCAAACGAAGCUGACAAACUUGUGAAAAAAAGGCGAAUUUAACAUAUGUAAUCAUGUUUCCUACCGUCCUGCUCCAGAGAGUACAGAAUAUGUGCAAGUGAAAGAUUACGUAGCCUUUUAUUAUAAUAUCUUUUCACUCUAUUAACUUAAAAAAAGAUUGACUUCAAAUGUUAAAAAUGUAACAGCGUAUACAUUUUAUAAUAAUUUCAAUAUUUAAAAAAUAUUUGAAUACUUUACAAUCUUAUAUUAUAUUAAACUAAUUUUAUAAUAUAUAGAAACAUAAUAGUAAAAUAAAUAUAUAAAAUUUUAAGUUAGGCUUAAUAUUAUUUAAAAUAAUUUAAAUAUCAUUAAUACAUGAGAUAUAUUAUAUUAAUUAUAAAUUCUAUUUAAUCUAAAUAUUUAUUUAAAUUUUUUAUACUAAAAAUAGAUAUAUUAUUAAAAUAAAUAUAACAACUAACAUUUUAAAAAUUAAUACUGAAAUUAAAAUUAUAAAUUAUAUUAAUCUACUAAAAAGAUUAAUCUAUUUGACACUCGCAGCGGACAAUGAGGUCACGGCAUAGGACAACUUCUUUUGAAAAAAAAAAAAAUCAAAAUCAAAGUCAUUGAAGUGCGUUUGAUGAUUUGCUGUGUAGCUUCUCUCUCAAAUGCUUUUCGAGUGCCUCUGGUAUCUGCUUUUAUAUAAGCUUUUGUCUUUAAUCAUUCAUUCAAGCUUUCGCUAAGAGUGAUGCAGCACAGCACGUAAAUAUAGAAGCAUUGACAGCCGUAGUCAGGAGCUCUUCGGUAUUUGAAGCAAGAAUGGUUGUUUGGCUUUGUGCAUUGAAAGAGAAAAGAAAAUAGAAUGACUAAUUUCAAUAAUACAAUUUAAUUAAUUAAUUUAAAAUAAUAAGCAUAUAAUAAUGAUGAAAUUAAUUAAUAAAAAGAAGAAAAUGAAAAUUGCACGUGCUAUUAGCAUAAACCAAUUGCCGGAAUGAGGUCACUUUGUAGACAAAUGAUUCUGGAAUCAGAACUUGGGCCAGCUUUGGGUUAUGGAUCCAAAAUAAAAAUAAGGUGGGCCACAUGGUCUCUUAUGAUCAAUAAAAAUCGAUUGAAAAGGAUGGUAUGGUGAGUGGAAGAGAAAUGUCGAUGGCAGAUCAAGGGAUGAAGAUACGAGCUCACUUGCAACGUGGUAUAGUUCAUCAUGGCUUUCCUAUAAGUUCAGGUCCUUUGAAUACUUUCAAUGACCUUAUUAGUCAGGAAUUUAACAAUAAUUUUUAUUUUUUUACAUCCAGGAACGGUUUUAAGCAUAGGAAAAUUAGGCCUAUAAUAGCAAAUCUUCUUUUUUAGGCCUCUUUUUAGUUAGUAAUUAUCUUAUAAUUAAGAAUUUUUAUACACAUUCUAUAUUUGAUAACCUUAAUAUUAAAGAUCUCUAAUUGUUAAUUUAUUAUUAGUUUUUCCAAGAAAAAAAUUAAAUUCUUUAUCUAUUUAAAAAAGUUUAUUAUUUAACAUUAUAAAAUUUUUUGCGCCAUUCUCUAUAAAGAAAAUUAUUACAUUUAUUGGUUCACUUUUGAAUUAAAAAAAAGUUUAUUAAAUAAUAAUUCUAGAGGAAGUAAAAAAGAUAUCUUCUUGGAAAUGUUUCAAACCCAUGUGUUUGGAUCUGUUUGAUAAUUUGUCGAAUUUGCCCACAUAUGAAAUUAGUAUGAUUUUACAGGUUAUAUUAUUUAAUUGGCUAUUUCAUUAAAAAAAAAAAAAAACACACACACACACACACACACAAGGAUUUUUAUUUGAUGGUAGAAGUUAAGUUGUUUUUCAGUGAUAAAUAAUGUUGUUAACCAAAUUUAAUUGACAUUCUACGUGGCAGUAAUUCAAUUUUAUAGAAGCACGUGGAUUAAAGGACAAAAACACAUCCAGUAUUUAAUAUUGGAUAUGAAUAUGGAUUUUAUCCAUAUAGAUAUGGAGAUCUACGGAUAUUUUAUUUUUAUUAUAUAAAACUAAUAAUAUAAAAUAGUUAAAAUUUCAAUAUCAAAUUUGAUUAUUAAACUAUUUAUAUUAGUAAUAAUAUAUAUAUAUAUAUAUAUAAUGAAAUGGCCGUCCGGUGGCCGGCAACGGAGGUCCGCGAAGUCUCUUCAUUCUCCUGUUAAGUAAUAAAAAAAAUCAAAACAGAGGAGAAACAUGGCCCUCUUUUCAUUCCCCUGUUUGAUAACAAUAAAAACAAAACAAAGGAGAUACGUGGACUCUCUUCUCAUUCCCCUGUUUUUCUUUUCGGUUUGGCGAUUUUAAAAUUUGAUAUCUACACUCAUUAAAAAAAGAAAAAAAAAAGUUAUUCCAAGAUGAUUUUCUAUUUUCAUAUAGACGUUUAUUUAUUAACCAAAAUUUAAAAAGUGUAAUUCUAAACUUAUCCUUGUGCUUUGAUCUUGGAGGGAUUUUUCAUUUUUUCUACACUGGUCUUAUCAAUUAAUGAUGAAAGUUCUUAUCAUUAAUUGCUUUGGAAAUGAGCAAGCACGGUAUGACCCCUAAGAGAAUUUAUUAAUUGGACAAGUUAUAUAACACCUUUGAUAUGGCUCCUAGACAUGUAUGCAAUUUGUAUCUUUUAGUUUUGCUUUUAAUUCUUUUUUAAUUAAAUGAGUCCGGAUUAGGUCAGUGGCAGAUAAAAGAGUCGGUUUUUCCAUUACUAAGCUUUUCAUGGAUGAAAAUUUUAUUUAUUUUUUUGGUUUUAAAGGUUCUCUGUGAAUGCCAUUAGAAAUGAGAUUGACUAAUUCAAGCUUCCUUUUUCCCCUUAGCAUCCAAACGUGUGAGGCAAGGGCAACUAAUGAGUCCCUUGUGAUGAGAACCUUUGUCUAAGCAAAAGCAGAGGUCAAUUGCUAAUACCGUAAUGUUAUUACUUUCAGUGCUUAAAUUGCUCCAUAAGCUUGCAUUUUAAAGUCUUUGUCUUAAUUUCUGUGGUAUACUGGUUAUGAGACCUCCUGCCAAGUUCAAGUUUCUUGAUGUCUUAUAAUUCCAUUUGUUGUGGUGGUUACUUUGUCAUAGAACUGACUGUUAAAGGCCAUCAAUCAGCUCUGUUUUGUAUUUGUGUACGUUUUUUUUCGUAUAAUGAUCAAUCAAAUGUUAGCCCUUAGAUUGCAUCCAAUAUUUAUUGAUUGUCUUUAAUUAGGAUAUAAACUAAAUUCAUAAGACAUUCCCUUAUUGAUAUUCAUUCCAACACGUCCUAGUCUUUUGCCUUGUAGAAAUGCUUGUGGUUGAAGAGCUUUACACAGAAGCUGUCGUCAGUACUGCGCGGAAAUUGAUUAUAUUGAAUCAGAAAACUUGACUAGGUAAGGUCUAUGUGCAUGAGAAUACUUGGAAAAUCUUCACAAUACUGAGGGCCGGAUCUGCACUCUUUCCUCUAUAUGUGUCUUCAAUAUCAAUGGCUCAAAUACAUGUGUUAUGGUCUUUUAAUAUAAAAUACCAUUAUCUCAUGCGUUAUGGUCUUAUCCUUGUAUUCUUAAAAACUAUAUAAAAUACCAUUAUCUCUGCUUUUGUAGCUAUUGAAUUCGACUUUCACAACAUAAAUAUUUAUUUAUGUUAAUGUGUAUAAUUUUGAAAAUUAUAUGCAUUGUUAAUGUGUAUUAUUGUCUAAUAUUUGGAUUUUAUUAAUUUACAACUGCUAUAACUUAAGGCCUCUUCAAACAUAAUGUGAGUCCCACCACGUGUUAAAUUUUUUACAUUAUUUUUGAAGGAACUAUAAGUUACAGCAGCUGUAACUUAGCAGCACCUCCAAUAUUUUACUUUACUUCCCCUAAUAUUUUACUUGUACUUUUAUAUCUUUACAAAACAAUACCAACAAGACAAUAAUGUAUGAAAUAAAUAAAUAAAGAACUGACAACGAAAUUAGGCCUAUCAUUAAUUUCUCGUGGCGUGAACUCUUGACAAUUCUCCCAUAUCCCACCUGAAGCUCUCGCGUGGUGUGAACGCUUGACGAUUCUCCCAUAUCCCUCCAAAAAUUUGUCAUAUUACGAAAAGCAAUGUCAAUUCAAUGUCGUCUCCAUUAAUCAUAGUGGCAGAUAGGACUAGAAUUUGUUGAAACCCCCGGACUUAUUUUUCCUUUUGAAAAUAAUUUUGUAGAAUCUCAUAUCGUGAAUAACAGACAAUGAGACUCUUUUUUUUAACUAUAAUAUUUUUUUUUAAAUUAUUAACUAAAAAAAUAAUUUUAAUAUUUUUAUAAUAAAUAUAAGUAGGAUAUUAAAAUAAAUAUAAUAAUAUUUAUAUAUUAAAAUAAUUUCAAUACCAAAAAAUAUUUUAAUAUUUUACAAUCUCGUAUUCUAUUAAACCAAAUUAUAAUAAAUAGAGACAUAAUAUUCAAAUAAAUAUAUAAAAAUUUAAAUUAUUUUCAACAUCAUAUAAAAUAACUUUAAUAUUAUUAAAACAUGAGAAAUAUUAUAUUAAUUAUAAAAACUAUUUAACCCAAGGAUUUGUUUAAAAUUUUUAUAAUAAAUAUAUUAUUAAAAUAAAUAUAUUAAAUUACAUUUUAAAAAUUAAUUAUUUAAAUUAUACAUACUAGUCUACUAGAAAAUUUAAACUAUUUAAAUCAUAUAUACAUUUAGUAAAAAAUUUUGAAGUCAUUUUUUUUUAUGUGGCUACCAUAAGAGUACUAUAGUCAAAAAGGGUAUUGGUGUUCUUUAUUAAAAUUUUGGGGUCUACAUGACUAUUUUCUAAAAUUUUAAGGGUGUCAUUUUAUUUUUGGAAAAAAAUAAAAAUUUCAUUUAAACGGCUAAAAUGGUGAAUGAUGGUUGUCGAAGCCAACAAAAAUAAAUAGAUACUCUAAAUAAAUUGUAUAUAGUGAUUGAGCAGGGUCGUGUCCACAUAGAUCGGUAAUUAUUUAAAUUCUUUUAAAACAUAAAACAUAAAAUGGGGGUUUUGUUGACAAUAAUAAAAAUCAAAGUAAAAAAACGAAUGCAAAUUAAAGUUGGAAUUCAAAUUGGAGAAAGCUCUGGUUGAAGGAAUUAACUCAGCUUGAUUCAACUGCUGAUCAUUGAUUCAAAUAUAAAUUAUUAUUACUUAUGAAUAGACCGGUUAUAGCUACUGAGACCCUCUAAUAGCCAAUCUCUCCUUAAUUAGUCAAUAACCAAGGUACGACCGUUGGUUAUUUUCCUAAUCAAUAGACAACCCUAGAUACGAUCAUAGAAUUUAAUCAAUUGACAGCCUGAAAAACCAGAGAGACCCAAAUCCUAAUCAACAAACACAUACGAUGGUUCAUUUAAAUUAGAUUGUUUAUUCUCACAACACAACUCUUUGCUAUGUUAUUUGUCACAAACAUUAAAAUCUUCAUACGAUGAAUCCUUUAAUUGACAAUAGAUUAAGUUGAUAAUUAAAUAGUGGCCAAUUACCUAAUUAACAAACAUAAUCAUGAAAAUAAUUUAGAGAAUAAACAAAUACCCAAAAAGCAAUAAAAAAAUUAAAGCAUAAGAAAGAUCUCACAGUAGUGAUGAAUCAAAGCUUCAUUAACCUUCAACCAGAAAAAUAGGUUUAGUUCUUCAUAGAGAGAAGAGAAAAGUUUAGAUCUAGGGUUUCUUUCUUUUUCCAAUCUCCCAUUUUUCACAAUAGAUUCCUCCCUUAAAUACUCUCUCUCUCUUCUCAUCUAGAGUUCUAUUUAAAAUAAAAUACUAAUAUCUGAAAUAUUAAAUUCAUAAUUACAAAAAUAACCAAAAAUACAAAACACGUUAAACUAAAAACUGCAGGUCCGUAGUUGACAGCACGCGCCCACGCCUUAUCAACAAAGUUCUUUUGACGCUCAUAAUUUCUCCAAUGGAACAAUCAUCCUUAAACAUCAUCUUGUAACUCAAUUUUUGCACCAAUCAAUAGAAUUGCACCUAUAAAAAUAAAACACAAGUAAAUCACUAUUAUUAAGUACAAAACAUCGAUAUUAAGGGAAGUAAACAAUUCAAAACUAGUGCAUAAACUGCACUCUAACAGUGAAUAGUACAAUGCUACAGUGGGCGUAAAUGGAAGGUAAAAAGCACUCAAAAUGACCAACAGUCUAAUGCCUCAGCAGGGACAUAAGGUCAAAGUUUGUUACAUGUGGUUAGGGCCAUUUAGUCUGUGAGUGGGUCCUGCGUGUCAUUUUUGGGCAUUUCAUCUUCUUUAGCAUUGAAGAUUAAAUGUUGCCGAUAUUUUCAAAAUUUUGGAAGACCCAUCACACUUUUGGAUGGUUGUCAUUAUUUGAUAUUAUCAUUAUAUGACGAAAUAAAAUUGGAUGUAACACUUGUUUCGCGUUGUGUGAACUUUUGACAAUUCCCCCAUAUCCCCCAAAAAUCUUUCGCCAUUUUGGGAAGAUGCCAUUUAUUUUCAUUUUCAUCAUUGAUAGUGGCAGAUAAUGGGUUCGGGGACAUACUAUAAAUUAUUAUGACCCAUGGACUUUUCUAAUUUUUUUCCCUUUGGAUAGUUGUCGUUAUUUGAUAUAAGGAGAUAGAGAUAAAGUUUUUUAAUCAAAUGCCCAUUUUUUUUACCUUUGGAUAGUUGUCGUUAUUUGAUAUAAGGAGAUAGAGAUAAAGUUUUUUAAUCAAAUGCCCAUUUUAUUUAACAUGGAAGAAGAUCUUUAAACUCUAAGUGAGGCUAUCACUUCAACUGAUGCAGCCCUCAAGAAAGAGGUAACAAGUGAUGAGAUAGACUCAUUAUUGUCUAAUCAAAAAAGGACAUCAGUAGAUGUAUCAGGAUCUUAAGUUAGAUUGGAAUUUGAUACAUUGUUGCUGGUAACAUUGGUUCAAACCUUUAAAGCGAGGUUGGAUGCAAAAUGGUUUACACCAAAGAAGUGAUUUAGGAAGUUAAUUAACGUUAUUUUAGAUAAUUUAUAAUUCUAGAAUAUUUAUUAUUUUAUGAUUUUCUAUUUUAGUUUGAGUCAAUUAUGGUAUGUAUCUUAAUCUUUUAUUUCCAUUAUAAUUAUGAUUUAAAUUUUCUUUUUAGGUUAAUUUAGGAAAGUGGAUUUCUUUUAUUAUAAAUAAAGAUGUCUGUAAUAAAAAAAAAUAAAGAUGUCUUGUCAUUAUUUUCAAAACUUCAAGUUCAAUUAUUAAAUAAAACCCCUCUUUUAUAAUUUCCUCUAAGAUUAUUUAUCAAAAUCUCUCUUGUAGAGUCGUUUGGAUUAGAGUGUCAUCUAAUCUCGUAUUACGCGUUAUUAAAAAUCGCAUUGAGUCAUUUGGAUUAGAACAAUAUCUAAUCACGCUUCGAAUAGAGCGUAAGCUAAUUGCAUUGGCUUGGUCCAGUAUUAGAACGAUAUCUAGUGUUUCUUACCCUAUAAUUCUGCUUCCGCUACGCCUCGCUCCAUCAAUUCGUAUCAAAGCGAUUCUAUGCGAAUCACACAUCGUUCCUAGAUACACGAUACCCAUCCAAACCAAAUCCAUCAAAAAAAAAAAAAUUUACAAAUUUGAAAACCCUACCCGUCACAUCAACCUCCACCGCCGCCCACACCGCCGAUCAGCCAGCCAACACCACCACAAACCUCACUAGCCACCGUCGACCAAGCCUCAGUCAUCGCUGCCUCAACGGCCGCUUGAACAGCCGCAAAUCACCAACGCAAACCCGCGGCUCCACCAAGCAACCCACCACCAUUCAGCCACUUUCUCCAUCAGCCACCUCCACCAACAAACUCGCCGGCCUCCGUUGGCCAAAAACCAACCAACUUCAGCCCUUGAUCGCCGCCCGCUGUCACCAGACGAAACGACAACCCACGAGUGCUUCCUACACGCGCCGCCACCAAAACACCUUGUUUUUCCGUCAAUUUACACCACCACCAUAAUCCCUAGCAGUCGGCAACCGUAAAUCCAGUCUUCUGCCACUGUAAGGCCGCCAUAAACCAAAAGCCACAUCACCAAAAUCAACCGCCAAUUCAAGUCGGAUUUCCCCCAAUUCAAGUUGCUGAAUAUAAAAAGGACUCAUGAAAAUUACUAAAGUUUCAAAUAUUGUUAUUCAGCAACCACUUUUAGGUUACAUUAGUUUCAACCCAAAUUUUAUAUAAAUAAUUUAUAACUCCCAUUAUUAUUAUAAAAAAAAUUGUAGCAAUUGUGGUUAUAUCACAUGAAAAAAAAAAAUUCUAAUUAAAGAAAUUGACAUUAUAACUUAAAAGGAUAGUUGCUCUUUUAAUCAUUAGAAUUUAUGUCAAUUAUCCAGCUUAUCAUUGCAUUCUUAAAAACUAUAUACAAUACCAUUAUCUCUGCUUUUGUAGCUAUUGAAUUUGACUUUGACAAUAUAAAUAUUUAUUAGCAACAACUUAAAAUUCAAACAAAUCUAAUAUGUAAUGUAUGAAAUACAAAUAACAAUUAAACAAAUUUUGAUUAUUUAAUAUUAAGAUAUAAUCACAUUAAUAUCAUAAGGAUAUGUGGUACUCAAAUAAUCUUUUAAAAAUCAAACCCAAAUUAUAUAUUAUUAAUAUGUAUUAUUAUCUAAUAUUUAGAUUUUGUUAAGUUACAACUGCUGUAACUUAAGUCUCUUAAAAAAUAUGUGGGUCCCACCACCUAUUAAAUUUUUUACAUUAUUUUUAAAAAAAUUAUAAGUUACAUCAGUUGUAAUGUAAAAGCCCCCCUAAUAUUUUACUUUACUUUUAUACCUUUAGAAAAACAAUAAUGCAUGAAUAAAUAAAGAACUGACAACAAAAUUGGGCCUAUCAUUAGUUUCUCGUGGUGUGAACUCUUAACAAUCCUCCCCUAUCCCACCUAAAGCUCUCGUGUGGUGUGAACGCUUGACAAUUCUCCCAUAUCUCUCCAAUAAUCUGUCAUAUUGCGAAAAGCAAUGUCAAUUGCAAUGUCGUUUCCCAUUAGUCAUAGUGGUAGAUAGGACCAGAAUUUUUUGAAACCCCUGAGGCCCUGAACUUGUUUUUCCUUUUGAAAAUAAGAAAAGGACACCCGUCUGGAGAAAUAAUUUUGUAGAACCUCAUAUCUUGAAUAACGGACAAUAAGAUUUUUUUUAAAUUAGAUAUUUUUUAAAUUUAUUAACUAAAAAAAUUAACUCUAAUAAUUUAUGAUAAAUAUAAAUAGGAUAUUAAAAUAAAUAUAAUAAUAUAUACAUAUUAAAAUAAUUUCAAUAUCUAAAAAUUUUAAUAUUUUACAAUCUCGUAUUCUAUUAAACCAAAUUAUAAUAAAUAGAGACAUAAUAUUCAAAUAAAUAUAUAAAAAUUUAGGUUAUUUUCAAUAUCAUAUAAAAUAAUUUUAAUAUUAUUAAUACAUGAUAAAUAUUAUAUUAAUUGUAAAAUCUAUUUAACCUAAGGAUUUAGUUAAAAUUUUAAAAUAAUUACAAAUAUUUUAUAAAUACAAAUAAAUUAAUUUACAUUUUAAAAAUUAGUAUUGAAAUUUAUUAUUACUUGGACAAAUUAACACCAAAAUUAAUAUCUAUGCAAUUUGUGUCAUUUACUUUUGCUUUGUAAUAUUUUUUAAAUGAGUCCCGAUUGGUUCAUUGGCAGAUAAAUGAGUCGGUUUUUCUGUUUUUAUUUUAUUUUAUUGUUUUUGAAAAUGGUUUUUCUGUUACGAAGCUUCUCAUGGAUGAAUUUUUUUUUUAAUUUGGGUAAUUUUUAAUUGGGUCCUAAUUAUUUCUAGAAAAAAAAUUCAGAGACCAAAAGUUUACUAAAUGAAUGAAUUAAAUCCUUUUAAGUGCAAAUUUAUGUCAUUCAAGCCCUUAACCCAAUUCUUCCGUUAAAAAAAUUAGUGAAAAUGUUAAGUUAAAUAUAAAAAGACAGGUAUACCCUUAUAAUCAUAUUAGUGAUUUAAAAUACAAUUUUAGCCUUGGACAUUAUUUUUUUUUUCAAUCUAACAACCUAUUUAUCAAUUUGAGUAUUUGAAAACACUAAACGAAUAUCUUUCGCCAAUUUUUAUAAAAAUUCAAAUAUAAAGAGUGAAUUAUACAUGAAAAUGUAAUUUGCUAUCCAUAUAAUUUCAUCACAUCAAUAAAAAUAUGAUAAUUGUUAAACUAAAUAACAUAUGUAUUGAAUAUAAUAUUAAAAAAAACACAAUAACAUUCGGUCUAAAAAUGAAAUUAAAAGUAUGAAAGUCAAUUAAAUUCAAACUAACAAAUACCUUAACAAUACUAAAGUAAACUGAAAUUUAAACACAAAAAAUAGUUAAUUGUCUUCUGAACUCUAUAAUGGAGAAUUAAAUGCCAACCCAAGGUGAAAUUGUACUAUCCUACUCCCUGUUAACUAUGAUAAGUUCUUCAUUUUGAGGUUGAGGUACAAUCCACAAUAGUUGUGUAUACAGUCCCACUAGUUGAGUGACAUUGAUUGAAGCCUAACUAGCUUGUUUUGGAACUAUUGCCAAUUGAUUGUUCAUUGACAUCUACUUCUUGAGAUUGUGGGUUAGUUUCAUGCUAUUCAAAAAAGAAAAAAAAAACAUCAAUUUCAUUAAAUAAAAAAAAAAGAAUCAAUCUAUUCAAUAUAAUUCCACAAUCAAAUCAAACAUAUAUAGCUAGUCAUGUUUUAUUAGCUGCAUACACAUCACUAGGAUCACCAAGUUAUUAAUCCAUUUGAUAACAUAACAAAAAAAAAUAUAAUGAGAUUCAAUUACAAAAUCAGACCUGUGUGGUUGAUGAAGUGAUAUCACUUGCCUGUGCACAAAAAAAAAAUCACCAAGUUUUAAGCAAUUUAAUGAAAAAGAACAAAAAACAAUCCUUUAGAAUUAAAUUUUCAAAAUCAUAUUAAACACGUCCACUUGAUUAAGUCUUAUUUCUUCCUUACACACAACCAAUAUCACCAAGUUUUAAGCAAUAUCUAGUGCAAAAGAAAAAAAAUCCUUUUGAAUUUAAUUAUAAAAUAUAAUUAAAUUAAACCAAUGCACUUGAUGAAGUCCUAUUGCUUCCCUGCACAACAUGAAGAUCAAUAUUUGUUAACUUCACCAAACGAAAUUUAAAAAACAAAAAUGACUCUUAUAUUAUACCUUUAUGGUUCUUGUGGUUUUUGGAAAAUUAGGGCAGCCCCUUUUGUUGUGCCCAAGAUGUCUGCAAGCACCACAUUUGAUAAUAAACCGUUUAUUAGUUAGUUUGGCCUCACCAAUGUCUUUUGUUCUUUUCUUUUUCGGUCUACCAACUGGAGCCUUUAUGUAAGGUGGUCCAACCUUCACAGGCACCACAACAUCAGGUGAAGGUUCAUCUUCCACUUUAGGCCAUGCACACUCAUAAGGAAUAGGAUUUAUAGUCCCUAUGUAUGUCAUCAUAAAAAAUUCAUUGGUCAGAUAAUGAUGCACAUAAUCUUCACGUUGCCCUCCUUUAUUAAAAAUAGCAGCUACUGAAUGUUUGCAAGGCACUCCACUAACUUGCCACAUCUCACAUUCACACGUACCAUCUAUAAUAUGUACUAGGAAAUUUCUAUAGCCAUCUUGACAACAUUCAAACAACUCCUCUCUACCUCCAAAGACCUUAAUUCUCCUUGUCUCAUUUGAGGAUUGAUUUGGUCUGUCUCUAGCAUAUGGGGUCAAACGGUCUUGCCAAGUUUCCCCUUGUUGAUAUUUUUCCAAUAUUCUCACCAUUAGUUGUCUACGAAUAUGCUCAAGAAUGGUUAGGACAAGCUUGUCCCUAACCUCAUCCACCCACUUAUUAAAAGAGUCAAUCAUGUUGUUUGUAACAUGGUCAAAUUUCACAUGGUGAUCAAACCCGCUUCUAGACCACUGUGCAGAUGGUAUUUUUCUCAACUAUUCACAACAAUUUUAGUCUUUAGCCCUAAUUUGACUCAUUGCCCUCUCAAAGUCAUACUGAUUUACAGCCCUAUAAGCUUUCCAAAAUAACCCCAUGACAUUCAAACCAGGAAACUUACACUUCAAAUUGGCAAAGAUAUGCCUAGCACAAUAUCUAGUACUAGCAUUAGGCUAAUAUUUUUCCAGUCCCUAUAAAAGACCUUUUUGUCUAUCACUAAUAAUAGUCACAUGCCUAUGAUCAUCAUCCCUAAUGAAUUCCUACAGCAAAGAUAAAAAAUAACCCCAACUAUCAUAGUUCUCUGCCUCACAUAUGCAAAAAGCCAGCGGAAAAAUUCCACUAUCAACAUCUAAUGCAACAACAAAUAACAAUACUCCCUUGUAUGGCCCCUUCAAGUGACACUCAUCCAAUCCUAUGAAAGGUCUACACCCAGUUAGGUACCCCACUUUAAGUGUAGGAAAUGACAAAAAAAAAAAAAAACUUUGAAAACCUAGGCUAUUUGACUAUGGCCUAUCAACCUUUACCUUGACACAAGCACCUUUAUUCAUUUUCAUUAGAAUGUGAGCAUAUUUCAAAAGCUUUCCAUAGCAAGUAAUGUGGUCAGCACCUCGGUUUUUUAAUGCAAUUUUUUUGCCCUGUAUAGUUUUUGUUUGUCACAUUCAAUCCCAUGUUUAUCUUUUAACUCACUCCUUAUAACAUUUACACCAACUCCUAGGUUAGUUUGAAUAAGUUCAGCACAACUUUAGCUAUCCAAAGUGCUGUUGCAUCUUUGUUAACUGAUUUAAUAUGGCAAUCAUGUUUCCCUUUAAUAUACCUAACUUUAAAAGUUAUCCCAUCAACCAUCGAUGAAGCAUGAAAUUUCCAAGUUCAUUUUGGAUUGACACAAUAACAAGUAUACUUAACACCAUCAUUUUUAAUCCUAUUUAACUCAAAAUCCUCUUGGAUUGCAUAUUUCACCAUAACCUCUCUUAAUAAUGCAACAGAUUCAAAGGUAUUUCUUACUUUUAGACUAACUGAACCAUUUAGUUUUGGUUUCCACUCAUUAUCAAUAAUGGAUUCAUACAUAUGUGAGAGACCAUUCUCUUCAUCAAAUGAGUGCACUCCGAUAAAGCCAUCCUCACUAAAUUUUUCAAACUUAUCAGUACCCAUACUAACACCUAUAUUGAUAGGACUUUUAGAUCCUAUUACAACACUUUCAUGACAUGAUUGACCACCUAACCCAGUGUGCACCUCAAACUCAAUAACAUGCCAACUAUUAGUAAAGAACUCCUAAAAAACCGAAUACAAUUCACUAUCAUUUGAAAUUAGCUUCCUCUGCCUACUUGUAGUCCAUGGUAACACAACAGAAAUUUCAAUCAAAUCCAUUUCGUUGUGUCCAUAUUUAACCAUGACUUCUAGAAUUUCAUGAAACAACCUAAUACUCUUAUAUUCCUAUGGGUUCCUAUAUCCUAUCUCAUACACUGCCCCAUUAAUUUUAACCAACAAAAAAAAGGUAACAUGGCUACCUGCAUCAAUUUUAAACAAAAGGUAUUGCAUCAAAAAAUGGCUAAACUAAUACAAUUUUAUUUAGCAAAGAAUAAAAAAACUCAACCUAAAUGAAAUAUACAUGUAAUUCAGUUAAAAAAGGUACAAAAGCAAAUUCAAUCUAAUACAUAUAAAAAUAAAAAUUGAAAAGAAAAAAUAACCCAGCAAAUAUAGAGAAUUUAGUCUAAUAUAUAAAAAUUACCACUCAUAAUAACACAUAGAAUUCAAUUUUACAUGAACAAAGAAGCAAAUACAACGAAUUCAAUCUUAUUAAUAUAACGAUACCAAUUAGUUGAAAUGAAAUAUUGUACAUAUACAACAACUCAAGAAAGCAAAUAAAAUAAGCUAAAUAAGUUCAAUAAAUACAUAUAUAAAUAUGGUGUAUUUGUUCUAUUUAUUAUAUAAAGAGCAAAUUAAAAAAAGUAUAUUAAAUACAACAUUCAAUAAAAAAAUCCACCAAUAAUUAAACAUAGUUUGUCAUUUAGAAAAAUAGACUUGAAAAACCUAAUUUUUCACAAAGAUCACUAAAUAUGGAAACAAUUUUUUCAGAAAAUGCUUGCAAAAAUCACUAAAAAAUUAGAGUUACUAACUUUGAAACUCAGGUUCUCUCCAACACUUGAACUCAACCAAUGCUAACAAAUCUUUGGUCAAAAUCACAAUAGAUUUAUACAACAUGUUUUGCGCCAUCCCACGUUCUCUCAAUCUCUCCUCUCACACGAAGAAUACGGCAGUUUCUAUAGUAUUUUUUUUUUUCGUUUGAAAGAACUUUAACUUGGUUAGGUUAAUUGACUUUGCUUUAAACUAUUGCCACCUGUAAGCAAACUAUUGCCACCUGUCAAAAAUAAAAGAAUGAGGAAGGGUUCAAUUGUUCUUUUACUAAAAUGUCCUCAAUGUUGUUAAUAUCUCUAACGGACGAGUUAAGUUAAGGACUUGAAUGACAUUACUUUGUACUUGAAAGGAUUUAAUUGAUUUAUUUAGUAAACUUCUGGUUUUUGAAUUUUUUUCUAAAAAUAAUGAGGGCUUAAUUAAAAAUUACCCUUUAAAUUUUAUAGAUUCUCUGCGAGCGCAGUUAGAAGUACCAAGUUUUGUUAGGUAGAAGGGUAUUUAAGUAAAUCUGCCCACAAUGAAGAAUAGUUCAGAACAGUUGAGGAAGCAUGAGAAUACUUGAGGAAAGCCUGAUAAGAAUUACGGCCGGAUCUGCACCCUUUCCUCUAUAUGUGUCUUCAAUAUAAAUGGCUCAAAUAUAUGCGUUAUGAUCUUUUAAUAUUUCGCCUCUGAUAUUGCCCACAUUGCUUACUGCAACACAUAAAGCACUUCGUUUACCCCAAAUCCUGAUAGGGAAGUAUAAAUAUAUGCUUCCGAAAUAGCGCAACUCUCCAUAAUUAUUUAAUAUGCCUCUCAAUGAAGCAAUCACCUUCAUUUACAACUCUGCGAUUAUUAAUCCUACAUACACGUGUUUCUUUUGUCUCUAAAAGUAUUCUCAAUUAAUUUACAUAAUUUAAUAUAAUAAGUACCUAAGACUAGACAAAUUUUCAUUACAAUAAAAUGAAUAAAUUAUAAUAGUAUUGACACAAUAAUGUCAAUAAUAAAAACUUUAAGAAGCCUAUAAAUUUUAAAAUAUGACUCAGAGUGCUACAAUGAACCACAACAAGUUAUUAUAUGAUCUAUAAUCAAUAUUCUAAUGAUAACAGAGUUCCUCUAUUUUCAAUCCCCUACUUUUCUAUUUAGCGAUUGUCAAAUUUUAUAUCUAAAAUUCUUCUAAUUUUACACUAAGGUUUAUUUUUUUAAAAAAAAAGGGGCAGGAGAAAGAGGCUAGAGAGUAUUAAAAAAUGUCAUUCUAAAUUUUCACUUGAGCGUGGUGUGAUUUUUAUCAUUUUUUAAAAUUGGCCAUUUAUAUUGAGUAAAUAAAAGAAUGAAUAGACGUUUGGACCACUUCUUUUCUGUUAUAAUAAAACAUGAGAUGUCUUCUCUUGAUGCUUUCGUCACAAAAGAAUAUGUUUAUGUCAUCAUAGGCUUAAAUGGGGUAAGUAAAUUAAGAUCGAGGACAAGUUUGUUUAAGCACUAAAGUCGCUAAAUAAAAGAAAGGCUCAUAUAAAAAUUACCUAAAGCACCAAAUAUUGUUAUUCAGCUACUUCUUUUAUGUUACAUUAUUUUCUACGCAAAUUUAUAUAAAUAAUUUAUAACUCCCAUCAUUAUUAAAAAAAAAAAAAACUGUAGCAAUUGUGGUUAUAUCACGUGGUGUGAUUGUUGUGAAAAUUUUAAUAUACUCGCAAGCGCACGAAUCUAGAAAUAGAGUAGUGGUAACGAGGUCGAUCCCACAGGGAUUGAUAAAAAGUCUAAUUUAAAUCUAAAAUUAAUAUUACUCCUAACCUAGUUGAGCAAAUUGAGUUUUUAAGAAAAUUAAACCAAUUAAACUAAGGAAGCAAUUAAAAUAAAAGAGAAUUCAAUAAGAUAGAAAUUACCAAGGUUUCAGAAUCCACCACUAUUCAACUAGUAAUUAUCUAAUUAUUAAUUAAUCCCCAAUUUUAGAGUGACAACUCGAAAUCAAUCUAUGUCAUCUCAUAGAUAUAACAAUUAAGCCCAAGUAAUUAAAUCUAAUGUAGGUUCUUUUUCUGCUUAAUAAUAUGACAUCUAAGCAUCCCAUGUAAACAUAUUGAAUAACAAAGAGUCAAAGUUUUCCUAAGCACUCUAUGUAAACAAUUUAAUGAAAGACAUAAAAUCAAAGAUAAUCAUGUAUAAACUUUAUAGAUCCAAGCAUAGAAUUAAUCGAAUAUUAAUCCUAACAAUCAAUAAUGCAUGACAGAAUUGAUGAAAAGAUUUUAAUAACAUCCAAUUAAUCAUGUGAAAUAAAAACCAUAAUUAUCAAAGAACAUAUAUAGGGAAUUAAUUAAAUAAAAAGAGAUAAUUAUUUCAUUGAAUAGGGUUUCAUCCUUAACCUCAGUAUAAGAGAAUUAGUUAGACAUACUUGAAUUGGGAACAACAAAAAAAAUAAAAUCACCCAUGGAAACCGAACUGCUGCUGCCCAACCUUGCGUCUUGCGUCUGCCGAAUUCUCCUUCUCCUUUCGUUUCUGUCCAGCAGCUCCCUUUUAUAUUGCUUGGCCACGGAAUCCUAUUGUGAUUCUAAUAACUAAACCAACUCUUACAAGCUAAAGCUCUAAGCUUGCCACGUAAUUGAAAACAAUAAAAGCCAAAAGCUAUUGAUUUCCUUCCUUUAUUCUACUUUGACUUUCCAUUCAAAGGCUUAAUUAAAAGCUUUGUUUUUAUGUGCUGCCCACUUUAGCUUUAACUUUCAUCUUUGUUUGCACGAGCAUGGAGAAUUCAAUUUAUUGGAUUCGGCUUCUUCCACAUGCACGUAUGUCUAAUUGGUUCCAAAUCAAUUAAUCUUUAAUGCUUACAAAUUGAACUCCUUUAUGCUCUUUUUAUCCAUAAUCUCCAAUUAAUUCCCUAUUCAAUAAAAUAAUUCAAUUAAUUAAAAAUAACAAAUAAAAAUAACUAGCAAUUAAAUAAUUAAGGGUAAAAUAUGUAUAUAAAUUAUGCUCAUCAAAUACCCCCAAACUUAGAUUUUGCUAGUCCUCGAGCAAAACUAAAAAAAAAAAAAAACAAAAAUAAAAAUAAUGAAACAAAAAGUAAAUCCGAACUAAACCACUUUCGCAGGUAAUCGCGAUUGCAUUUAGCGUAUGCAACAAGCCUUUAAACCCCUAGGCGGCCCUAGUGGACGAGUUAUAGUCUCGUGAGGGCUUCAGUGAUGAUACCCACAAACAUCAUUUUUCAAAGAAUUAAAAUAAAAAUAAAAUGAAAAGAACAACAAGCUUUAAACAAAACAUGAAGAUAGCCUCAAAGAUUGCAUAAAUUAUAUAGCUCAAAGAAAAUUUCAAAUAUUGGCAAAGUUCUAACUUUAAUUCAAUAAUCAAUCCCAUCUCUCUUUCGAUUCUUGUAGUGUGUGUGUGUGAAAUCAAUUCAAUCAAAUCCAUUCCCAAAAUCCUCAAUAUCAAUAGCCUUCGCCUCAAACAAAGAAAAGAGUAGAUCAAACUAAUCUUAUCAUCUUGAUCUCCAAUUUUUUUUUUCAGGCUUUUAUGUGCAUUUUCUUUUGAUUUUUUUUUUUUAGCACAUGCACUUGAUUUUUUUUUCUUUUCCUUUUCUUUUUUUUUUGUUUUUUUUUCUUAACCAUAGUCAGGAGCUUUCACUCUACCCCUUAAGGUAGCCUUCUUCUCAUGGUAGAUUAUCCUCUACAUACUUGUGGUACAUAGGCCCAAAUUACUCAAGGAUAACUUCACUCUUAAGGGUUAUAGGUAGCUAUUUCUGACUUUGGCGCCUGUGUAUACUAAUUUGUAUUGUGGAGAUAAGAAUCAAGACAAACAGUCAUUUACUCUAUCUAAAAUUCUCAACUCAGGCUGUGUCAAUUUCAAAUUUCAAGCCAAAAUUAUAAAAGAACUGAUAUUAGUGCUCAUAGUUUAAAGAAUCUCAAUCAAGAGGAAUUAACACAAGAAUCAAGUAUAAACUAAGACAAUAUUCAACCCUUUCUAAAAACCAUAUUCAUUGUCAAUCAAGUUCUUAUCAUUGGCUUUUCACAUAAAAACAAAAAGAAAAAAAAAAACAAAACAUUUUUUUUUGAAUUUUUUUUAAUAACAAACAAAACACACGCUAUUCCCACCCCUAAAUUUAUUCGGAACAUUGUCCUCAAUGUUUCAUAAACAAAAGAUAUGCAUGCAAACAAAUGAAAGAGAAAUAAUAAUAAUAAUAAUAAUAACAAUAAUAAUAAACAUAAAUAAUAAAAAGAAAGUUGGAGAGAACACACCUGGAUGGGCUGGGAAAGCUUAAAAGAAAAUGCCAAAUGAAAAGAAAACAUUAAAAUAUAUAUAUAUAUUAGAAAAGAAAAUAAAUAAAGAAAAGAAAACCGACUAUUAAAAUAAAACAAGAGUGUAAAGAUGAACUUAAUUAAUCCUGAUAAACAGGAUCAUCUAAAAGUAUCUCCUCAACUUCUGGUGUUUUUAAUUCUAAAAAUGGUUUUAAUCUUUGACCAUUCACCUUAAAUAAAUCACCAUUUUUAGGAUUUUCAAUUUCAAUUGCUCCAUAAGGGAAGAUAGUACGAACUAUAAAAGGAUCAGACCAUCGAGAACGUAACUUACCUGGAAAGAGAUGCAAUCGGGAAUUAUAUAAAAGUACUUUCUGACCUGGUGUAAAGGCUUUUCUCAAAAUAUGUUUGUCAUGAAAGACUUUCAUUCGCUGUUUAUAAAUCUUGGCAUUCUCAUAUGCAUCAUUCCUGAUCUCUUCAAGUUCUGCUAGUUGUAAUCUUCUCUUGGACCCAGCUUGCUGCAUGUCAAAAUUGAAUUUCUUGAUAGCCCAAUAUGCACGAUGCUCCAACUCUACUGGCAGAUGACAUGCUUUUCCAUACACAAGUCGAUAAGGUGACAUCCCAAUUGGUGUUUUAAAAGCAGUUCUAUAUGCCCACAAUGCAUCAUCAAGUCUCAAAGACCAAUCCUUUCUAUCUGGCCUAACUGUUUUCUCUAGAAUCUGCUUGAUCUCUCUAUUAGAAAUCUCUACUUGGCCACUGGUUUGAGGAUGAUAUGGGGUGGCAACCUUAUGUGUAAUGGAAUAUUUGUCCAAAAGAGUUUUGAAAGGUUUAUUACAAAAAUGGGUACCACCAUCACUAAUGAUUGUUCUAGGAAAACCAAAACGAGACAGAAUAUUACUCUUCAAGAAUUUCACUACAACCCUAUGAUCAUUGGUUUUGCAUGGAAUAGCUUCAACCCACUUCGACACAUAGUCCACUGCAACCAAUAUAUAUUGAUAACCAAAAGAUGGAGGGAAAGGUCCCAUGAAAUCAAUACCCCAUACAUCGAAGAUCUCAACCACAAGAAUAGGAUUGAGUGGCAUCAUGUUCCUCUUUGAAAUGCUACCCAUACGUUGGCACCUAUCACACAAAGAACAGAAAACAUAAGCGUCAUGAAAAAGAGUAGGCCAAUAAAAACCACACUGUAAAAUUUUUGUUGCUGUCUUUUUAGCACUAAAGUGGCCUCCGCAAGCUUGUUCAUGGCAAAAUGAGAUAACACUUUGAAUUUCAUUAUCGGGAACACAUCACCUAAUAAUCUGAUCAGCACAAUAUUUAAAUAAAUAGGGAUCAUCCCAAAAGAAGUCUUUCGCUUUAGAUAAGAACUUUGUUCUAUCUUGCUUAGUCCAGUGCUCUGGGAUUUGACCUGUAGCAAGGUAAUUAACUAUAUCAGCAAACCAUGGUACAACAUUUACACUCAUAAGUUGCUCAUCUGGGAAAGACUCAUUCAAAGGUAAAGAUUCUGGAAUAAAUUUAAGAUCAAGGCGAGAUAAAUGAUCCGCCACAACAUUUUCAGAACCUUUUUUAUCUCUAAAUUCAAUGUCAAAUUCUUGUAAAAGCAACACCCAACGAAUCAAUCUUGCCUUAGCAUCUUUCUUAGUAAACAAAUAUUUUAAAGCAGCAUGAUCAGUAAAAAUAAUCACUUUACAACCUAUAAGAUAAGAUCUGAAUUUAUCAAGUGCAAAUACCACAGCUAGCAUUUCUUUUUCUAUAAUUGAAUAGUUCAACUGUGCAUCAUUGAGUGUCAUACUAGCAUAAUAAAUCACAUAAGGCACACGAUCUAAUCUUUGUCCUAAAACUGCUCCUACAGCAUAAUCAGAUGCAUCACACAUAAUUUCAAAAGGCAAAUCCCAAUUAGGUGGCUGAAUGAUAGGUGAAGAAGUCAAUAAUUUCUUAAGGUUUGCAAAAGCAUCAAGACAAGAUUCAUCAAAGAUAAAAGGUGCAUCCUUAACAAGUAAAUUGCAUAAGGGUCUAGAAAUUUUACUAAAAUCUUUAAUGAAUCUUCUAUAAAAACCAGCAUGUCCAAGGAAAGAUCUUACUUCUUUUACGGAUUUGGGAUGUGGAAGAUUAGAAAUUAAAUCCACCUUAGCUUUGUCGACUUCUAUACCUUUGCUAGAAAUUAUAUGACCAAGAACAAUACCUUGUUUUACCAUGAAGUGACACUUUUCCCAAUUUAGAACCAAGUUCUUUUCUUUACAUCUCUGCAAAACUAAUGUUAGAUGCUGCAAACAUUCAUCAAAAGAAUCUCCAUAAACAGAAAAAUCAUCCAUGAAUACUUCAAGAAAUCUCUCAACCAUAUCAGAAAAAAUACUAAGCAUGCAUCUUUGAAAAGUAGCAGGUGCAUUGCAUAAACCAAAUGGCAUUCUCCUAUAUGCAAAAGUUCCAAAUGGACAAGUAAAAGUAGUUUUCUCCUGGUCCUCUGGAGCUAUAGGGAUCUGAUUAUAACCUGAAUAUCCAUCUAGAAAACAAUAAAAAUCAUGACCUGCAAGUCUAUCAAGCAUUUGAUCAAUAAAUGGAAGAGGAAAAUGAUCUUUUCUUGUGAAUGAAUUUAAUUUUCUAUAAUCAAUGCAAACACGCCAACCUGUAGUUACUCUAGUGGGAAUUAAUUCAUUAUUAGCAUUAGUAACUACUGUAACACCAGAUUUCUUAGGAACAACUUGCACAGGGCUAACCCAAGAGCUAUCUGAAAUAGGAUAAAUAAUUCCUGCAUCUAAUAAUUUGAUUACUUCAGCUCUUACCACUUCUUUCAUGUUAGGAUUUAGCCUACGUUGCAUUUCCCUAAUAGGUUUAGCAUUUUCUUCAAGAUGAAUACGAUGCAUGCAAUCUACUGGAUUAAUACCUUUAAUAUCAGCGAUGGUCCAUCCUAUUGCCUCCUUAUGCUCUUUUAGAAUAUCUAACAAUUUACCUUUUUGCUCAAGAUCGAGGGAAGAAGAAAUAAUAACAGGUAGAGUGUCAGAUUCUCCCAAGAAUGCAUAUUCCAGAGUGUCAGGCAGUGCUUUGAGUUCCAAUUUUGGUGGUGCCUCCGCAGAUGGGCCAAUUUUCUUCUCAGAAUGAGGCAGUAGUUCUGACUUUGUCUUCCAUUUAAUUGUGUCCGUAAUUAGAGGUGCAUCAAGUAAAGCGUUGAUUUCUGCAAUUGCACUGUCAUCAUUAAAAGAUAAAUCAGAAUGAGUUAGACAUGCCUCUAAUGGAUCAUCAUUAUGGUUAGAAAUGAAUGAAUCUUCUACUAAUUCCUCUAUCAUAUUCGCUUCAACAAAUUCAUCUUCUUCUUGUGGCUGCUUGGUAACAUUAAAAAUAUUCAAUUCCAUGGUCAUAUUACCAAAAGAUAACUUCAUGUUUCCAUUCCUGCAAUUAAUAAGAGCAUCAGCUGUAGCUAAGAAAAGGACGACCUAGAAUAACUGGGGUGUGUUUCUUAGGAUCAUGUACAUGCUGAAUAUCAAUAACAAUAAAAUCAACAGGAUAAUAAAAUUUAUCAAUCUGUAUCAACACAUCCUCUAUAAUACCACGAGGUAUUUUCAUUGAUCUAUCAGCAAGUUGCAAAAUAAUAGGAGUUGAUUUUAACUCACCUAAUCCAAGUUGCAUGUAAACAGAAUAAGGCAAGAGAUUAACACUAGCACCCAAAUCCAAUAAUGCUUUAUCAAAACAUUGGUUUCCUAUAACACAUGAGAUAGUAGGAGAACCUGGAUCCUUAAAUUUUGGUGGCAUUUUACAUUGGAGUAAGUUGCUAGUUUGUUCAGUUAAAAAUGCCUUUUUAGUGACAUGUAAAUUUCUCUUUUUCGUGCAUAAAUCUUUUAAAAACUUUGCAUAUGAAGGAACUUGCUUAAUAGCAUCGAGUAAAGGGAUGUUUAUACUUACCUGUUUGAAUAUUUCCAUAAUCUCACCUGUUGAAGUCCCUUUCUUUACCUUUGUUAACCUUUGAGGAAAAGGAGCCUUGCGAAUGUAAGCUGGCGGGCCACUCUCUUCUGGAUCAUUUGUUGAUGAGUCUUGUGAUGGAACUGGAUCUGAAGAAGUAGGCUCAGAUGUCUUCCUUGUUUGAACCUCUACUUUGUUGUCAAAUAAUUUUCCUCUUCUCAAGGUCAUAAUAGAUUUUGCUUCUUCAUGCUGAUGGCUCGAACUCGAUCCAACUUCAUGCACUCCUUUAGGAUUGGGAAUUGAUUGACUUGGGAAUUUUCCUUUUUCUCUCUCAGCUACAGUAGUUGCUAAUUGACCCAAUUGAUGUUCAAGUUUUAGAAUAGCUUGAGUGUUUGACUGAAAAGCUUGUUGGGUUGACUGAAUGAAACUUUGAAGUGUAUCCUCUAAAGAAGGCUUUCUUUGUUGGGGUGCAACAAAUUGAGACAUAGGUUGUUGGGCAUGAGGAUGUACUUGGUUAGGAGGGACAAAUUGUUGAUUGGGCAUGUUAAAUUGUUGCCCUCCUUGGUUUGACAAAGGUUGAUUUUGUUUCCAAGAAAAAUUAGGGUGAUUCCUCCAAUUAGGAUUAUAUGUGGAUGAAUAUGGACUAUUGGAGGUUUUCUCAUAUGAUUGUAAGGCAUGUACCUGCUCAGAAUAAGCAUCUGGAUAGACUGGUAAUGAUGGACAAUUUUGUGCUGUAUGAGACAAGUUAGAACAAAUAGCACAAACCUCAUUAGCUACACUAGGAUGAUGAUUUAUGGAUUGGUUCAUAACUAAGGCAUCUACUUUCCUAGAAAGUGUAGCUAGAGUGGAUUUCAUAUCUAAAUCAUCCUUAACUUCAUAUAGCCCCUUUCUAGAAACUUGAGAUGAUUUUUCCCUUUGAUUUGAAAAAUCCCACUGUUGAGAAUUUUCAGAAAGUGAAUUAACGAAAUCCCAUGCUGCCCCUUCAUGUAAGUUCAAAAAUCUCCCACCAUUCAUAGAUUCCACCAUAUGACGAUUCGACAUGGUUAAACCGUUAUAAAAGCAUUGUAUAAGUCUCCAUUUCUCAAAACCAUGAUGGGGACACUUAAGGAGUAAAUCAUUAAAUCUUUCCCAACACUCAUAAAAUUGCUCACCAUCUCUUUGAUAAAAAUCACUUAUCUCUCUCCUAAGGGCAUUUGUUUUAGACAUAGGGAAAAACUUGGUGAGAAACUUAUUACUCAAUUCAUCCCACGUAGUAAUAGACCCAGCAGGAAGUGAAUUCAACCAAGCUUUUGCUUUGUCUUUUAAUGAGAAAGGGAACAUACGAAGCCUAAUUGACUCAUCAUUAAAAUUUUGAAAACGAAAUGUAGAGCAUAUGUCAAGAAAUUCCUUAAUGUGCAAAUAUGGAUCCUCUCUCUCUAACCCAUGGAAGGAUGGCAAAAGUUGAAUGACAGAGGGCUUAAGUUCAAAGUGUGUUGCUGUAGUUUGUGGCAACACAAUACAAGAUGGUUGGUUGGCUGCAAGUGGUGAAAAAUAUUCUCUAAGGGUUUUCUCUGCUUGCACUGGUGGGAGUAUUGGCAAUAGUCUAUUUGGGUCAUCCAUCACUUCUAAAGAACUAGUUUGACUACUAUCAAUUUUUGACUCUCUUUUAACCAAACGAUUUGUUGAAUCACGUUCCCAAACACUCAUAAACUAACUAGACAAGGAAAGAAAGAGAAAUAAAAUAAAAUAAACCAACAAAAAUGAGAAUAAACGAAAUUUAAAAAUAAAAGAAAUCAAACAACCAAACAAUGAAUUUAAAAUAAAAUAAAAUUAAAAUUAAAAUUAAAAGUUUUUUUUUGUGUUUUUUUUUAAAAAUAAAAAUUGAAUAAAUAAAAUAAAAGACAACCUAAAUUAUAACUAGUGGAAGAAUCAAAUUAACCUAGAUUAAACUGACUUUCUAGCACAAUCCCCGGCAACGGCGCCAAAAACUUGAUGUGAAAAUUUUAAUAUACUCGCAAGCGCACGAAUCUAGAAAUAGAGUAGUGGUAACGAGGUCGAUCCCACAGGGAUUGAUAAAAAGUCUAAUUUAAAUCUAAAAUUAAUAUUACUCCUAACCUAGUUGAGCAAAUUGAGUUUUUAAGAAAAUUAAACCAAUUAAACUAAGGAAGCAAUUAAAAUAAAAGAGAAUUCAAUAAGAUAGAAAUUACCAAGGUUUCAGAAUCCACCACUAUUCAACUAGUAAUUAUCUAAUUAUUAAUUAAUCCCCAAUUUUAGAGUGACAACUCGAAAUCAAUCUAUGUCAUCUCAUAGAUAUAACAAUUAAGCCCAAGUAAUUAAAUCUAAUGUAGGUUCUUUUUCUGCUUAAUAAUAUGACAUCUAAGCAUCCCAUGUAAACAUAUUGAAUAACAAAGAGUCAAAGUUUUCCUAAGCACUCUAUGUAAACAAUUUAAUGAAAGACAUAAAAUCAAAGAUAAUCAUGUAUAAACUUUAUAGAUCCAAGCAUAGAAUUAAUCGAAUAUUAAUCCUAACAAUCAAUAAUGCAUGACAGAAUUGAUGAAAAGAUUUUAAUAACAUCCAAUUAAUCAUGUGAAAUAAAAACCAUAAUUAUCAAAGAACAUAUAUAGGGAAUUAAUUAAAUAAAAAGAGAUAAUUAUUUCAUUGAAUAGGGUUUCAUCCUUAACCUCAGUAUAAGAGAAUUAGUUAGACAUACUUGAAUUGGGAACAACAAAAAAAAUAAAAUCACCCAUGGAAACCGAACUGCUGCUGCCCAACCUUGCGUCUUGCGUCUGCCGAAUUCUCCUUCUCCUUUCGUUUCUGUCCAGCAGCUCCCUUUUAUAUUGCUUGGCCACGGAAUCCUAUUGUGAUUCUAAUAACUAAACCAACUCUUACAAGCUAAAGCUCUAAGCUUGCCACGUAAUUGAAAACAAUAAAAGCCAAAAGCUAUUGAUUUCCUUCCUUUAUUCUACUUUGACUUUCCAUUCAAAGGCUUAAUUAAAAGCUUUGUUUUUAUGUGCUGCCCACUUUAGCUUUAACUUUCAUCUUUGUUUGCACGAGCAUGGAGAAUUCAAUUUAUUGGAUUCGGCUUCUUCCACAUGCACGUAUGUCUAAUUGGUUCCAAAUCAAUUAAUCUUUAAUGCUUACAAAUUGAACUCCUUUAUGCUCUUUUUAUCCAUAAUCUCCAAUUAAUUCCCUAUUCAAUAAAAUAAUUCAAUUAAUUAAAAAUAACAAAUAAAAAUAACUAGCAAUUAAAUAAUUAAGGGUAAAAUAUGUAUAUAAAUUAUGCUCAUCAGUGAUCUUUUGACAAUUCUCCCACAUCCCACCAAAAACUCUCACGCGGCAUGAACUUUUGACAAUUCUCCCAUAUCCCACCAAAAAUUUGUCAUAUUGCGAAAGGCAAUGUCAAUUGCAAUGUCAUUUCCAUUAGUCAUUGUGGCAGACAAUGGAGGUCCCGAGAUAGGACUAGAAGUUUUUGAAACCCUGAACUUAUUCUUACUUUAUUUUUUCUUUUGAAAAUGAGAAAAGGACACUUGUUUGAGGAAAUAAUUUUGUAGAACCUCAUAUCGUGAAUAGGGGAUAAUAAGACUUUUUUUUUUUUACUUUACUGCAAUACUCUGUAAUUUUAUUAAUUUUAUAUUUUAUAAUAAAUAUAAAUGUGAUAUUAAAAUAAAUGUAAUAAUAUAUACAUAUUAAAAUAAUUUGAUAUUGAAAAACAUUUUAAUAUUUUACAAUCCCAUAUUAUAUUAAACCAAACUGUAAUAAAUAGACAUAAUAUUAAAAUAAAUAUAUAAAAGUUUAAAUUAUUUUGAAUAUCAUAUAAAAUAAUUUUAAUAUUAUUAAUAAAUUAGAAGUAUUGUUGAGGUUAUGGGGCCCCAACAAUUCUUCUUUGCGCUUGUGGGUGUAACAUCCUUCUGUGUAAUUCCAUUGAGGUGGCAGUAAGGUUACCUAGGGCGUAACUGCCCGGCCCAUUGGCACAAUUACAAAUGUGUGCAGCCCCUCAUGUCCAUCCACCGCUUAGUGUGGGGCUCUGCGCUUCCAUUGUAUAAGAAAAUAAAGUUGCACCUUGGCUAUCAGCUUAAGCUUUUAGCCCAAUGGUAAGCGCUUGAUCCUAACAAGUAUUACAUUAAUUGUAAAAUCUAUCUAAUCCAAGGAUUUAUUUAAAUUUUUUAUAAUAAAUUAAAAAUAUAUUAAUUAACAUUUUAAAAAUUAAUAAUGAAAUUAAUUAUAUAAGUUAUACAUAUUAGUCUACUAGAAAAAUUUAAACUAUUUCAAUCAGAUUUAUAUUUAGUGAAAAUUUUUGAAGUUAAUGUUUUUGGUUAUCAUCUACUAAGAAUCUUGUAGUUAAAAGGGGUAUUGACAUUCUUUAUUAAAAAAUUGAGGUCUACAUGACUAUUUUUUAAAUUUUAAGGGUGUCAUUUUAUUUUUGAUGAAAAUAAAAUUUCAUUUAAGUGGCUAAAAUGGUGAAUAAUACAAUGUUACAACUGGCAUAAAUGGAAGGUAGGAAACAAUCAAAAUGACCAAUAGUCUAACGCCACAGCAAGGACAUAAGGUCAAAAAUCCCCUUAUUAAUUAGUAAAAGAGAGUCCUUUGUGCUUAUAAAUAGUAAGGGCGGGCAAAAUCGGAUACAGAUCAAAUUCGGAUUAAUCUGAUAAAUUUCAGAUUGUUUGAAUUGAUAAAAAAAGUCAUCCAAAUGUAAUCUAAACUUUUGUAUGUGUAUAUAUACAUACUUGUUAUAAAUUAAAGUUGCAAAAGUCUUUAAGCAAGGCCAUUCAUAGUAAGUUUCAAAUUUUUAGGUUAAUUAUGUAACUUCAUUAUGCGGGCCAUGCAUAAAGCCCGUAGGUCUAGGCGGGACUGACCUGAGUUUUUUUACCAAUCCUACACAUGACGGGAGGUGUUAGGAAUAACAUCCCGCAUCAAUUGAGUAUUGAACUUGGGUUCAGUAUAUAAGAUUUGGACAACUCUAAACUCUUGAGCUAACUUACUAGUUUUUGGAUUGAGUUAAGCCUGUACGCUGCAAUAUUACAAAUUAGUCUUUCGUUACCAUUACUUAUUUUUUGUAUUGUUUAAAAUUAACACAAUAAAUGACCUUUCAUCCCAAAAGAACUAAAGUAAUCAUUUCGCAUUGUUACGGCCGUAUCUACACUCUUUCCUCUAUAUGUGUCUUCAAUAAAUAUAUGCGUUAAUGAUCUCUCAAUAUUUCGCAUCCGAUAUUGCCCACAUCGCUUACCACAAUAUAUUCACUUUACAAACAGAGUUUGCAACCCAAUUACUAAUAGAGGAAUAUAAAUAUGUACUUGUCAAUGAAGCAAUCACCUUUAUUUAGAAAUUUUUUAUUAUUAAUCCUACGUACACACACUUCUUUUGUCUCCAAAAAUAUUCUUAAUUAAUCCACACAAUUUAAUAUAAUAAAUACCUAAGAUUACAUAAAUUUUCAUUACAAUAGAAUAUAUAAUUUAUAAUAUUAUUGAUACAAUGAUGCCAAUAAUAAAAAUCUUAUAAACCUUACAAAUUUUAGAAAAUGGCUUAGAGUGUGAUAGGUUGAAUGAACCACAACAAAUCAUUUUCAUUAUAGUACCUAUGAUCAAUAUUCUAAUACAAAUUUUACAUUUCCCUAUAUUUUCUGUUUGGUGAUUGUCAAAUUUUAAGUCUAAAAUUUUUCUAAUUUUACCGUGAGGUUUAUGUUUUAAAGAGAGAGAGAGAGAGAGAGAGAGACUCAAAGAGAAAUAAAAAAUGUAAUUCUAAAAUUUUACUUGUGCAUUGUGUGAUUUUUACCAUUUUUGCAGUUGGCCAUUUGUAUUGAAUAAAUAAAAUAAUAAAUAGACUUAUGGACCACUUUUUUCUGUUAUAAUAAACAUCAGAGGUCCUUUCUUGAUGUUUUCAUUCCAUAUGAAUAUAUUAUAAUUUUAUUGAUACAGUAAUGUCAAUAAUAAAAAUCCUAACAAACAUACAAAUUUUAGAAUAUGGAUUAAAGUGUUACAAGUUGAGGGGAUCACAAGUUAUUUAUACUGUAAUGUCUAUGAUCAGUAUUUCAAUGAUAUCAAGGUUUCCCCUGCAAUUUUUGUUUGGUCAUCGCCAAAUUUUGUAUCUAAGAUUUUUCUAAUUUUACACGACAUUUAUUUAAAAAAAGAAAAAGAGAAAGAGAGACGCGGAGAGAAUUAAAAAUGUAAGUCUAAAUUUUCGCUUGUGUGUUAUGUGAAUUUUACCAUUUUUAAAGUUGGCCAUUUGUAUUGAAUAAAAAAGUAAUUGUUGAAUCUGGUUCGUUAGCUAUUCUUUGAUCAAGAACCAGAUCCUCCCAAGAUUCUCAGCCAAGAUUAAUCAGGAUGCAAUAUCAGCUUAGAUCAACUUCAGAGAAUCAACUAAACCCAAUAAGACUCGUAACAAAAAGGAUUAAUUACAAACUUAGAAACCAAAACCAGCAAGAAAACCAAUCACACAAAACAGAGCACAAGCUUUAACGUGGUUCAGCCAUUAAUGGCUUACAUCCACGAGUGAAUUCCUCAGACAGCUUUAUUGAAUGAUUCAAGAAGUUUGUUACAGAGAUUCUAAGAACAAGAACAAGUAAGACACUUCCUCUUUGAUUUCCCUCAAUCUCUAUCACGCACGAUUACCUCCAAACCAGAAGGCUGCAGCUUAUAUACCAGUCUUGUAACAGCUCUAACAACCCAGAUUGCACAGCUCCUUGACACGUGUACUAUGGGUCUGUUAUUUAACGAACUCAGCUUCAGCUAACUAUCACGUGAAGAACCCGUGACUCCACUUAAGUUGAGCAUAUCCAAAACGCACUCAUGUGUUGCCGUUUCGGAACCAGGAUUGGUUGUGCUUCUCACGUGAUCACUUAAAGCUUCUGAACACUACUGGAAACGCUGUCGUUUGCUGGCAAAGGUGUUUGAAUUCACCUUUCAGCCAACAGUAAUGAAUAGACUUAUGGACAACUUUUUUCUAUUAUAAUAAAACAUUUUCUUCCCCUGAUGUUUUUCAUUCCACAAGAAUGUGUUUGUCAUAAGGGGUCCAAAUGGGGUAAAUAAAUUGGGAUCAAGGACAAGUCUGUUUAAGUGUUGAAAUUGCAAGAAGACCUCAUUAAAAAAUUGCCUAAAGCCCCAUUAUUGUUAUUCAACUAUUACUUUCAUGUCACAUUAGUUUCCACACAGACACUUAUACAAAUAAUUUAUAACUCCAUCUUUAUUUGGGAAAAAACUGUAGCAAUUGUUGUUAUAUCACAGGAAAAUUUUCCAAUUAAAAAUAUAAUAAGAAUUAAUUACAAAUUUUUUAAUAAAUAUCAAUAUAAUUUAAUGGUUUAAUUUUUUUGGUAGAUCAAUAUAAUUUAAAAAAUUAAUAGCAGUAUUACUUUUUAAAAUGCAAAUUAUUAUAAUUAUAUUAAUAAUAUAUUUGUAUUUAUUAUAAAAUUUAUUUUAAUAAAAUCUUAAUUUUUUUUAAAUAUUUGUAUAUAUUGUUAUAUUUUGUUAUAAUAUUAUAUUUAUAUUUAUUAAAAUAUAAGAGUCAAUAUUUUUAAAUUAAUUAAGAUAAAAAGUAUUAUAAUAAAAAAAAAUUCUUUUAUUAAAAAUAUAAUCAUUCUCCCAAACUUAUCCUUGUCCCUUUUUGAAAGGAAAAAAUAAAUUAGAAAAGUCUAUGGUCAUGAUAACAUCUAGCCUUGUCCCGUGGGACAUGGCUACGGUGCAGAAGCUGCAAGUAACAGCUUCGAGCUUUCCCAUUUCCAUCACCUUGUAUUGGGACCUCUUUCUCUCUCCUCUAGCACCCGUGGAAGUUCCCCAUUGGCCGCUGUUACUUACAGAAGCCGUAACAUAGACUUCCCCCGUCCCGUGAUGUCCAUUGUCUGCCACUAUGAAUAAUGGCAAUGACAUUGCAAUUGAAACAUUGAAAAGGUAUUUUCGCAAUAUGACAAAGUUUUUGUUAGGAUAUGGGAGGAUGUCAAAAGUUCACACUACGUUCAUUAGCAUUAGAUCUAAUUUUAUUUCGUCAGUUCCUUAUAUAUUUAUUUCAUUUAUUUCAUGGGUCCCUCUAUGAUGCUGUAAUUAUUUUACAGCAUCAAUAGUGUAAGCAAUAUUAACCAUUAGAUUUUAUCAACAAUGUAUAUUAUAUUUAUUAAUAAAAAAAUAACAUAACCGGUUAACAGGGGUGAGCUGUUGGAUCGUGGAGUUGGUAGAAGUAUGCGAAAUUUCAAUGACGACCCCUACAGUUUUAAAAAUUCUCACAUGUUUCACUUGAAUAGCAUAUUCAGAAGAAUAACACAAAAUUUAAUAAAAUAUAUGAUUUCAAUGAAAUAUAUGAACAUGCAUAUGAAACCCACAUUCAUAGAAAUGUUUCAUUAGACUUUUAACGUUUAUCUUACCUAUGUAUCCUAAACCAUUCAUUAUCAACUUUUCGUAAUUUUAUUAAAUAGAAAUUUCAAGCAAAACAAGAAAGAGUGACAAUAUGUAAUUAAUUUGAAGAUUUAAUAUAAAACUCACAAUUGCUAAAAUAGUGCUUAAAUUAUAUCAUUAAUGUUAUAAGAUAAUUUGAUUAUCAUGUAACCAAACUAAUUUCAAAAUUUAUUUUGAAAGCAUGCAAAACUAAUUUCAAAAUCUAUUUUGAGAGCAUGCAAAUGGAUGUAGUCUCCACUAUGUGAUUUUUUUAUUCUAAUUUAUGGCCAUGGGAGAGAAUUGGAAGAUCCAUAUUUGUCCAAUAGUGAAAUAUAAAUAAUAGCCCGUCAAUUUCUCAUGUAGUAUAUUUCAUUGGCUUAUUAGCUUACAAAACUAUAUACAAGUGUUAAACAUUGGACUACUGCAUGAAAUGUCAUGUGAUAUAUUUCAUUUGACCUUAGAUUAAUUAAAUGCCUAUAAAUGGUUUACAACAUUAAUCUAAAAAUUAAUUUUCACUGAUAUUUAUAUGUGACAUAUCAAUUCAUAAUAUAUCAGGGUAAUUACGAUUUUAAUUUCCCUUCUAUUAAUAAAUAGGGGUAGAAAGAAGUACUCAAUAUGUGUGUGUGUGUGUGUGGGGGUAUCAAUUCAUGUCUUAAUGAAUACAAGAAAAAUCACAUCUACUAAUUUAACAUAUGCCUUUCUAUAAUAGUGUUUGUAAAAUAUAUUUUAUUUGCUAUACUUUGGAAGACGUGUAGUAUAUUAUUUUAUAAUUCGUUUUGUAAUUUACAGAAAACGUGUUUAACAUGUUUUAACUUUUAUUACUAUCAAAUAGAUUCUGUUUAAUACAUUUUAUAAUUUGAUUUAAGGUUUAGGCUCACCAAACAUACAUUACACCUAUACUAUUAAAAUGAAAAUGAAAAUCGGGGCUACAAAAUGAUACUGAACAUACCCUAAGUUACUUGGAGUGUUAGUUUAGAAAUAAGUAUCACUGUAGGCUUAAAUUUAUGGAACAACUUUUCAGGACUGUUGGUCUUCCUCCAUUAGCUUAAUUUAGGUCUGUAUUUUCAUUUUUUUUUAAAUGGCGCAAGAUGAUGAUGAUGAUGAAAUUGUGCUAUUUGUAAUGAUGCUCCUUCGUAUUCAAUAAGAAUCAUAUGCAUAUUCAAUAGUGAAAAUAUGAUAACUCUAUCGUAAUUUGAUCAUAUUACAAUACAAUUGAUUACUAAAAAAUGUCUUUAUAUUUUUUUAUUACAUUUUACAUUAAAGUUGUAGCACAUUAUAAAUGCAAAGCUUAAUGUUUAAUAACAUAACACUUCAACAAAAUCAACAUCUUAAGUAUGAUGUAUGAUAUAGAAUAUUGAAAUAGUUAUACCUAACACUCACAACAAUUUAUAAAAAUUUAUAGUGUUUUAUUUACAAUAUCUUUUCUAAUUAUAUAUGUAUUAAUAUCUAUCUUAAAGUCAAUUUUUGGAUUAGUAGAUUUUAAUAAAUCCAUUGGUAUAGAUUAAUAAUAACUUAAUAUUAAAAAAAUUAAUUAUACAUGUUAUUUUAUUAAUUACACUUAUUUUAAUAUUUUAUUUGUAUCAUAUGAUAUUUAUUAUUAUUUUUAUCCUAUUACUAUAUGUAUAUUUAUUUAGGUUGUGUAAAUCAAAACGUAUAAUAGUCAUUUAUGAAAAUUAAGGGGUCUGUAUUACCAUUUAUGAAACUAAGUGGAUCUAUAUGACUAUUUGAGCAAACCUUGGGAUGUGUGUGGCUUUUUCUCAAAUUAAUAUUAAUUUAAAAUUAAAAAAAUAUUUACCAACAACUUGUAGACUACGUGCUACAUUUUCAUUAAUGAUUUAAUUAUCCAUUAUAUUAAAUGGAUGAUUGAGAUUAAAAUACUUAAAACUAAUAGUCCACAUUAAUCCCAGUAUCAAUAUUGUAAAAAUACAUACAGUAUCAUAAAGAAAUCCUUAUUUCAUACAUAACUGUUUUUUUUCUUUGGUUUUUCUUUUUCCAAAACAUAAAUAGACCAAGCACAUCUCCAAAUCGGGUUGGAGCGGAGAUUCUAACCCUACGAUGGCCAUAUUAAAAUUUAAAUUUUUUUAAUUUAUUUUUUUCUUUUAUAGCUACAUCUCAAUAUUUGAAAAAAUGAUUAUACAGAUCUAUAUAUUUUUAAUAAGAGAUAUUAAGAUGCUCUUUUUUUACUAUAACACCUACUAGUUCUAUUAACUCAAAAAAUUACCAACAAAGUGUUGGCUCCACUGGCAAUGGAGUCCCCUUAAGUGGCUUGACUGGGUUUGCUCUCCAGUUCGAGUCGCAGGGAAGUCGCCUUUGUUGGGAGAACAUGUGUCUCCCGGUUUGAGCGGGGACUUCUAGUCUGGGUUGUGGUACGGGCUUAAAGGUGCUUCCCACAGUUGGGGCCCUCCCCAGGAUACCUCGUGGAUAAGACCAAAAAAAAAAACUCAAAAAAUUGACUUCAAUAUUAAUACAUAUAUUUUAAAAUUAUUUUAAUAUUUUUAAAAAAUAUGAAAAAAAAUUUAAUACUUUACAAACUUAUACUAUAUUAAACUAAAUUUUAUAAUAAAUAGAAACUUAAUAUGAAAAUAAACGUCUAAAAAUUUAAAUUAUUUUCAAUAGCAUAUAGAAUAAUUAUAAUAUUAUUAAUACCUAAGAUAUAUUAUAUUAAUUAUAAAUUCUAUUUAACACAAAUAUUUAACUAAAACUGUUAAUUGCAAUUUCUUUUGAAAACAAUAGAUCAAAUCAUUAAAGUGCAUGUGAUGAUGAUUUGCUGUUUAAUUAUUUCUUUAGAAUAUAUCCAAACGUAAGGUUGUGAACUAGUGCUUUCUUCAACUUAAUUGGGUCCAACAAUACACCGCAGCUUCCUCUUUUGGUCAUUCCAAGUUUAAUUCUUAUGAAAGAAGUUACUACUGAUUUAAGUGCAUGUGAAUGAAAAAAAACAAAUACAUAUAAUUAUUCUAUACAUGCGUCAACAAGGCAACAGUAACCAAAUAAAUGAUAUGAAAGGGGGUGCAUGAUUAAGUCCUUUUCUUAUUCAAUUCAUUGUUAUUAUCCUCAUCAACUCUUUUCUCACUUAUUUUUCAGCAGUUACUGUUCAUAGCAUUGUUAUUAUUCUCAUCACUCAUUAAAAUUAUUCUUAAAUAUUCAAGGCCGAAAAGAGAAGCUCAUCAACUGUCUGAUCCCGGAUAAUUAAAGAGGUGAACUUGUUCUAAAUCCUUUGAUAAUUUCUAUUAAUAGCAUAAUCUCCUUGAUCCAAGAAAAAACAUCUCCUGUUUGUCUUAAUCUUGUCAUUUAAUUUUCUUGAUUUAGGUUACUGUUCAUUGUUAACUUCUGUGUUCUUUAGCAUUUGUUAAUUUGCAUCCCUCCUCUAAAAGUCUCUAAAAAAGAAUGUUGCUUUUCAUUCAUACCCUUGAAACCUUUCAGUUAAUAGCCAAAACUCUAAUCUUUCUUUCUCUUCCUCUCAAAAAUGUGCCAAAAAAUGUGCCAAAAAAGUGAAUCCAAUUUUUUCAACAGCAAAUAUAUAUGUACACACACACACAUAUUGUUAAAAAGUGCAGAAAAGCCACUCAAAAACGUGGAGAAAAAUCACUCAAAUUUAUACAAGCGUCAACAGGGAAACAGUAACCAAAUACGUGAUACAAAAAGGGGUGAAUGAUUCUGUCUUUUCCUUUUGCAAGUCGCUGUUAUUACUCUCAUCAACUCCUUUCUCACGCAUUUCUCAGCAGUUACCAGUAAUAUUUAAAAUCGCUGUGUAGGUAUGCAAAAGUUCGGUAAGUGCACUAAUAAUUAUUUGCCAGAAAAAAAGUAGUUGCGUCAAUGAUAUAUUAAUCUUUAGUUGAAUUGACAUCCAGGAACCCAAUUGAGUUGCUUAAUGAUUAAUUAAUUAAUCAAUUUAUAAUAUAUUAAUCUUUUUAGUUGAAUACUUAAAAUCUUAGACCCUAAACAAUAAAUUAUUUGAGCCAUAUAAAAGAGAAAUUAUCAUUCAAUUUUUUUUUAUUUGUAGCUUAUAAAAGAGAAAUUAUCAGUCAUUUACUCAAAGUUUAUUCAAUUAUUAAAAUUAUUAUAAAAAUUUAAAUUUAUUUAAUUUUACACCCAAUGUAUGUAAUUUGUAUUAAAUAUCCGUUAAAAACAUAAAGUUAUUCUUUCAAAGUCACAAAAUAGGAGCGAACACAAAAUUGUAGUGGUGAUUAUGUUUUGGGAGUAACUUUAUCUUUUUAGUAAACAGUUGAUACACAUUGUAAUAAUGGGUAUAAAAUUAAAUAUAUUUAAAUUUUUAUAACUUUUUGGAAAAUAAGAUAAUUCUUAGGUGGAUAAUUAAAAAUUUUUCUUUUCAAAAUAUUUUGAAAACAAUACCAAAUGUACCAUAUCAUUGUUUAUUUACACUAUAUAUAUAUAUAUAUUAACUCAUUCUUAUCCACAAUCUGUCAAUGAAAUAAUUAUUGACACUCAUAUUUGAAAACUUUCGAAAAGAUAAAAUCCAAUAUGAAAGGUGAAACGUUAUAAUCAUAGUAACUAGAAAAUGGAUUGAUUUACAAAUAUCAAUUUAAACAAUUUUCAAGUUGAUCGACAAUUUAAGUAGAUUGACAAAGAUUGAAGUAAUUACUGUUGGUGAUUGAUUGACUUUGUCCUUAUCCUCGCCGCCUUCUUAUCAAAAGUCGAGUGUCAAUUGGGCCAGGGCUUCUGAUUGCAACUAAUAGACUUCAUAUACGCAUAAUGGUCCCUACGUACAUACGUACCAAUAUUUGAUUGAAAAAGGGAUGCGUGCUUAAUGCUCAAGUCGUCUUCUUUUGGAAAUUCAUUGUUAUUACUCUCAUCAACUCGUUACUCGCAUUCCUCUUUAGUCAACAGAGAUCCUUUUGCUCAAUAAAAUUUUUCUUCUAUAUUCAAGGUGAAUACAGCAGCUCAUCAACUCUGAUCCCAGACAGGUAAAGAGGUGCACUUGUUCUAAGACCUUUAAUAUUCUUUUAGUAGCAGAAUCUCUGAUACUUGAUCUUCAUAGCGGUUCUUUCUUAAUUUGCAUCAACUUUCCUAGGAAAAAAUUCUCUGGUUUUUCUUAAGUCAUAUAAUUUAUUUUUCUUAAGUCAUAUCAUUUAUUUUUAGCAGCAGAAUACUUGAUCUUGAUAACGGUUCUUUCUUAAUUUCCAUCAACUUUCCUUGAAGGAUACCUUUUUGUUAAUAGCGAAACCUCUGAUCCUUAAGAUGGAAAAAGAAAUUCUCUAUUUAGAUAUCAGUUGGUUCAAGAUCAAUAUCGCGAUGUUGUUUGCAGUCUUUUCUUUCUCUGUCUUUCCCUUUAGUUCAUUUUAAUUUAUUUGUAUUCCUUUCUUUGACAUAUUAUUAGAUUUGUUAAGUAGCAGGCAAUGGCAGAAGUGGGUCUGGCUGCUUUUUCCAGCGUUGUAUCAGAAGGUGCAAAGUCACUGUUCAAACCGAUUAUACGGCAGAUAUCUUAUGUGUUCAAGUACCAGAGCUACAUAGAUGGCCUAAAAGAUCAAGUGAAGCAGCUGGGAUAUAGAAGAGAAACGGUGCAACAACCUGUUAAUCAUGCUAGACUACAAGGGGAUGAGAUUUAUGAGGGUGUCACAGACUGGCUAAAUCAAGUUGAUGAAUUCAGUGAAGGGGUUGCAAAAUCCAUCAUUGAUGAUGAAGAUAGAGCUAAGAAGUCCUGCUUCAGAGGAUUGUGCCCAAACUUGAUUUCUCGUUACAAGCUUAGUAAACAAGCAGCAAAGGCCGCAGAAGCUGCCGCUAGUCUCGUGGGAAAAGGAAACUUCUCUAAUGUUUCCUACCGUCCUGCUCCAGAGAGUACAGAACAAAUGGAAGUGAAAGAUUACGAGGCCUUUGAUUCAAGAAUGAAAGUAUUUCAAGAUGUUGUGGAGGCGUUGAAGGAUGAUAAGCUCAACAUAAUUGGGGUCUACGGCAUGGGCGGCGUGGGUAAAACCACGCUAGUCAAGCAAGUUGCAAGGCAAGUGAUGGAAGAAAAGUUGUUCGAUAAGGUCGUUAUGGCUGAGGUAACACAGACCCCAGAUCAUCAGGAAAUUCAAAAGAAACUUGCUUCUGAUUUAGGCAUAAAGUUUGAGUUGAAUGAGAGUAUAUUCGACCGAGCGGAUCGAUUGCGUGAAAGAUUGAAGAAAGAGAAGCGGGUCCUCAUUAUAUUGGAUAAUAUUUGGAAAAAACUCGAGUUCGAAAAAGUUGGAAUUCCUUCCAGGGAUGUUGAUGAUAAAGAUAAAAAGGAUGAUCAGAGACGAUGCACAAUAACAUUGACGUCUAGAAGUCGAGAUUUAUUGUGCAUUGAUAUGAAUUCUCAGAAAAAUUUCUCGAUCGAUGCUUUGCCACGAAAAGAAGCAUUGCAGUUAUUUGAGGAGAUAGUGGGUGAUUCAACUAAAAUAUCUGCUUUUCAAAGUAUAGCAAAUGAGAUCGUUGAAAGAUGCGGAGGUUUGCCUGUUGCACUGAGUACAGUUGCAAAUGCUCUGAAAACUAAGGAGCGUGACUUUUGGAAAGAUGCAUUGAAUCAGCUAAGAAGAUCGGAUGCAAGAGAAAUUCAUGGCAUGCAAGCAAAUGUGUACACCUCCAUAAAAUUGAGUUAUGACUUCUUGGAAAGUGAGGAGGCAAAAUCUCUGUUCCGUCUUUGUGGUCUAUACAGUGAAGGUAAUGUCAUACAAGUUUCUGACUUAUUGAGAUAUGGUGUGGGUUGGGAUUUGUUUGAAAAUGUUUACACAUUGGAAGAAGCAAGGAGUAGGGUGCAUCGGUUGAUCGACAAUCUCAAAUCUUCAUGCUUAUUGUUGGACGGAGAUGCUGAAGAUGAAGUUAAAAUGCAUGACGUCAUUCAUGUUGUUGCCGUAUCAAUUGCCGCAGAGAAGCGCAUGUUUAAUAUUCCAAAUGUUGCCGACUUGGAGAAAAAGAUGGAAGAGACAAUACGGAAAGAUCCAAUUGCCAUUUCUUUACCUUAUAGAGGUGAUCAAGUGCUUCCCCAAAGAAUGCGAUGUCCCCGUCUUGGGCUAUUUUUGUUGCAUAGGAAGGGUCUUUGCUCUAUGCAAGUUUCAGACCACAUUUUUGAAGGGACGGAAGGACUCAAAGUUUUGGAUCUUGCCAGAAUUCACUUCUCUUCAUUACCUUCAUCACUUGGGUGCCUCAUUAACCUUCAAACAUUGUGUUUAGACUAUUGCCGACUAAAAGAUAUAGCAAUAGUUGGACAGCUAAAGAAAUUAGAGAUUCUCAGCCUUGUAUAUUCCGAUAUCAAGCAGUUACCACUCGAAAUUGGACGAUUGACGCGGUUACAGUUGCUAGAUUUGAGCAAUUGUCGGAGCCUUGAGUUGAUACCACCAAAUGUCAUAUCAAAAUUAUCUCGAUUAGAAGAACUGUUUAUGCAUAACAGCUUUUCACAGUGGGAUAAGGUUGAAGGAGGAAGUAAUGCCAGUCUUGUCGAGUUGAAAGCGUUGACAAAGCUAACUACUUUGGAGAUAGAAGUUCCGGAUGCCGAAAUUCUGCCGCCGGAUUUUGUCUCCGUGGAAUUGGAAAGAUAUAAGAUAUUUAUAGGAAAAAUGUCUGUCCGACGGCUCGUCGAAUCUAAAACAUCAACAUUGAUGGUGCUCAAGGGGCCAGAAAGAGUUAGCCUUCUUUUGGGGAAUGAUGGGACGAAAAUGUUGCUGAAGAGAACUGAAGAUCUCCGUCUAUACUCACAGAAGGGUGUUCAGAAUAUUGUUCAUGAAUUAGACAAUGGGGAAGGUUUUCCACGAUUGCAGCAUCUUCUAGUAACAGACUGUUCUGAGAUUUUACAUAUUGUCGGUUCAGUUGGACGGGUUCGUUGCAAAGUCUUUCCCUUGCUGGAGUCAUUGGAUCUUAUUGAUUUAACUAAUUUGGAGACGAUAUGCUGCAGCCAACUCAGAGAAGAUCAAUCUUUCAGCAACUUAAGGAUUAUAAACGUAGAUUCCUGUCCAAAAUUGAAGUAUCUCUUCUCAUUCUCUAUGGCUAAAAACCUAUUGGGGCUUCAAAAAGUAAAAGUGAGAAAUUGCGAUGAAUUGGAAAUGAUGAUUGGUAAGUGUUUAAAUUAAUUAUUGGUAGGAUUAUUGACAUUGACUCAUUCUUUUUUUCUUUUUCUUUUUUUUUUGGGUGAAAAAACAACGGAUGUUUAUUAUAUAUUGUUUUUGUUCAUUUAUAGGGCCCGACAUGGAGAAACCAACAACUACUGAGGGACUCACAGAAAUCAUUGCAGAGGAUGAUCCUAUUCACAAGGUGAUAAUUUUCUGUUUAAUAAUUAAUUAAUUAAUAUUUUAUCGCGAUUGAUCUUCAAUCAUCAAAAGAAUAUUAUAUUAGAAGUUGUAGUUGAAGGAACAAAAAUGUACGGUUUUGCUGUGCAGGUUACUUUUCUACGCUUAGAGGAACUGAAACUUGACGGUUUAAAAAACAUCAAAAAAUUAUGGCCCGAUCAAUUUCAGGGAAUGUAUUGUUGUCAAAAUUUAACAAAAGUGACCGUGGAAAGGUGUUAUCGUCUGAAGUAUAUGUUUUCAUAUUCUAUGGUUAAUAGUCUUUUGCAACUCCAACAUCUUGAGAUUAUUAAUUGUUGGUCAAUGGAAGGGGUAGUCAACAACACCGCGGGGGGGUUAGGAGGAAGAGAUGAAUUAAAGGUUUUUCCUAAACUACACUCCCUGCGGCUCCAUUGCCUUCCAAAACUAUGUAGCUUCACCUCACCAGAAGACGUCAUUCACACUGAAAUGCAACCUCAAUCUUUCUUUAAUGAAAAGGUUUUUUUUUUUUUUUUUAAAUUAAUUUUAUUUUCAAUAGUUAAUUUCUUCUUUCGUUGAGUCUUCAAAUUUAAUUAAUAUCCAUCUCUAAUUGCAUUGAAUUUUUAACUUCAGGUACGACUCCCAAGUCUGGAGGUAUUACAUAUUAGUGAGGCGGAUAAGUUGAGAAAAAUAUGGCACCACCAGCUUGCUUCGAAGUCUUUUAGCAAAUUGAAAAAAUUGGAGAUAUCUUGGUGUAAUAAUCUAUUGAAUAUUUUUUCUCCAUUGGUAAGAUUGCUAUAUUCAUUUUGAAUUUUUAUUUCAAAUAACAUUCAACAAUUAUUUUAAUCAUUUUUGUGUUUACAAAUAAUUUUCAUUCACAAAUUAUUUAUUGCAAGUAUUGUACUUCAAACUUCUGGAGGGAAAAAAAGUAGUGUACUUCAAAUCACCAUUCUGAACUCUGCAUUUUCAAUCUAAUUUAUAGGUUCACCUGCAUUAAAGUCAACAAUAUAAUUGUUUUAAACACGAUUUAACAGCAUAAUAUAAUUCAAUUUAAUUUUUUUUUCUUAAAUCGUAAUAAAUAAGAUUUUCAGAAAUUAAAAGAUACUUAGUUACUCAGCUUUUAAGUUCACAAAUUCAUAUAUAUUUCUCUUGUCCUUGGGUCUUUAGAUUUCGAUUUUAAAAAAAAUAAAGAAAAGUGUUCAAAUGUAGUUAGUAUCUCUAGUUUAGUUAUGAAUUGAUUACGCCAUUGAUUAAGCACAAAUUCAUGAUGGUCAUUUUGAAUCGACCGUUGAUUAAAAAAAUUCCUCAAAUAUUCACUCUAUAACAAUCCCAUGUUGAUGGCGUUGGGAAGUGUUUUCCAGAAAUGUUUUCCAUUUUUAAAAGCAUGAAUAUCGGGAAAAAAAAAAAAAAAGAGAAAUACAACGUUUUAGUUUAGUUAUUUUAAAAAUAGGCAUGUUUGAAAAUUAAAAAUUUUUAAAAACUAGCAUCAAGAUGAAAAAUGAAUUUAUAAUAUUUAAAAAUUACCUGAAAUUCUUUCUCCGUUCCUAAUACUAAAUAGUGUAAAUGCAUUUUCAUUAUCUUUGUUUUUCUGGACUUCUAUUUAUUUAUUUAUUUUUGUUUUAAUUUUUUCCUUUUUUUCUUUAACAAAAAAUAUCUAGUAGACAUUCAUGAUUUGUUAUUUUUCAUAAAACAAUUGUAUGAUUUUGACAUACUUUGAAUCUAGUUGAAUGCUACUCUUUAUUUUAAGGUUGGAAUUCCUAGUAGCCUGGUGAAUCUUGAUGUAUCAUACUGUGAAAAAAUAGAAGAAAUCAUAGGACAUGUUGGAGAAGAAGCGAAGGAGAAUCGUAUUGCUUUCAACGAAUUAAAACUUUUGGUACUUGAUCAUUUACCAAGGCUUACCAGCUUUUGUUUGGAGGAUUACACUCUUGAAUUCCCAUCAUUGGAACGAGUUUCUAUGACAUGUUACCCGAACAUGAAGACUUUUUCUCAGGGAAUCGUAUCCACACCAAAGCUGCACGAAGUGCAGGUGAGUAAAAAGGAAGUAUUAAGUUUUAUAUGAAACUGUGAUGUUGUUUGGUUACUAAGAAAAUAGGAAGAAAGAAAACUUCUGUAAGCUGAGAAUUCUGUUAUUAUUGAUCUAAUGAAUCUGGAAAUUACAAGCCUUUUUAUAUGUGCAUAGAAGAUUCUACACACAUUGCACACACGCACAGUUUACUACUAACAACCUCUAUAACAACCUUUAGCUGACUCAGCUGCCAUGUCAGCAUACUCAUUAACUAACUAAUUCUAUUCUUAACAGGAAGAGGGUGAAUUGCGCCGUUGGGAAGGCAACCUUAAUUCCACUAUACAAAAGUGUUACGAAGAAAUGGUAUGUGUUAAAUCGAUUCGUCGAAAUUACUUAUGCAUCUCCCUUGCACUUGCACAUUUGAACAUAUAAGUUUAAUGUAUAUAUAUAUCUAAUGCCUUUCAAGAAAAAAAUUUAUAUAUAUCCAGUGCAAUUGUUUUGGUUUGUGCAGAUUGGAUUUCGUGACAUACAGGAUUUGCAACUCUCACAUUUUCCACGUUUGAAAGAAAUAUGGCAUGGCCAAGCACUGCCUGUCAGCUUCUUCAACAAUUUAGUACGACUGGUGGUGGAUGACUGCACGAAUAUGUCGAGUGCUAUUCCUGCCAAUCUGCUACGGUGCUUGAACAAUUUGGAAUACCUGGCAGUGACGAAUUGUGAUUCACUAGAAGAGGUGCUUCAUUUGGAAGAGCUAAAUGCUGACAAAGAACAUAUAGGUCCCCUGUUUCCUAGGCUUUACAGUCUAAGGCUCACUGAUCUUCCAAAACUCAAAAGAUUCUGCAACUUCAUUGGGAAUAUAAUUGAAAUGCCUGAGUUGGAGAAUCUAACUAUUGAGAAUUGCCCUGAUAUGGAAACAUUCAUAUCCAACUCUGUAGUGCACGUGACAAUAGAUAACAAGGAACCUCAAAAAUUAACAUCAGAAGAGAACUUCUUGCUGGCUCAUCAAGUACAACCUCUCUUCGAUGAAAAGGUGAUUAUUAUUAUUAUUAUUAUUAUUAUUCCCUUCACUUUCGUUCGCAUAGAUGUAAUUUCAUAAGAAUCAAGUCAAAUUUAAUGACUCAUCUUUUUGCAUGUCAUCUUAAUUUAUAUAUGAUUUAACAAUAUAACCGCAGUUAUUAACUAUCUUUAUAGUAUGAAUUAUAAAAAUGUCUGGAAUUAAUUGGAUUCCUGGCAACACGAGGUGCUGAACUAUAUUAAUUAUGUGUGUUAAUUCAUAUUGGAUUUAGGAUCAGAUUUCAUUUAUGUGUUUCAAAGGGUAAUCGAUUUGAUACUUAUAUUUGGGAUCCUACUGCAAAGCAUACUGAUUUGGAAAUAAAAUAUAAAAUGCCGUGAUUAAUCUUGUCCAUAAAAUAUGCAGGGGAAGACUGCAGAGAUUGGAUACAUAUUUUCAUUUCCAACUUAAUUUUGUUGAUUUUCAGGUUGCAUUCCCUCAAUUGAGAUGGUUAAACCUGUCUAGAUUACACAAAGUGCAGCAUCUCUGGAAGGAAAAUGACGAAUCCAACAAAGCGUUUGCAAACUUGGGAAGUCUAGAAAUAUCGGAAUGUAGUAAGUUGCAAAAAUUAGUACCACCUUCGUGGCAUUUGGAAAAUCUUGCGACUCUGGAAGUAUCGAAGUGUCACGGGUUGAUAAAUUUAUUGACGCUCUCAGCAUCUGAAAGUCUAGUGAAUCUUGAAAGAAUGAAGGUAGCUGAUUGCAAAAUGAUAGAAGAAAUCAUACAAUUGCAGGUUGGAGAAGAAGUGAAAGGCUCCAUUGUCUUCGAGAAAAUGAACUACUUGACACUUGAUUGUUUGCCAAGCCUAACAAGCUUUUGUUCGAGUAAUUACACUCUUCAAUUCCCAUUCUUGCAAAAAGUAGUUGUGAGACAGUGCCCAAAGAAGAAGAUUUUCUCUCAAGGAGUCGUAGACACACCAAAUCUAAACAAAGUGAAACUCACCGAAGAAAAAGAUGAUGAUGAUGAUGAAGAAGAUGAUGAUGAUGAAGGAUGUUGGGAAGGCAACCUCAAUGACACCAUAAAAAAAUUGUUCAAUGAAAUGGUGAGUAUCAAUUAAGUUUUGGUGCUAUUUAGCAAAUUAUUUUAUAGAAACUAGUGUGACAUAAUAUGAUUGGUUGACUGAAAAUAUAUAAUAAUAAUAGUAAAUAAAUAAAUUAUGAGGAGCAUGUAAUGUUUUUGUUUAACCAAUCAUAUUAUGUCGCAUUAGUUUAUACAAUAUUAUUUGUGCACAAGAGGUGGUGGUCAUAUCAUUACUCUAGUUUUAUUAUUCUUAUGGUGGCAAUGUAUGCUUGCUUACACGAGUAAUUACAAAAUCUGCAGAAUUCUAAAGAAGAGAUUGAGCCAAUCCUUCAGGUACAGUGAAGAAGCUAUCCCGAACCAGGCCAAUCUCUUAUACAUGAUUUAGCUUGCUCGUUCUUCUGUACUUGAAUAAUUUGGCUCUACAUAUUUACAAUUUUUUGCUCAUGCUACAGACUUGCAAGACACUUUGGAUUUUGUUUGAUGCAUUCUCCGUUUAAGAAAGGACUUGAAUUGAUGUUUCAUGUUUCAUGCAAUAUUCGAUUAGAUUCUGUCUAAAUUUCUGUAUUAUUCGUUCAAUUGGUCUUUUAAGCAUUUGAUUUCUAACCUCUCCUAAUAGAAUAUCAUUAGCCGAUGAAAACAGCAUAACAUUUGUGGUUGUGGCAUUAUCAGAAUAAGAAUAUUUUUUAGUAUAGUAAAAUUAUCUCGACCACUGUUAAAAAGAAUUAAACAGUCAAACUGACCUUCUCACACCAGCACGCUUUAAAUUAAAAGAAUUUCAUGAAGUCAAGACCAUGUUAUAGAUCUUGUGGAAAUAAGUGAACCCGUAAUUUUUUUCACACCAUCAUAAGAAAAAUCAUUUUUUUUAAGUAUUUUUGUUAGCUGUUGAGUUUUAAUAGUAGUAGCUAUUAAACAAUAACAAUUAGUGUAUAUUAAAAAGUUGGAAACUGGUUGAUACCACUCGGGAAUCGAGCAGUUCACUUGUUUGCGAGUAGAAACCAACUUUACUACUAAUUACACUCAUACCAAAAAUAGUGACGAAAGAAUCAGGGAAUUUCCUAUUCACUAUUCUUCAUUUUUUAAUGCAAAAUUCCCAUUCGAAAACACCAAUGACUUUCAUUCAAAGUAAAUGAGAAAUUACAAUGAAAAUAGAAUCAAAAUACAUAUAUGUAUACCUAAAACAAAUGAUUUUUUUAAUUAAAAAAAAAAUACAGUUGAGGUGAAAUGAAACCAGAGUCAUGAUAUCUCUGGUUCCAACUUUGGGACAACAGCAGACUUGAGUUCUAUAUGAGAAACACGUACAGCACCAAUCAGCCGCUCCAGUAAUUCAUCUGUAGUAUUUGCCUGCAUACAGAAGAGCAAGAUAAAGAAGACAAACACAGAAGCAUUAUAUCAUUCUGAGAACAUUCAAGUAUGCAAAAAUGCAAGUUGCAGUGCAAUAUCUCAAAAUCAUGUCUUUUCCCUUGUGUCCAUUUAGCAGUGGGGGAAAAAAACAAUCAUACAUACCUGUACAAGGAAAGCCAUGUCAACCACCAAUGUCGUAAUUACACCAAUUACAAGGCCCAAAACUCCAUUAGCAACAGUAGAAGAAUCGAUGUCAACAUCAAUCUACAGAAAGAUGAACAAUGUUAAACCAUGUUAAAGGUAUUGGACGCUAUUUGAAAGGGGAACAUCUCAUGUACUAUAGAAAUUCCAAGAGCAUUUACUUCUAAGUACUUGGGACCGCGAAUAUAGUUACAAUCAACUGCCUUCCCCAAUAAACAAGGGGUGCUUCCAACACUCUGGCGCACUAUCCAUGACCCCUGCAUGAUUCAGUGCUUAAAAUCAAGAACAAGUGCAAAACAAAUUCAAGAGGGUAAAAAGGACAUAGUUUGAAUCUGAAUCCAAAUCCAUUAAUCCAGAGUUCAUAGCUUGGAUGAAGACUGAUCAACUUCUGUUGAGUUGGAUGAUGUCGUCGAUACAGCAAAAUCUACUUGCUACUGUGAUUGACUCCACAACUUCAAAACAGCUUUGGGAGACUCUUACUAGUAUGUUUAUUUCUUAAUCACAAGCUAGAAUCCAAACACUUAGAAUGCAGAUUCAAACUAUUAAGAAAAGUGCAAUGCAUAUGUCUGAUUACUUUGCAAAAGUAAAACGUAUAGCUGAUACUUUAGCUCUAGCUGGAAAACCUGUUGAGUUAAGUGACCUUGUGAUGCAUGUAUUAACCGGUCUUGAUUCAUCAGAUUAUGAAUCUUUAGUCACAGCUAUUUUAGCUCGAGGUGAGAAGAUAACAUUAGAUGAACUAUAUCCUUUGCUGUUGAAUCAUGAAAAUAGAGUUGAGCAAAAGAAAGGAAAAAUUGCUGGUGAUGUGAUGCACAAUAUAACAGCAAAUAUUGCUCAGAAGAACUCAUGCUGGAAAGAAUAAUGGCAAUUUUCAAAAAAAUUAUGGAAAUAAUUCUGGAGGUGGAAAUAAUUCUAGGUAUGGAGGUUUUAAUGGAUAUGGAUAGGGUCAGUUUAAUAAUGGUGGUAAUUCCUUUGAAAUUGUUUGUCAAAUCUGCUUAAUACCUGGUCAUGCAGCCAAUAGAUGCAAAAAUAGGUACAAUUCAUCUUUUGUUCCACAAAGAAACUAUGGCAGAGGUAAUAUGAAUGGUGUCAGAGGUUUUAAUCAAGGGCAAUAUGGUAGAGGAAGAGCUUUUAAUGGUAAUGGUGGCAGAGGUUUUGGAGGUUUUGGUUUAAAUGCCGGUUUUGGCUAUGCACCCAGGGGUUUUGGCUAUCAAGGAAAUAUAGUGUAUCCAGAUAGGAAUCCUUCUGCUUAUUACUCAUUCACCCUUGGACCAUCUACUUUUGUUUCUGGUCAAGGAAAUAAUAAUCCUGGACAGUCAAGUGCUUCAUCUUCCUCAGCUAUGCCUUCUUCACUUCCACCAGAACACAUUGAAGAUCCUUCAUGGUAUAUUGAUAGUGGAGCAACAAAUCACAUUACAAAUUAUCUAGGUAAACUUCUGGAUUCACAAGUUUAUACUAGUACUGAAAAAUUGUUUGUUGGAGAUGGAAAUGCAUGAGCUAUUACACAUGCAGGAUCAGUUGUGCUAAAUACUUCAACUUCUAAACCUUUAAGAACCAUCUUCUGCAUGUCCCUUUUAUUACUAAGAAUUUGCUUAGCAUUUCAAAAUUAUUGGCUGACAAUCCAGUUAUUGUUGAAUUUCUUGGUGAUUUGUGUUUUAUAAAGGCUAGGAACACAGGGAAAAUUUUACUUGAAGGUGUUGCUAAAGGUGACUUGUAUAGAGUCUCUUCACAUGUUGCUGCUCAUUCAGUCUUUCUCAUUUCAGUUGGUCAAAAUAAAACUCACUCUCUUUGCUUGUUCUCCUGUUUUCAAUUCUGAUCAGCUCACUGCUGUUAGUUCUUAUGAAUUGAAUAAAAAGUCAUGUCUGUCAGUUGUUACAAAGAGUUCUAUUGAUGUAAAUCUUCUUCAUAGAAGAUUAAGACACCCAGCAUCUUAUACUCUCAAAACUAUACUCAAAACUUGUAACAACUCUACUGCUUAUAAUAAAAUUGAAAGCUUGAAAUUUUGUUCAGCAUGUCAAUAUGGGAAAAAUCAUAUGCUGCAUUUUGAUUCAGUUGAAACAAAAACUUCAGCACCCUUACAAGUGAUAUAUGCAGAUCUUUGGGGUCCUUCUCAUGUCUAUUCUACCCAAGGAUAUAAUUACUACUUAUCAAUCUUAGAUGAUUAUAGUAGAUUUACCUGGAUAUUUCCAUUGUCAGCCAAAUCUGAUGCUCUUGAAGUGUUUACCAAUUUCAAAAUUUUUAUUGAAAAGCAUCUUCAACUUCAAAUCAAAACUGUCCAAACUGACUGGGGAGGAGAGUUCAGAACACUUUCCUCAUUACUCACUGCUUCUGGUAUCCAUUUUAGACACCCUUGCCCACAUAUUCAUCAUCAAAAUGGAAGAAUUGAGAGGAAACAUAGACACAUAGUUGAUGUAGGUCUGACCUUAUUAGCUCAAGCACAUUCACCACUCAAAUUUUGGUGGAAUGCAUUCCACACAGCUGUCUAUUUGAUAAACAGACUUCCAACUCCAGUUCUAAACAACAUUUCUCCUUUCCAAAAGUUAUUUCAUCAUCAACUAGAUUAUUCAACACUUAAAACCUUCGGUUGUGCUUGUUAUCCAACACUCAGACCAUACAAUAGACAUAAGUUUGAUUUCAGAACUGCCAGAUGUAUAUUCAUUGGCUACAAUUCACAACACAAGGGAUAUCAGUGUCUUCACUCUUCUAAGAGGGUUUACAUUUCAAAUCAUGUCACCUUUGAUGAAAAUUCUUUUCCUUGUGAGUCUGGAGCAGAUUUUUCUUCACUCUCUUCAAGUUGUCAGUCAACAAAAAACUAUAAGUCUUCUUUCAAUUCCUCUGUUCCUUCUGUUACUCAGUUACAAGCACCUUUAGCAGCAUCAUCAGAACACCAUCAAAAUGUUCAUCAUUUAGAUGCUCCUACUCCCUCACCAAAUUCUACUCCACUUUAUUUUUCUGAUAAUUCCAACUCAGCUUCUUCUUCUUCACCACCACAUAAUUCACCUCCACAUACAUUGCCACAACCUGCAUCAACUGGUCAUCCAAUGAUAACCAGGUCAAAAGCAGGUAUUUUCAAGCCAAAAAUUUAUUUGUCAGCUUUAUUAGCCCAAAAAUCAGAACCAACUUCUGUUUCCCAAGCACUUUCUGAUCCUAUGUGGUAUAAGGCUAUGCAAGAAGAGUAUCUAGCACUUAAAACUAAUCACACCUGGGAUUUAGUUUUACCUGCUACUCCAGUGAAGAUAGUUGGCAGCAAAUGGGUGUUUCGAAUAAAGUAUAACUCAGAUGGUUCAGUUUCAAGAUAUAAAGUCAGGCUUGUUGCAAAGGGGUUUCAUCAGACACAUGGGAUUGACCAUACAUAAACUUUUAGUCCAGUGGUUAAAGCUUCAACUGUUAGAGUUAUUCUUAGCUUAGCAGUAUUGAAUCAAUGGGUGAUUAGGCAAGUAGAUGUUAAUAAUGCCUUUCUAAAUGGCAUUUUAAUUGAAGAGGUGUACAUGGCUCAACCUGAAGGUUUUGUUGACUCAACUAAACCUAAUCAUAUCUGCAAGCUGAAUAAAGCUUUGUAUGGCUUAAAACAGGCACCCAGAGCCUGGUUUGAUAGAUUCAAGGAUGCAAUGAUCUCUAAACAGCAUUUCCAACAUUCAAGGUCUGAUAACUCUCUGUUUCAUGCCUGGAACAGUGGUCAUCUAACUCUUGUUUUGGUCUAUGUUGAUGAUAUUAUCAUCACUAGUUCCAGUCCAACACUAAUUCAGCAAGUUAUUCAGAGUAUGAAUCAAGCCUUUGCUUUAAAAGACAUGGGGGAACUUAGCUAUUUUCUGGGGAUUGAAGUCAGCAAGUCUUCAUAAGGGGUUUCCUUGACACAAGCAAAGUAUAUUACUGACAUUCUAGAUAAACAUGGCAUGACAGAUUGCAGUCGUGUGCCUACUCCAAUGUCUACUGGUUAUUAUCUCACAAAAGAAUCAGGAGAGCUAAUUGAUAAUGUUUCUCAAUAUAGGAGUGUUAUAGGAGCUCUUCAAUAUGUUACUCUUACCAGACCUGACAUUGCUUUCUCUGUAAACAAGCUAAGUCAAUUCCUUUCAAGUCCUAGAACACAACAUUGGGAAGCAUGCAAAAGGUUAUUGAGGUACUUAAAAGGCACUAUACAUCUUGGGCUGCAAUUUAAUAACAAAGGAGCUUUGCAACUACAUUGUUUUUCAGAUUCUGACUAGGCUUGUGAUCGUGAUGAUAAGAAGUCACUGGUUGGCUUUGCUGUUUACCUAGGCCUUAAUCUAGUCUCAUGGUCAUCAAAGAAACAAGCUGUUGUUUCCAGGUCCAACACAGAGGCUGAGUAUAGAUCUCUUGCUCAUGCUGCUUCAGAGGUUCCCUGGAUACAAUCUUUACUUGGUGAACUUAACAUCAAAUUGAGCUCUACUCCUAUGAUGUGGUGUGAUAAUCAAGAAGCAAUUGCUUUAGCUUACAAUCCAGUCUAUCAUGCUAAAACUAAGCAUGUCGAAUUGGAUAUACAUUUUAUCCGAGAUAAAGUUACUGCUAAAGAGAUUGAAGUAUGUUUUGUGCCCAGUCAAGAUCAAACAGCAGAUGUGUUGACUAAGGCUUACUUUCAAACAGUUUAGUUACUUAAGAAGCAAGCUGAAUGUUCAUCCUAAACAUUUCAGCUUGAGGGGGGAUGUAGUGAAUUGAAUGAAGUUGGAGCAAAGCAUGAUGUUGCUGUGUAGCUGACUGUAGCAGAUCAACUCACUAGGCUGACCUGGCAAAGUUAGUUAGCUGGUUGAGCUGAUGUGUCAAAUUAGUUAUGCAGCAAAUGGUUAUGUGAUGUAAAAAACUUGUGUGUGUGUUGAGCAAAUUGUAGCUUAAUAUAAAUAUCAGUCUGUAUUCAUUUAGUUGUAAUGCUAGAGUAAUAAAGGUUCUACAAACUUCUUUACAGCGCUUUCUUUUAUUUUCUUUCAUUUUCUAGCUUGCCAAACAAUACAAAACUAAGUUUCUUUCGGAAAAGGAAAAAUAAAAAGAAAAGAAUAGUUACUUGUGCAGUACAGCCUUGACGCCUAGCUACAUGGUCCAUUCUCUGUGUCUUUGAACCAAUCAACAGCAACAAGAUCCAUUAAAUGUUUUCCCGCAGGUAUCUGCAGUUACAAAUUGCACAAAGCACAAGAGCCAACCAAACUACAUCAUAACCUGUCGACCUAGCAUAUGCAGGAUAUAUAACUACCAUAACAAACAACCAAAAUAUGGGGGAACCUUUGUUUUGUCAUAACAAAAAUGCUUGCUACGAACUCUAAAGUUAUUUCCACCAGAAAGUUUCCAGCAGUCACGAGCAUUAUCACAGUCAUCGUGUCGCAGAUUGCCUGAAAAAUAAGAAAAAUCAAUUUGAUCAGCCUGCUCUUCCUCUAGGGUAGCAACUAAUUGAAAAUUAUAAACCAAAAAAAAAAAUCAAUACCAUAAAAAUCCACUAAUGAGGACAUUAGCCAAAUAUACAAAAAUGAAUACUUAUCAUCCACCUGUCCUCUUGAAAUCAUUCUCAAUCUUUUUUUCAUUUGAUGGCAGGAAUUAUUGAAAUUGGAGCCAUUUUUUUUGUGGGAAUUGAAAUAUAUUCUUUAAAUUAUUACAUAAAUAGCAAAAUGUACAUACACACACAUAUAUAUAAUUCAUAUAUAAAAAUUCUCUAAUUUGUUCACAAGUACCAUAGAUUAUAAUUCAGUUAUGAAAUAAAAUAACUACAAUAAUUAUAGUUAAAUGAAUACUUCAUUAAUUCUUAAUUUGCUUCCUAACAUUAAAUGAACAACUUGAGUCAGCCACCUGAAUCAACCAGUAACAACGCCUGAGUCAACCAUCUGAAAAAACCAGCAACCCUAGCUGAUUCAAGCACCUGCAAUUAACAUCAACACAACAGGAACAAUCAUAAAUCAGCACCAAGAACAGACCAAACUGCCAUCAAAUGCCACAAAACCAAACAGUCUGCUACUGCCAUCAAAUGCAAGCAAACAUAUGCAACAAAACCAGAUGCAAGUGAAAUUCUGGAGAAUAUCGGAUAAACCAAACCAAAUGCCACACUUCUAGUAAUUAGACUAGAUGCAGUGUUCAAUUAAACUAAAUGUAGUCUCAUAUUACAUUCAAAUUUUCUAAAAAAACCAGUGUUCCAUCAGAGAAGCACCAAAACCAAACCAAUCUAAUCCAGCAUAAUUACCAGCUCAACCCAAAACAAUUACACAUUAUAUUGACAUAUCAAAAUUCGCUAUCAAAACAUAGCCAAAUAAAUGACAAUAAACUGAAAACAGACCCGAACCAACUGAUGUUGCAGCCCUAGUAGUCAUUGUGCGUUCCACUGCCAUAGGAGCGAGGGUAGGCUCCGUUGUUGAUGAGUGAGUAAGAUAAGGCUCCAAAUCAAUAGUUCCACCUCCUUUCUGCAAUUCAAAAAACAGAAAUUCAUAUAUGUAAAACUAUUAAAAAGUGUGAAACAACCUGUAAGUAUUCAACUUCUGUCAACUCAAUAGCACUUACUAAAGUUUUUAUACAGAAGAAAAAGGCAUUUUAAGUCCAAAAAAUUAGAAUUAUUGGUUGAACUCCAACUCCAUCAAUCCAUGCAACCAUCCAACCUUUAACGAAAAAAUGAAGCAUAAUUAACAAGACAUCUGAAUCAGAAAGAUUGUGCUUUGAUUUGGCACGAGGUGUUGGAAACAACUUAACAAAUCUAGACACAAUCUAUAACCAUCAAGUCCAAACAAAAGUCAGGAUCUAAAAUACUUUGAAAAAUCAGAAAAACCGCAAAAUAUCAGUUUCAAUUUCUUUUUCACCCAUUGUAAGCUCAAACUGAAGGUAGCGGCGCUACCUUUAAACAUCAUUUGGGCUUAUACAUGUGACAUUUGCUCAUGAACAACUAAAGUUGAAUAAGAUUUUUAUA
rnacentral:lncRNA from 1 species